CUCGUUUUGAGAUCGCUCCCUAGGCAGGCUCAGGCGGGUGCGGAGCUGUGCGGAGUGACAAAGCCGCCGCGGCAGCCGCUGGGGGUGGGAGCCGCGCUCGCCUGCCCGCCCUUCGACUCGGGAGAGCGUAAAAGUUUGUCUCAGCUCCAGCAUCCCGAUCCUCAACACGCCCUCAGGUAAAGGUGGGAGCAAAUGGCCACGCUGUAUUGACAGAGGUAGGGUUUGUUUUUUAAUACUCGUUCUCACUUUAAAUUUCACCAGGGAGGGGUUUGGGAAACGCUGCGUGUUCGCGGUGCGUUUUGCGCUUCCCGGUCACUCCAGCCUCCAAGUCGGGAGUCAGCGACCGCUUAGUGACUAGCGAUGAUUUUAAACAGCAGAAUAAAGCCUUUUCCGUGCCUGCCCCACAGCCCCUCCAGCUCGAAUAAUGGAGAGACAGUCAAUGCACUCUGCAAGCGGCGGCCCAUUGUACGCAGCUGACGGAGAGGAGGCGAAUGGGGCAGGCAGGAGCUCCUUGUCCUCGGCCUUCUCCCCCAAAUAAACGCUCUCACGUCUCCUGGUCAAUUAAAAGGUGAAACGAACACGAUUAAAAGACAAAAAAAGAAAAAAGGAAAGAAAGAAAAAAAAAAGGAAAAGGAAGAAAGAAAAGACGAGAAGAUUAAAAAGAGAAAAAAGAAAGGACAAGCUUUUUAUAUCCAAAUUCUAAAUUUUACUCCCCAUCUAGUACAGAGAAAGGCAGUCGAGGGUAGAGGAAGCAGGCAGAGAGAGGGAGACAAGGAGAAGGAAAGAGAACGUGGAGAGAGAGCGAGUGGAAGAGGCGGCGAAAGCGAGCUCCAGGGAACCGGAGGCCCGCUGGACGCCGGGUCUGCGGGCCCAGCCACCCUCGGACCCUGGACCGUGAGUCGUGGGCACCAGAAGCGAGACUUCGCCAAGUCCUUCUCCACCAGGCAAGUAACGCAAUGAUAAUUGUUUCUUUUGAACUCGGGGCUGGCAACGCGGACAGGCCGGGAGGAGGCGUUGACUCUCUUGGCCUCGGCAGGCCGGGGCCGGAGUCCAGGCAGCCAGGGCGGGAUGAGGAGAACUUUCCGCGGGGCCUGCUCAGGAGCCACCCUCACCCAGCCUCUGUCCCGCCAAAGCGCGAGGACAGGGACUGCGGCCGUCGCGCCCUUCUGCAGCUGAGGAUCCUGCCAGCCGAGCUUCAGUCCAAAUUCAAAACAGGUCUCCCCACCCCCAUCAUCCUACCCCCCACCCCCGCUCCCCCCCCACCAGUGGGCAACCGCUGCCGGGCCUCCAGCGCGGUGGCUGAGGAGGGGGGUGGCGUUUAGCAUCCGUGCCGCCAGUGCAGAGCCGGAGCUGCGGUGGAACCGGCUGCGGGGUCCGGCUGGGCUGGCCCGGUUGCCCGCGCCUUGCCUGGCUAUGGCUAGAGCCUGACGAGCUCUGCUCCCGCCGCCCACCUGCGGGCGCCGUUUGUAAUGGGAUCCCCUAACGUAACGCGAUCGAUGGCUGCCUCUUUGAUGUGGGCGAUAGUGUCAGCGGAUUAAAAGGGACACCAAGCCGCUCUCCCGAGUGGAGAACCCGCGGCGGCGGCGGCGACCGAGCAUCAGAUCCCUAGCCCCGAAGCCCAGCCUGGCUCCUCGCGCGGCAGCACGAGGGCUGGGGGCGGGGAGGGGUCACCUCCCAGGGGUGGGGACUGAGGGGGUGUGCGUGAAAGGAAGAGCCUCAAUUAAAACCUACAAGAGCGCUUUCCUCUGCGCUGGGCAGGGGCGCGCGUUUGCGUCAGAGGGCGCGCAGGGCGGGCGCAGGGGGCGGGGGGAGUCGACGCCGCGGGCCGCGCCCCGGGGCUGCAUGGGCUAGAGGUUCAGCCAGCCGGACUGGGUUGGCCUCGGUCCUCCCACGCAGGCUAGGGACAAGGCGUGGCGCUAAGACGAGCUGAGACUUCCUGAGAGCGGUGGCGCCCGUUCACCCUCACUGUGGGCUCUUUCCGCUAGCCCCCACCCUGAGCUUCCAAACAUGAAAGAGGCCCCUGGGAUCCGGCAUGACCCUGGGAAUGGGGAGAAUUGGGGCCCUCGAAGCUUCAGGCGAAGCCAUCCCCUCCUCCAGGAGGAAGGGAAAAAGGGAUGUAGUAACCGGUCAUAAUCCAAAAGAUGGGGGCUGUUGGCGGUGGUGACCGUAGCUGUGGAAAAUCUCGGCUUUUCAGAGCAGUGGAGAGAUGGCUCUUCUGCCGGCCCUAUGUGCCAAAUUUCUGUCUUGCCAGGGGGCAGGAAGAAACCCGAGCUUUUUGGAAGAAAGGUGCUGUCCCCCUCUGGGACUUGUACAGCCCGAGCGACACUCAGGGCUCAAUUCUUCUUACGGACCUUGUGUUCCGUAUCGCGUUUGCACACUGUGUGGGUGUGCCUCCUCUUGUGCUCACAGCCUCAGCCCCAGCAAAAUGGCUUCCAUGGAGGGACUGAGGGGUCAGCUCAGGUCCUGGGCAGCUCUGCUUUCUCUCUGCGAAGCUCUCCUUUGUUCUUGGUUCAACUUGGCACACUGGUCCUGGGGCCUUAUGCGCCCCAUGAGGACAUAAAAAUAAUCAUAUUUUGUGGGAGUAGGUAGGUCCACAAACUGAAAUUCCCCGCAAGUGUCCAGGCCUACUCAACUGCAGGAGAAGAAAACACAGUUGCAAUUUCCACCUUUAUUUUAGGCCUCUUCUCCAGAUCUCUCUCUCUCCUUUUUCAACUAAGUCCUCCACCUUGGUUGCCUUUAAGUCUAAGCAUAUAGAGGUAGCUCUUGGACCUAGACCCACUGUGGCCCUUGCCUCAGUACCCUACUUGAGACUGCCAGCCCAGUGACCAUAUAUACUCGGUCCUCUCCAAGGUCUCUCUCACCUGGUGAGGCUGGUCUAGGGAUGGGGAAAAGCUCACCGGGGUCUGGGAUCCCCAGUCUCCCUUUUCAAGUCUUUCUCUGGCCAUGUGGUCCCCACAGGCCCAUUCAAUGCGCAUAAAGUCUCCAGUGUGGUUCCCCCAAGAGAUGAUGAGAAGUUACCCCUCUGCUUGGGAAAGAGGAAUCAGGUUGUAAGCUUGCAAUUUCCCUUGUGGGUUGCUAGCAUUAUGGCUCAGCCUGAAUCGCUUUUUAAAAUAUCUUCCACCCAACACUUGAUCUCUCCCAGCCAGAUCGCUGGUAAACAGUUAUGACCUGCUGGGGAGAAGGAGAGAAGCAGAGAUUGGUGGUGGCGUAUACUGUGCUGACUUGCAUUCCAGGCCCCAGAGUCUGGAUCUAAGCAGACUUUCUAGUUGAUUAACACCCUGCUAUCCCAAAUCUUUCUUUCCUUGAAGGCUGAAUUAUUCUUCAUCAAUCCCAUGACCUCUUUGAUAUUGGCAUGUUGCUCUCCCCAAACUCACUAGAUCAUUCAUUUUGGCUUUUUGGUAAAUCACACUGAACAAGGUGGCCUUGCAAAAAAUUUUCUACAUCUAAUUCAAAAGUGGUUGAGACCCUGCAAAUGACCAGAUAUGUGUAGGAAAUUUUCUCUCAUACGUUUUUCCUACCUCCUAAAUUGUUAAAAUGGCAUUUUUCAGUUUAGAGAGACCACAGAACAGAAAUAACCCUGUUUUAUCAAGCCCAUCUGGAGAAAUGAGUAUGCCUGCAAUUGUUCGGAGAAAGGUCAGUUCUACUGCUCUUACUGCAGACCUUUCCCAAAGAGCUUGUUUUAAAGGUGCAAGUCAAUUAGUCUCCCUUGGCAUGAGAUUAAGGUUGGGAGGAACACAGUUGAAGAAGAUAUAUUUAAAAUUGUCUUUAGAAUGAUACUUUGAAGGAUAGAGAGAGGCACAGGAAUGCCUGCCUAAUGUUUUGUGAUUAUUAAAAAGCCAAAACCAAAACCCAAACAAAUAAGCAAAAGCCGCUGCCUAAGUCAGGAAAACCCCCUCACAAGACUGAACUCAGUCUGUAUUGUGGCUGCCCAGUUGUAAAAACUUCUGCCUUUGUCAAAAUGAAAACAAAGAUGGGAAGGCCAAAUUGGGAGCUGAACUUCUGUUGGACUGGCUGCUCUUAGCCUGCCCUUGUGGUUGAACCACGGAUGAGCAGGCUUGCAUAUUCACUAUCACUCUGGUAGUCUGAGCAUUUCUUCUUUGUCACCUUUGGGUCAGAAUGUCCAGAGAUAAGUGCUUUACCUUAGAAAACGGUUUAGUUUUCUAUCACAAACCAGCCAUUUAAAGCAUGUGUUUUGGAAAGAGAGAUAAAGGAAGCACUUCCGCUUUCUGCUUGGGCCUCCCGUUAGAGGGCCAGGAGUAGCCAUGGGAGGGUGGCAGGAGAGCAAGUGCUGACCUUUGGAUGCAAAUCAAGCCUUUUAUCGGAGGAAAAGUGACAAUCAUUCCUAGUACACUAGAGAAGCCAGGGACAAAUAUUUACUUUUUGUAGAAAUCAAGCCUUAGCUAUCUAAAUGCAUUUAUGCAAAAAGAAAGAAAGAACUAGAGACUUCUGUGUUACAGAAUGUAUUUUUAAAUUUUAAAUGGAGACUAGAGUGAAGAAUAACCGCGUGGUUCUUUUUCCUGGGGUAAAUGAUUUGGGUCUGGAUGAAAAGUUGGAAUUUUGAAAUGAGUUUGAAGCUUGUUAAAGUACCCUGACAAUAAAUCAACUGCACCAUAUAAUAAUUUCUUUUAAUAGUUACCUGUCAGAACACCUAUUUUUUUUUUUUUUACUGCAGGAUUAGCCCAUCAGAGUAGAUCUGAGUUGGACAUUCACUGAUUAAAUUCUGCUCGAAUAUGUUUAAUUCUUUAAUGUCACUUUCUUAACUGUCUAUAAAAGAAACUGGUGAAAAAGUAUUGACUCACAAAGCCAGCAGAUCUAUUGGUAACUAUGGUCAUAUUACAAUAGUAUUUACCUAUCAGAAGGUUGAUCUAAAUAAUAAAGCUGACAUUUCCUUCUAAACUGUCAGUGGAAAGAUAUGUUUAUCACAGUGUCCUCCAUCACCAAGGAGAGAGGGGGAUUAGGUAAAGUUUAAAUGAAAAAGAAUGAGCAUGCUAUACCACUGAUAUAAACCACAUGGAGCAAUAAAUAAUUAUGCCUUCUGUUAUGCUAUGUAUAUUUUAUUUACUCGUUUCAGAGGUGAAUAAUAAACCUAGCUCAACUAUGGGAGGAGUUAAUAAAAUAUUCCAAAAGCAUGAUCUAACAAAACUUGAGGAUAGUUCUGUUUUAUUGUUUAACCCUUUGCAUGAAAUCUUCUGAAGCUGAAAAGCAAAAGGAAAGGGCUUUUGUGUUAGUUGAUCCUUGGCUAUUCUAGGGCUCAGGUUGGUGUGAAAGGGACGAGGAGGUCACUUGAAAUCUCCUUUUAUCUACUCUUAUUUUCUCUCUGGAUCAGCAACUUUGAAUGGACAUUAUCUAAUCGCUCUUAAUGGAAAGAAACUAUGGGAGCAAUGAAAUGCCUUUAGUCCAGAAGUGAAUACAUGUGUGUGGAGCUUGUGUGUGCAAGCUGAGCUUGCGUAGGACUACAUUUCUGCACACAUGUGCUUAGAGAUUUUUCGGAGUACAUGGAUAUGUAUGUAAAUGUUUCCUAUACACUCUGGGGGCAGGGUCGGAUUGGGUUGCUUAUUUUGCCUUUACACAUGAAUAUGCACACACCCACAUGAAGAUUCUCUACCAAGUCUAGGUGAUACUUGGAGCCACUUUUCCUUCAGUUCUUUCUUGUCCUCACUCUGCGGGAUGUCAUAUUAGUUAAAAAAAAAAAAACAAAUAAUUGAGAGCACGAUGGACAGCCUUUUAGUGAAAACAUCUCAUUUCUUUUCCAUUUUCAACUGGAAGUCACACUGACAGGAGGAUUUCUUUUCAGAGGGUGGAGACUGUGUGACAGGUGAGAGAGAGGUGAUAGGGUAACACGAGACCAUUGCUUUCAAUUUCUCCCCAAUAUUUUUUCUUUUCGGUCUUUCUUGGAAUUAAAUUGGUUAAAACACAAUAAAUAAGUGGAAAACAAGAGCCUGACAUUAGGAAAUUUAAAAGUUUUUCUUGCUAUAGAUACAUAACUCCAAACCUUUGAAGGUGAGAAAUUGGUUACAAUUUGUUUUGAAAUUUGAAAUUAGAAUUAUUCUAGUAAGUCUCAUAUGCUAACUAAAAUACCACCUAAGUUGUCUUCCUUAAGCAUCACAUUUACUUUAAAAAGGAGAAACAGCCCUCAGGUGAAGUAUAAAUGACUAUCCAGAAAAGGACAUUUGAUUUCUAGGACUGAAAAGCACUGGGCUUUAACUCCUAAGAAAUGCUUCCCCUCCCCCGCAAUGUUCUUUUAAAUAAGAUUCGCAUUGCUCCCAGAGCCUGGGACACUUUGCUGUAAAUUCCUUUAGAAGAAUACUUGGUUACCAGGGCUACAAGUUCCCAUCUCAACCUGCCAGCCUCCCUGCCCCCCUGCUCCAGAUUGCAGAGACCCUUGGCUGUCAGGGCUGGGACCUUGAACCCCUCCCCCGUCCCCCAGCCUACUGGAGAUCGAAGUUCCAAAGUUCGAGGUUGGAUGGGAGAGGAUUAAUCCUUCUUUAACUCCUCUCCUUGCCGUCCUCAAUUCUGAACCCCAACAGAUCUGUUUCCCGGGGUUUCCUGGUGAAUAGGAGGGUAGGAGCCGCCCUUUCUAAUAAAGAUUAAAUUAAGUAGAAGAAUCCCAGACGCUGGAUAUUUGGAAGCUCCGGUGGGGUGUCAAACUGACGUUUAACACUUUUUUUCCACUCACUGUGCACAAAUAUUGGAUUCAUUGGGCUUAACUUUAGAAAGGAAAGAGGAAAAAAGAUAAGAAGGAAGGAAAAUAGGAAGAAAAAAAAGGAAAAAAGUCAAGGAGAACCCCCAGUUUCAAGGAUAAAGUGACUUUGAGUUCAGAAAGGCUGAAGGCAGAAGCAGGGCUUCCUGACUUUUCUAGUCUUUUCUUCCCCUGAACUACUCCAAGAAUUGAACGCUGUCUUUCCCCAAUGAGGGCACAGAGUUUUGCUGUUUUGUGUGGGUCUGAGUCCACAUUUAUUCUUUAGGGGGCAGUUUGGUGGCAGGGUCAGGACUGGGUAUGCGAGAGGAAAGGUGAACUCAGAAUCCUGUCACCUCUACUAUGCUUAUGUUCCCCCCUCUUUUAUGCUUAUUUUUAACCAAGGUUUUGUAGCACAAACUGAGCAGUUUCCUUCAGUUACUGCCCAGUAGGAGAAACAAUAGCUUUUUCUGUUUGCUGUGUUCAGCGAGCUGGACACUGACCUUGAAGCUGAGGAGGCCAGGCACUACCUCCCCUGAGAAUCAUACCAACCCCCAAAAUAUUGGCCUCUCACACCCACCUGCUCCUCUAGUUGCAGGGCGCAGUCUGGAGGGGCAAAAGGCAAGUCCCUUCGUGCUGGUGUCUCGUUCCUGCAAAUACAACACUGAAUAAAUUAACCUCAAACCAGCUAGUUGGGGUGUAGUAGUUUAGCAGGACUAAUUGCAGACAAUGGAGCUGAAAUGACUUUUCCAAUUAGCUGCUGGUUGGAGUUUAGUUGGAGGAACUGUCAGCUCCAACGAUGGGUAAUUGCUUUAUUGCUCACAAAACUAUCAUCUAUUUAGAACAUAUGUGCUAAUUACUCUGGAUGGGCGUCGAAAAAGAGACCAUAAAUCUAAUAGCACUUAAAAAAGUCUAUGGUGCUUGUAAGCAACCCUAGCCCAGGUUGGCGUGAUGGAUGGCUGUCUUUCAGAAAGGCGAGGGUUUCGACUGGAGGCACCGACGGGAUGCUUUGGUCAAAUCGCGUGCAUGAGAGCGAGGGACCAGCGCAGCUGUGCGGAGGUUAUAAAUCACUGUCAUCAAAACCAGUCCCCUCUUUCGCUGCGCACUUUUUUUUUUUCAUUUUCGCAAAAGAUUACUUUAGAAAUCUUUUAAUUGGAUUAUGCUGGGAAAUUAAUCUCCUUUAGUCUUGGCUAAAUUUAUUGUGGUCACUGUCGGGAGGAAAGCCCUGUAACUGCAGCGAGGGCCACGUCCCCUAUUCCCUCUUUCCCUUAGCCUCCGGGGCCUCUCAGUUUCGUGGGACAGCCUUGCCCCAAGACCUAGGGAGUGACUGGGGGUGAGGAAGAGUAAAAAGACACACCCGUAUAGAAGUCCGCGGCGGUUCCUAGGGAACCCCUUUGUCCUAAAUGCCACCUUUCUGUCCCAGAUUCCCUAGUUCCAUGUAUAGCUAGCAUCCCUGUACAACACUGCGCCUUCUUCCACCAGGGGGUCUGAGGUUCUGGGGGCCUGCUACCAGGGAAAAAGGAGGCUAAAGGUGGCGGGAAGAGGAGGUGAGGUUUGCUGGGGUAAGGCUGCCAACCAAACUCAUUACUUUGCCCUCUUCUCUUCCACGCCCCUCUUCUGGAGGGGAGCUCCGGCUUUGCGAACAUUCUCCACUCUACUUCUCUGCGCAAAAACGCACGGCUCGUUUUUGGCGUUUUCCCUGGCACAACUCUGGAGACUCUUGCCUCUGACAUGCACGACGCUUGAAGUCCGGGAGCUAGGGCCCUCCCUGCUCUACCAGGCUCCCGGCACACCAGCACAACGGAGGACGGGGACCGCCUUUCUGGUCCCGCACUUCCUAGUCCUUAACCUGGUCCAGCGCUGCCCAGGCAGCUGCUGAAGCUGCGGGUCUGGCCCCGCCGGCUGCUUAGCUCUGCGGGAGAUGACAACAUCUGCCUGAAACGGGAUACCUACUUUUGCAGCUCAAUUUAGCUCUUAAUAGCAGCCCUCUGAGGUGUGGUUAAUUGAUGGGGAUAAAGGCGUAAUGACUUGACGGGGAGACGCCAAUGAUCCUUUAAUAUACUUUUAAAAGAACAACCACCACCCCAAACCUCGGCGAGUCAUUGAUAGGUGGGAGGAUACGACGCGGAUCUGGAGGCAGGAAAAGCAGCGCUUGUGCCGUUUGUAUCUAGAGGCUUCAGUGAGGGGUGAGCCCUGGCUGUCAGGGCUGGGGCACCUGGGGGCCACCAGCGCGCGCAACUCGGGCUGUCNNNNNNNNNNNNNNNNNNNNNNNNNNNNNNNNNNNNNNNNNNNNNNNNNNNNNNNNNNNNNNNNNNNNNNNNNNNNNNNNNNNNNNNNNNNNNNNNNNNNNNNNNNNNNNNNNNNNNNNNNNNNNNNNNNNNNNNNNNNNNNNNNNNNNNNNNNNNNNNNNNNNNNNNNNNNNNNNNNNNNNNNNNNNNNNNNNNNNNNNNNNNNNNNNNNNNNNNNNNNNNNNNNNNNNNNNNNNNNNNNNNNNNNNNNNNNNNNNNNNNNNNNNNNNNNNNNNNNNNNNNNNNNNNNNNNNNNNNNNNNNNNNNNNNNNNNNNNNNNNNNNNNNNNNNNNNNNNNNNNNNNNNNNNNNNNNNNNNNNNNNNNNNNNNNNNNNNNNNNNNNNNNNNNNNNNNNNNNNNNNNNNNNNNNNNNNNNNNNNNNNNNNNNNNNNNNNNNNNNNNNNNNNNNNNNNNNNNNNNNNNNNNNNNNNNNNNNNNNNNNNNNNNNNNNNNNNNNNNNNNNNNNNNNNNNNNNNNNNNNNNNNNNNNNNNNNNNNNNNNNNNNNNNNNNNNNNNNNNNNNNNNNNNNNNNNNNNNNNNNNNNNNNNNNNNNNNNNNNNNNNNNNNNNNNNNNNNNNNNNNNNNNNNNNNNNNNNNNNNNNNNNNNNNNNNNNNNNNNNNNNNNNNNNNNNNNNNNNNNNNNNNNNNNNNNNNNNNNNNNNNNNNNNNNNNNNNNNNNNNNNNNNNNNNNNNNNNNNNNNNNNNNNNNNNNNNNNNNNNNNNNNNNNNNNNNNNNNNNNNNNNNNNNNNNNNNNNNNNNNNNNNNNNNNNNNNNNNNNNNNNNNNNNNNNNNNNNNNNNNNNNNNNNNNNNNNNNNNNNNNNNNNNNNNNNNNNNNNNNNNNNNNNNNNNNNNNNNNNNNNNNNNNNNNNNNNNNNNNNNNNNNNNNNNNNNNNNNNNNNNNNNNNNNNNNNNNNNNNNNNNNNNNNNNNNNNNNNNNNNNNNNNNNNNNNNNNNNNNNNNNNNNNNNNNNNNNNNNNNNNNNNNNNNNNNNNNNNNNNNNNNNNNNNNNNNNNNNNNNNNNNNNNNNNNNNNNNNNNNNNNNNNNNNNNNNNNNNNNNNNNNNNNNNNNNNNNNNNNNNNNNNNNNNNNNNNNNNNNNNNNNNNNNNNNNNNNNNNNNNNNNNNNNNNNNNNNNNNNNNNNNNNNNNNNNNNNNNNNNNNNNNNNNNNNNNNNNNNNNNNNNNNNNNNNNNNNNNNNNNNNNNNNNNNNNNNNNNNNNNNNNNNNNNNNNNNNNNNNNNNNNNNNNNNNNNNNNNNNNNNNNNNNNNNNNNNNNNNNNNNNNNNNNNNNNNNNNNNNNNNNNNNNNNNNNNNNNNNNNNNNNNNNNNNNNNNNNNNNNNNNNNNNNNNNNNNNNNNNNNNNNNNNNNNNNNNNNNNNNNNNNNNNNNNNNNNNNNNNNNNNNNNNNNNNNNNNNNNNNNNNNNNNNNNNNNNNNNNNNNNNNNNNNNNNNNNNNNNNNNNNNNNNNNNNNNNNNNNNNNNNNNNNNNNNNNNNNNNNNNNNNNNNNNNNNNNNNNNNNNNNNNNNNNNNNNNNNNNNNNNNNNNNNNNNNNNNNNNNNNNNNNNNNNNNNNNNNNNNNNNNNNNNNNNNNNNNNNNNNNNNNNNNNNNNNNNNNNNNNNNNNNNNNNNNNNNNNNNNNNNNNNNNNNNNNNNNNNNNNNNNNNNNNNNNNNNNNNNNNNNNNNNNNNNNNNNNNNNNNNNNNNNNNNNNNNNNNNNNNNNNNNNNNNNNNNNNNNNNNNNNNNNNNNNNNNNNNNNNNNNNNNNNNNNNNNNNNNNNNNNNNNNNNNNNNNNNNNNNNNNNNNNNNNNNNNNNNNNNNNNNNNNNNNNNNNNNNNNNNNNNNNNNNNNNNNNNNNNNNNNNNNNNNNNNNNNNNNNNNNNNNNNNNNNNNNNNNNNNNNNNNNNNNNNNNNNNNNNNNNNNNNNNNNNNNNNNNNNNNNNNNNNNNNNNNNNNNNNNNNNNNNNNNNNNNNNNNNNNNNNNNNNNNNNNNNNNNNNNNNNNNNNNNNNNNNNNNCAAGGUUUAAGGAAGACGGGCUCGACCGGCGAGUGGCACACGCUGCGAGAACCCCAGGCCCACGCUGUCGGUCAGCGCUGGCGGUUUGUGUCCCGGGGUCGGCGCAGCAAGCUUCCUGGGAAUGGGCCCGGAGCGGGUGGGAGCCGACUUCUCCGCAACUUGGUCAAGUUCAGAGACUCACCGUCGAAAGAGACCGCCUUUGCAGUCUUCCCCUCCCUGGCGAGAGCGCUCUGAGCCUUUGCGGUGCUCCGGGGCUGACUAACGCUGGGCCCUGCCUUGAGCACCUAGUCCCCUUCAGGUUUUGGGCUGAGAGGGGUAGGCAGCAAGGCCUGGGGCGCGGCCAGGAAACCUCAAACCCGAUUUUCUAGUUUUGGCCUGAAGAAGCCGCAAAGUCAGUGGGAGUUAACUUUGUGGCCUUUGGGGUUUUUGAAAACCCCUGCAAGGCGGGAACAGCACAGAGAAACCGCCGUGCAGUUCAUCAAAAAAUGUUUUGGGGGACCGUAUCUGGAGAGUUUUCUCAGAGAGUGUUGUAUAAUCUUGCAAAUUAGCGAGCUGGUAUGUAUCUCGCCACCGGUGCACUGAAUAGUAUCUUCCUCCAGACAGGGAUUGAGAAACGGAAAUACCACCACCCUCCAGCCAAACUUGUGAGGACUGAUUGCAGGGAAACUGGUGCUCCAGAUGUUGCACUAGAGGCGCUGCAAGUGUGAGCAGGUAACGUGGAGAAGAGUGACAUUGUUAACAGAAAGUAUCUAAUUAACAGUGACUUCAUUUGAUUGGAAGGAUGAAAAAGCCUUUUUAAAUCAAUCCAGAUUCACUGGCCUAAGCUCAGCCAAUUUAUGAAUAUGGAGCCUGACUGGGCUCUGCUUUCUUUCAAAGAUGUCAUCUUAGGGGUAAUAGCAUAGGUGAAGUCAUUUGGUUACACUGUGGAAACUUUUAUAGUGCCUUCCUUGGGAAUUUAAUUCAGUGCUUCUUCAUUUUAUUAGGAACAGACUGACUCCAUCAACUGUGCUCUCCCUGUUUAGAGGCAGGACUGCUUGAAGCAAUUAGGUUCACCAAUUAGCAUAGUUUUACUGACCCCAGCAGCAGCACCACUCCUUAGAUUAUCCAUUUCUUCAAAGUCAGAGAAAAGCUGGAGCACAACAUGCUUCCCAGGUGUCUAGGUUGGGAAAAUAAGCCCACAAGCAGGGUAGCACAGCAGUGCAAAAAGCUUUCUUAAUAGUCCCCAAGUGUUUCAGCAACUUUGGUGGAUUUCUCUCCCCUUUUCUGGUGCUGGAUCCUGUGAUACCUCCUUAUUUCACAGAGCCUUUAAAGCCUCUCUCCUUGGGUUGCAUUUUGGCAGAACUGUUUUCGAGAAAGUGAAUUUUCUCCCUUCUUUUAUGUCUGCCUGCAUGCUAACGAAGCAGUGGACGAUGUUAGGGUCCAGAGAGAGAAGUCACUGAAGGCUCCUUUAAACUCUGUUAGGUGACAAGGUAAGGGCUCAGGUCUUUGGGUGUGUCCGCGCAUGUGUAAUGUCCUUGCGUGUGUAUGUGCUUCACAACCUAUGAGGAGAGGCCAGAGGGUGGAGAUGGGGAUGUAAAUCACUGCUUUCCCUCAUUUUGAAGGUGUACCUGGAAGGCUUUGCUGCAGUCUCUUCACGGUCACCUCGGUCAGUUGGCAGCCAACAUCUUCAGUCGUAGAAGAUGUGUGGAGCUCGAAGCAGUCUAGGAAAGAAGGGACCUUACUCUUGCCACUGUCAGGUAGUGAAGGGGUUACAUUUACGUAGCUGUUCUCUGUCUCUCCCCUAAAAUGGAUACUCCUCUGUAAGAUUUUACUAGAUAGAACUGCUGACAGUUCAUCAGUAGCAGCCACAAUGUAAUACCCUAACCUUAUUAAAUCAAUAAAUACUAGAUCCAUGUAUUGAAUUAAAAAUGUAUCAGCAUGGCCAGGAAUUGCAAUCAUAUGGCCAUGGACCACAGAAUCGAAGAUGCCACUCAAAAAUUGACUAGUUAGCAUUUAUUUAACCUUUUUCUAUUUUGCAUCUAUGAUUAGAUGCUCUGGGUUUUAACAUUUCAGAGACCAUCGUGACAGGUUUUUGUUGUUUUUGUUUAUUUCUUGGAAAUUCUUUUCUUUCACUUCUCACAUUCAGCCACAAGAAUGAUGCAUUUGUAUUUAGGAAUAGUAAUAUUGCUGUGACUGUAUUGUUCUUGUCAUUAGUUUUCAUCUAGGAAAUAUAAUCCUACUCAGUACAUCUUACUAGAGUAAGAUGUACCCAGGUGCAUAAGUUUCUACAUAAGCAUGAAUAAAUUUAGAUGCAUAUGUUCUUGUAUAUGUGUAAAUAAAUAUACUCAAUGUGAAUGUACUGCCAUACAUUGAUAUGUUUAUUUUUAAAAAAGAAACCAUGUUUAAUUUUAUCUUUCAGCAUUGCCAAUGAUAUUAAAAGCUAAAGAACUAUUUAUUAUUGUGAAAGAAGUUAUUUAUAAUCUGAUUUGCUGUUGAAUCUUAAAUGGCAAGAGAUGAAAUUAAAAUUUUCAAGUCCUUAAACUGGACACAGUACUUAGAAAAUUACCCAUAUUGUAAAUGGCUACAUUUUAUGUGUGAAAGAAAUACUUCAAUGUGGUUUACCAGAAAUUGGUCAGUUAAGUUGGAGAUUAGUAGGUGAAUUUAGAAUUAGUCUGUACUGAAAACAAGGAAUGUGUUUAACACCUGGAGUUUUAAUGGAAAAAGUAAUAUUACUUUAGCCAGAUAUUUGUUUAUACUGAUUAAUGAUGCUAAUUAUUUAAAAACAUUCAUCCCCUAUUGAUGUCAGCCAGCGUAUUUGGUAGUGAAUUCUGAAGAUAAAGUCAUUGGGCCUUGGGUUCACUACACUGUGAAAGAAAAAAUCUUUAUUUGACGAAAUAGGCAAUCAACUGAAAUCUAUCCUCUUUAAAUAAACUGAUUCCUCAGUAUUUUCCCAGUGUUGGUGUAAGUUGUUGUCUGUGAUGUCCCCCAGGGCUCUUUCCUCUGCUCUCUGAUUUGGUAUAUAAAAGCAGCUCUGAAUGAUGGAUUACUGUGUCAUUGCAGCCUGCGAAGGAUUAAUUUGUUUCAUUGAUUUCUCUUUAGGCAGAUUGCCAGAAUUUGCUGCUUCCCACCUUUCCUCAAGACUUCUAGAAGUAAUAGACAGUAAUAGCCUAAGACAAAUCAGCUCCUUUUUGUAAAAAUAGAAUCAUGAAACCAGGAAUCCUAAUGAAAGCUAUGGCAAACUUUUUAUUGGCAUAUUGGAGAGAACAAUUAAUAGGCUACUUUAUCUGGCUUAGAAAUAGUUUUAUUUGAAAAAUGUCUUUGACUUGGUGACUUAAAACACAUCAUAUUGGUAGUUUGUAAGUAAGCAUUUAUAAUAUUUGUCCCAUAAAAGUUUUCUCUAAUUUGUAAGCAUCCUAUUUAACUCAGGAAAAAAAUGUGUUGUCUAUGUGAUUGACAAACACUUUUCUUUAUAUGUCAAAUUUUAGGAUCAAGUAACUUGUCAACAUAAAUUUAGGUAAAUUUACUUAUAAAUACUUAUAGGGCUAUUUGGUGCAAAGAAUUUUUAGAAACUUUGGACAAGGACACAGAGUAUUAGAGCAUAGAUAUAGAAUUAAUUAUUUAAAGAAAAUAUAACUUUUUGUGAUUGAAAAGCUAGUUAGUAUUUGCUCAUAAUAAUUUGCAAAAGUUAAAAAUGACAUUUUGUAUAUUUCUCUAAGCCUUUCUCCAAGCAUUUAUAUGUUUUAUUUAUAUAUAGAUAGACACCACUUUGUAUCUUGCUUUUUUCAGUUGGCAUUAAAUAGUAGAAAAUUUCCUGUGUAAUUAAAAUUAUUAAAGUCAUUUAUGUUGACUGUUUAAUGUUUUAGCAUGUAUAAUUAUUCAUUGUUCUAUUGGAGAGUUAGAUUUUUAAUUUUCCAUAAUUAUAAAUAAAGUUAUCAUAAAUGGCUUUUUAAAUAAAUCUUAUUCAUCCCUCUGGCUAUUUCCUUACAAUAUAUUAUUACAAAAGAAUUCACUUGGAUGAGGGUAUAGACUUUUUUUAAGGUUCUUGAUAUUGAUGGCCAAAUUGUUUUCCAGAAAAGUUCUUCCAGUUUAUACUGGUACUAUUGAAAAAAAUUUCUCUGUAGAGGCAGCAUUGUAAUCUAUGUUACAUGAGCAAAGAAAAUAGAACAACAUUCUUUCCUUGUCUUCUGAAAGCACUGGUAGCAUUUUGCAUACACUUAGUCUCUCAGAAGUAUUUUCUCAACUGCAGAUGUGAAAUAGGCUGGUUAUACAAAUCUAUUUGUUUCCCUUCUGUAGAUCAUUGAUUUAAUGAUCUCAAGUUAUACUUUUUAUGCAAUUAGUUGUGUAGUAAAAACUAAUAUUGUCAUGUGCUAAUGUUUUUUCCCCCUCUAUUGUGCUAUGAUAGUAGUCCAUGCAAUAUCAGCAAGUUUAUGCUUUUCCUGUGCUUUGCUGAAAGGAAAAAGGAACAUCUGUUUCCAUUAUAUAUCUGCAUCAUAAUGAUAACAAUUAAAUAGCUAUUAUGGUAGUAUACAGUAAAUAUAUUUUGCUGAAUGACCUGUACUCUCUUGUUGGAAAAUUUCAGAAAUUGCAGAGGCGUUUAGUUUUUACAGGUAGGUCCCAUGUAGAGGUUUAGACAGGCCUUUGAUUAGUUUAGGCGAAUCAUUGCGAUCUCGGUAAAAACAACCCUGAAGAUUAAACACUAGGCUAUCGGAUGUGACUCUUGAAUGUAUUUUUCUUAGGCAGAUGUUUAGAGUAAAAGUUAUUAGCUAUCUGAGUAUUCUUAAGUGAUUCAAUCAUGGUGCUAAUAAUACAGUUCGUUUUGUGUUUUGCGCUGUGUGUGUUCUUUUAAUAUUUUACUAAGCUGGAAAUUGGAAAUAGUUUUAUGUACAUAUUUUUGGAAUAUAUUUUAAAAUGUUUAUUUAUUUUGAGAGAGAGUGCGUGCACGCUGCACACAGUGCACACACAUGUGAGCGGGGGAGGGCAGAAGAGAGGAGAGAGAAUCCGUAGCAGCAUCCUAGCUAUCUGCCCAGAGCCUGAAGUGGCGCUUGAUACCGCGAAUUAUGAGAUCAUGACCUGAGCUAAAAUCAAGAGUCAGGUGGUCCCUUAAUCAUCUGAGACACCCAGGCAACGCCCCCUCCUUUUUUUUUUUUUUUUUUUUNNNNNNNNNNNNNNNNNNCCCCCACAUAUUAGGGGAUCAUAGUGAUACUUGCCUUUUAAGCUCAUGAGGAGAAUGUUUGAAACUGACACACUAUUUCCAUUGACCUUUAAUAUUCCAGGGAAGUGUUUUCAUUUAUUUCAUUCAGCUUUUGGUUAAAGAUGUUUUGGUGGUUACUUAAAAAAAAAAUGGUUAGAAAGUAUUUCAGGCAAAAUGUGGCAUAUCAAGAAAAACAGACAUGUGCUCCAAACUGUUUGAGAAGUAAAGUGUUACCUGUACAAUUGAAGCUCUUCCUGAUCUUACUCCCUGAUGGCUUCUUGAAGAGAUAAUCAUCAUCCUAAAUUUGAUCAUUAUCUUUUUUGCCUCUUAAGUAUUUUUCUUGACAUGUCUAAAGAUUUGUUGUAAGUGACUUGUCCUUUUAAAUGAAUUAAUUUUAAGAUGUUGAAGCUGUGAAAGCUGUUGGAACCUUUUUCGUCUAAUCACCUGUGAGUGAUCAUGUUUCAUCUGUGAAGUUGUGGACAGAUCCACAUGUUCUUUGAUGUCCUCCUAGGCGUAAUUAAAGUUUUUUGAUUACCUCUUAUUUUCCAUAUGAAAUAAAACAAAAGGAAAAGGCCCAGAGAAAUUUAAGUAACUUACUGAAGACCAUAUAGUAAAUCUAGAGCCAGGAAUGAAACUUAGUUCUCCUGACUUCCAUUCAAAGCACUCUUCUCUUCAGUUCACGUUGUCUGCUUUGGGUACUGGCUAACUGACCACUGUGGUAUCCUGUGGUUAAAGACUGUCUGUAGGCUUUUAUAAUUUUGUGAUUGUGUAUGCAGAAAAGGUUUUUCUCUAAGAGUAUUUUUCCUGUAGGGGAAAACAUUGAAGCCAUUAUCAGCCUGUAAGCUACCUAUAGAAGGAGAAGACUGAAUGUGUAGCCUCCUAUAGAGGCUGCGGUUUUCUUCUUUAUUUUCUGGACUUUCCUGGAAAAAAUGGUAGUUUGGGUACAAUGAAGCUUUUGAUAGUUGUCUUACUGUGUGGUCAGUUUUCUGAUCUCUUCAUGGUAACUGGACCAGGAAAAUAGGAAUGGGCACAAAUAUAAGUGUCUCUUUACGUGUACAUAUAUCUAUUUUUCAAUAUAUUUUGGCAGUCAGGACUUUGACAAAUUGCUUCUUUCUUUUUUUUUUUUUGUAGCUUAUGUUGUGGUCAAAUCACAAAUGACUUUCUAUUUGAAAAUGAGUUUGUUUCUUGUUUCUAUUUAGCAAGCAACUUAUCAGAGCACUAAAGUGAGAGUAGCACAAAUAGAAUAAUUUUGAAACACAUUUUUAAAAUCUCUUUGGAGAAAAACCCUAUUCUAAAAAUGGGAACCUAGAAUUCCAUGCAUGUACGUUCUUUCAGGUUUUUACUCUAUCGAAUUUAAUUCAUUCUUAGUUGAGAUGAGUAAGCUUGAGUCAUAAUAUUCACAGUGCCGUGCCUUUCCUAUGAAAAAAUUUCAGUGUAACUAGAGAUGGAAUUAAUGUAUCCUAUUAUAAGACUAUCUGUUCCCAAAUCUGUUGCUUUAAGACCAAAAACUUGGUUUAAUAAAUUAUUUGGUUCUAUGAAUACAUACUAGGAAACUUGUAAUCGUAGCAAUCAUUCUUUUUAGGGAAGAUGAAGCUACUAAUCGUAGCUUUGUCAGUGCUAUAAAUAUUCUCAAGGUAGUUGUGUUUUAACAAGCAAGGCAGGUAAUACAUUUUUCUCUAUUUUAGAUCAGUUAUCUUAUGUGUUCAGCAGCUGCUAGUAGGAAAUUUUCCCUAGCAUAUUAGUUUGGGGAGGAGAGAUCCAAUGUAAUCAGAUAUCAACAUUCAGUACUCCUUUUAUUUAGCAUUUAUAAAUGCAUAUUGCUUUUUAUGAAGCAUAUUGCUUUAUUUGCUCAUACUAAAUAUUAUUUCUUUCAUAUCUGUAACAUUUCUGUCUGGAGAGAAAGCUGUGUAUGUGUGUGUGUGUGUCUGUGUGUGUCUGUGUGUGUAUGUCUGUCUGUAAAUAUUUGCAAGGCAUUUGUCUAGUUGAAAGUUCUGGUGAACGUCUGUAAUGGGUAAUAUAAAGACUUUUCUACACUCAUUAAAUUUCUCCAUUGUUGCUCUAUCAGGUAGGUGAAACUCAGCAGAAAAAAUGUGAGUAGAGGAAACUAGCCCCUUGCUAACUUGUUUCUCCUUGACCAUAAUAUGAACCUGGACAGUAGUGGUGAGAAUAUGGAAUCUUAAUCACCAAGCCAGUAGUGCUAACACUAGAGAAACCACGGUGAGACACAACAAUGUAUAGUCCAUUUAUAUUAUUUUACUAUUUUAGUUAUAUAGCUCUUUGAAGAAAGGUGAUGUAUUGUUUACAGAAACCUCUAAAUUUGGAAAAAAAAGUGUAUGUAUUUUUAUGUAUGUAUGUAUAUAUUUAUAUGAUUGUAUAUUAUGUGUAUUUUUUGCCAUAUAUACUAUCAGGAUUAUAGGUGCUUAAAUAUCUGCGCUUUUUGUACUCCGUUCUUAAUGACUGUACUUUAGACCAAGUUGAGAUUAUUUCAAAACUAGCAUUGGCUGUGUAUUUUCUAUUGACACAGCCAACACACAAUUUUCAGAUGUGAUCUCAGAAUUUUUCUGUGGGUAAAAGGUAGAGUUUUCUUCUACUAACGUUAGAUUUGCAUGUUGUAAAAUUUUGUUCAUGGCCUGUUUCGAAAUCCCAGAUCUUUAGGAUUUUCUCACUAUUUGAUUCUUAGGAGAAUUAUGCUGCUGUUGUGCUUAUUGUUCUUGAGAGAUAGACAGUUAACACCUAUUUAUUGAAUUCUUGUCAUGCUUACUGCAUGUGAGAUAGAUAAAAGCAAAGUCAUUGCUCUUCAGGGAAUAAUUAUUGAUAUGGUCUUUUGCCAAUAAUUUAACAGAUUAUAUUUUCUUAAUAUAAUGUAUUUGUGAUUUUAUUAGUAUUACUACAUGAAGACUUUAAGAGAAAAAGAAAAUACAUUUAGGUUUCCAUUGCUGUUCUUUGCCUUUUGAAAAAUUGUUGGAGUUAUAAUUUGGGAUCAGCCAAAAUGAUAUUAAUAUAGUAUCUUGAACAAAUAGGAUGUGGCAUUUGCUAACUUUAAAUCAGUUUUUUUUAAAGAAUAUAAGAUCUAAGAAUUUUUCCUGAUACCCUAUUUUGUUUAAAUUAAGUAUACCAGUCUAAUUAUCUCUCUGUAAAUAAAAAAUAAUUGCCUAACAAUAUCUCUCUGUAAAUAAAAAACAAUUGCCUAACAAUGUUUCUGAAAAGCACCCUUUGUGCUACUGCUUUAGCAAGAAGCAGGUUCAUUUUUUUCAAAGCUCAAAAAAAAAAAAAAAAGAAAAGAAAAGAAAAUCUUGCCAUUUGUAACUACGUGGAUGGAAGUAGAGGAUGUUAUGCUAAGCGAAAUUAGAGAAAGACAAAUAUCAUAUGACUUCACUUAUGUGAGGACUUUAAGACACAGAACAGAUGAACGCAAGGGAAGGGAAGCAAAAAUAAUAUAAAAACAGGGAGGGGGACAAAACAUAAGAGAUUCUUUUUUUUUUUUAUUUUUUAUUUUUAUUUUAUUUUUUUUUUUAAUUUUUUUUUUCAACGUUUAUUUAUUUUUGGGACAGAGAGAGACAGAGCAUGAACGGGGGAGGGGCAGAGAGAGAGGGAGACACAGAAUCGGAAACAGGCUCCAGGCUCUGAGCCAUCAGCCCAGAGCCUGACGCGGGGCUCGAACUCACGGACCGCGAGAUCGUGACCUGGCUGAAGUCGGACGCCUAACCGACUGCGCCACCCAGGCGCCCCAAGAGAUUCUUAAAUAUGGAGAACAGAGGGUUCCAUACUGGAGGGGUUGUGGGAGGAGAGAUGGGCUAAAUGGGUAAGGGGCAUUAAGGAAUCUUCUUCUGAAAUCGUUGUUACUAUAUGCUAACUAACUUCAAUGUAAAUUUAAAAAAAACCUCAACUAACAGUAUAUUUAAAUUAAAGUUGGGAACUACACUAAGUAUGAAGGCAAAACAUAUUUUCAUAGACAUUUAGAAAAAUACCUGUGUUUGAUUUUGACUUCCCAUUAGCUUCGAUGGAAAUACUGAAUUUUUGCAUUGAACAUGUUUCUGUUUACUUUUUUAGAGAGAGAGAGAGAGAGCGAGAGAGAGCAAGGGACUGUGAGCAGGGCAGAGGGGCAGAGAGAGAGGGAGAGAAUCCCAAGCAGGCUCCAUUCUUAGUGUGGGGCCCUAUGUGCGUCUCAGUCCAUGACCUGAGCUGAAAUCAACAGUCGGACGCUCAAACUACUGAGCCACCUAGAUGCCCCUGCACAUGUUUUUAUAGCAUUACAAAUGAACAUGUUUUUAUAGUUCACCAAAGUUUAUUAAAGGAUGCUAAGAACAGUUACUAUUUGGCUGUCACACAAAAAAUGAGUUGUUGAUUUCUUUGCCAAUAGAUCUGACCUAGGUAGAUAGCUGUUUUUGAUAAAAAAGUUUAACAAAAAUACCCCUACCCCUAUAAUAAAGUCUUUUUGGAUUUAAUCUUGUAGUUUUUCUAUCUGUUUAUAUGUGGAUAGAGGUGUAAGUUUCAAUUUACAAGUAUUACAAUAAACAGUCAAAGUAUAAUUUAUAUUUUGUGUAGAGUGAGAAAAUAUGGUCCUUUUGAAUUUUAGUGAUUGAUAAGGUUUUGCAUUAUUUAUACAUUUCUCAAAACAAAUAUACACAUUCCUGGGACGCCUGAGUGGCUCAGUCGGUUUUGUCAGGCUUCAGCUCAGGUCAUGAUCUUGCACUUUGUGGGUUCUAGCUCUGUGUCGCUCUGUGCUGACAGUUUGGUGCCUGGAGCCUGCUUUGGAUUCUGCAUCUCCCCCUCUCUGCCCCUCCCUCACCUGCGCUUUGUCUCUCUCUCAUUCAGAAAUAAACAAACAUUAAAAAAAACCCCACAACAAAUAUACACAUUCCAAAAUAAGUCCCUUUUUAUUUAGCUACAGUUUUGAGAUGUGUAUUUUAUAAGAUAUUUUUAAAAAGGCAAAAAAACCAGUAAUAUUUGGUAGAAGGUUCCAGUGGAUUGUACUAUACUAUUAGGCUCAGGCUCAUGUCAGUCUAGUUUGACAAUUUACGGGUUGUUGUUUGGACUGUCUAGAGCUUAGUGAUCUGAAGGAAUAAGGGAGUGGUAUUACAGAGCUUCGAAAGCAGCAUACCAACUGAUGUCUGUGACAGAGCCAAAAGUCACCAAGAUCCUGUUUGUAUUUCAUUUCCAAUAUUAAUCAGUUUAAAUGUGUUUUGAGUUUUGACCAAUAGGUUUAAAAUUCUGAAACUUCUGCAUUUUAUAGUAGGGAACUAGCCAAAGACUAUAUUUUUAUAUACAAUGUGUAUGAUGAAGAGUUUUGUUCUUACAUAAACUUGCUUAAUAGUUGUCCUACCCAAGAGAAGUAUAAAAAAAUCCUUAAUUAUGAAUUUUCCUUUUUAUAUACAUUGUAAAACCUUCUUAUCAUUAUAUGCUAAGCAUAUUUCAUAUAUUGUUUAAUCUGUUUAUAUAAACUGUAAAAUUCCCAUUUUACUGGUGAAGAAUUUGAGGCUCAACCGUGGUUAAGUAAUUUGCUCAAGUCACAUAGCUGAUGAGUAACAUAGCAAGGAUUUGAAGUAUGUGUCCCUCUAGAGCCCAUUCCUGAUCUAUGCUGAUUUCCCUGCUUCUCAUCAAGUAACUCAUUGUAUUAUCUUUGGAUUAUAGGUCAAAUUGUAUUCUCACAGGCACAUAAAAGUGCAUAGAGCAACUCUUUCAUAAAACAAAGGAAAAUCUAUAUAAUUUCAUGUUAUUUUUAUGUCCCAAUAGCUAUAGGAUAAUAUUCUCUCUGUUUGAUUAUGUGCUUUAUAAAUGGUACUUUAUAGAUGAAACUCUUUCCUUAGAGUCAUUUGGUACUAGGUUGACUUAGCUAUUAAAUACCACCUUUGCUAGUGGUUGAAAAAUGAAUAGCAAGAAAAUUUAUUAUUACUGAUUUGCAAUCUUCAGAAUGUUUUUGUCUUUAGUGACUUCCAGGGGGACAAAUCAGUUUCCCUUAUUAGGUAUAUUAUUUUGCUUGGGCUGUGUAGCAUUGUACCACAAAAGGGGUAGCUUAAGCAACAGAAAUUUAUUGUUGCCUGGUUCUUGAGGCUAGAAGUCCAAGAUCAAGGUGUUGUCAAGGUAAUUCCUUCCAAUGGCUGUGAGAAAGAUAAUCGAUUACAUGCCUCUCUCCUAGCUUGUGGUGGUUUGUUGGUAAUCUUUGGUAUACUUUGGUUUACAGAUGCGUCAUCCUGAUCCCUGUCGUCAUCUUCAUGUGGUGACCUCCCUGUGUAUGUUUCUGUCUUUAUGUCCAAAGUUUCCUUAUUUAUAAAGACACCAGUCAUGUUGGAUUAGAGCCUAUCCUGAUGACCUCAUUUAACUUGAUAAUCUGCAAAGACCUUAUUUCCAAAUAAGGUCACAUUCACAGGUACUGAGGGUUAGGACUUCAACAUAUUUUUGGGGGGACACCAUUCAACUUAUAACAGUAGGCAACUUUUUCUGAGAUAAUAGAUUUGAAAACUCUUUAAUAGUGAUCAAUGUUUGCAGUUUAUCAAUUCAUUGGUAUAAUUAUAUGCAUGUCUGCCCAUAAGUGAGUCAGGUCUGAAUAUUCAUUUUGGAAUAGGACUGAUUUUACCUUAGUAUUCUUAAAACACUGUAGGAAGAACAGACUGGAGAAGUAUUUAGGAAGGAUUUCAAUAAAUGAUACGAUGGAGUGUCACAGUGUAUGGAGCAGAUAAUGAGCUUUUGGAAAUUCAAGUACAAAAUCAGUAUAGCUGGUGGUAUGAUGAAGUUGGGAUUUAGACAGAUAUUCAGAGCAAGAGGAUGCUAUAGAAACAGAGAGGUUACGGGUUGAGGUUCUGUUGUAGGAAUGUGUAUUUUAUGUAGAGUGGGCCAUGGUGAUAAGGGGAGGCUUUGGGCCAGUUAUAUUGUGAAGGAAUCCUGGCUCUGGCCCUUUAGAGUUAAGGCCAAUUUUAAAGUUUCAACAAAUUCCUGUAGGAUUUAUUUUUAAUUUUACUGUGUAGACAAUUUGAAAUAUAUCAUUAACAAGAAAAACAUGACCUGUAUCUCUACUACCCAGUGCUAGUUGUUAUUAACAUUUUGGCAUCUUGAUACAAUUCUUAUGAAAUUCCUGCCAUGCUUUUUGAUUGAGAUUAUACCACCUAAAUAGUUUACUAAAAUAAAUCAACACCUGUUUCUAAAUAUGUAUCUGAAUUUGAGACCCGUUGGGGAACAGACCUAAUGACCACUGAUGAUGAAUCGGGUCACCAUAAUUCCAUAAACCAUUAGGUCAAGACAGUUUUGUCUCAUGUGAUUUAGUCCUUUGCCUUGUCCUGUUGUCCUUCCUCCUGUCUUUCACACUACUGCCAAGAUCUUUUUAAUGAUUACAUCACUCCUCUGGCUUACCUCCUUUAGUCAGACCGAGGUCCAGCUAUUUAGCAUAAUAGGCAUCUCUGUGAUCUUUUUCAUGCCUUUUUCUUCUCAUUUUAUACUUUCCAAAAAGCUUUUAGAAUUUCUCAGAAUAUUGUGUACCCUUUUGCACCUCUAUAAUUUUUCACCUCUCCCCUGCACUAAGAAUGUCUUCUUUCUUUUUGUCCCUCUGUUCAAUGGCUGUUAUUUUUUAAAUACUCAUUUCACAUGACGUUUCUUCUCUAAAGCCUUUAUUCUAAGCCAGUUUUCUUUUAGUAUCUGUAGCACUUUCUAGAAAACUGGCUAUAAACUGAUGACAGGGUAUCAUAGUGACUAAUUUCCUUCUUUAUCUUUCUUAUUUUUUUCUUUUUAAAGAAAGUUUAAAUUCUAGUUGUUAACAGAGUGUAAUAUUAGUUUCGGGUGUACAGUAUAGUGAUUCAGCACUUCCAUACAAUACCUGGUGUUCAUCAAAACUUGUGCACUCCUUAAUCCCCAUCACCUAUUUCACCUAUCCCCCCUCCCAUCUCCCCUCUGGUAACCAUCAACUUGUUUUCUGUAGGUAAGGGUAUGUUUCUUGGUUUGCUUCUCUCUCAUUUUCUCCUUUGCUUGCUUGUUUUUUUAAUUACAUUCCACAUAUGAGUGAAAUCAUAUGGUAUUUGUCUUUUGCUGACUGACUUAUUUUGCAUAAUCCUCUAUUCUAUCCAUGUUGUUGUAAAUGGCAAGAUUUCAUUUAUUUUUCAUGACUAAGUAAUAUUCCAGUGUGUGUGUGUGUGUGUGUGUGUGUGUGUGUGUGUGUGUAUACCACAUCUUUUUUCUUUUUUUAGUUUCAAGCCUUAAAUACUAGUUACAGGCUUUAAGUUCCAGUGUUCGUUUCAGGAAAAGGAUUUAGUGAUUCAUCACUUACAUAUGACACCCAGCACUCAUCACAACAAGUGCCUUCCUUAAUAUUCAUCACCCUUUUAACCCAUUCCAUCACCCACUUCACCUUCAGCAACCCUCAGUUUGUUUUCUAUGGUUAGGAGUCUGUUUUAUGGUUUGCCUCUCCCACCACCUCCCCGACCCAUGUUCAUCUGUUUGGUUUCGUAAAUUCCACAUAUGAGUGAAAUCAUAUAGUAUUUGUCUUUCUCUGACAUAUUUCAUUUAGCAUAAUACAUUCUAGCUUCAUCCACAUCAUUGCAAAUGGCAAGAUGUCAUCCUUUUUGAUGGUGAGUAAUAUUCUAUUAUAUAUAUGCACCACAACUUCUUUAUCCAUUCAUCAGUCGAUGGACAUUUGGGCUGUUUCCAUAAUUUGGCUAUUGAUGAUGCUGCUUUAAACAUCGAGUUGGGUGUAUUCCUUCAAAUCAGUAUUUUUGUAUCCUUUGGGUAAAUACCUAGUAGUGCAACUGCUGGAUCAUAGUGUAGUUCUAUUUUUACUUUUUUGACGAACCUCCACACUGUUUUCCAGAGUGGCUACACCAGUUUGCAUUCCCACCAACCAUGUAGGAGGGUUCCCCUUUCUCUGCAUCCUUGCCAACAUCUGUAGUUUCCUUUGUUAUUAAUUUUAGCCAUUUUAUAGGUGUGAAGUGAUAUCUCAUUGUAGUUUUGAUUUGCAUUUCUCUGAUGAUGAGUGAUGUUGAGCAUCUUUUCAUGUGUCCGUUAACCAUCUGAAUGUCUUCUUUGGAAAAUGUCUAUUCAUGUCUUCUGCCCAUUUCUUCAUUGAAUUAUUUGUUUUUUUUUGGGUGUUGAGUUUGCUAAUAAGUUCUUUAUAGAUUUUGGAUCUAUUAGAUGUGUCAUUUGCAAUUAUCUUCUGCCAUUCUGAACGUUGUCUUUCAGUUUUGUUGAUUGUUUCCCUUGCUGUGCAGAAGCUUUUUAUCUUGAUGAAGUCCCUUUAGUUCAUGUUUGCUUUUGUUUCUUUUGCCUCAGGAGACAUAUCUAGUAAGAAGUUGCUGUGGCCAAUGUCAAAGAAGUUGCCACCUGUGUUCUCCUCUAUGAUUUUUAUAGUUUCAUGUCUCACAUUUAGGUCUUUCAUCCCUUUUGAAUUUAUUUUUGUGUAGGGUGUAAGAAAGUGGUCCAGUUUCAUUCUUUUGCAUGUCGCUGUCCAGUUUUCUCAACACCAUUUGUUGAAGAGACUUUUUUCCUUUGGAUAUUCUUUCCUGCUUUGUCAAAGAUUAGCUGAGAAUAUAGUUGUGGGUCCAUUUCUGGGUUUUCUAUUCUGUUCUGUUGAUCUAUGUGUCUGUUUUUAUGCCAGUACCAUACAGUCUUGAUGAUUACAGCUUUGUAAUAUACCUUGAAGUCUGGAAUUGUGAUGGUUCCAACUUUGCUUUUUCUUCUUCAAGAUUGCUUUGGCUAUUUGGGUCUUUUGUGGUUCCAUACAAAUUUCAGGAUUGUUUGUUCUAGCUCUGUGAAAAAUGCUGUUGGUAUUUUGGUGGCUGCAUUAAAUGUGUAGAUUGCUUUAGGUAGUAUAGACAUUUUAACAAUAUUUGUUCUUCCAAUCCGUGAGCAUGGAUUGUCUUUCCAUUUCUUGUGUCAUCUCCAAUUUCUUUUCUUUUUUUUAAUUUUUUUAAAGUUUAUUUAUUUUGAGAGAGAGCAAGCGUGUUGGGGGCAGAGAGAGAGAGGGGAGAGAGAGAAUGCCAAGCAAGCUCUGCACUGUCAGCGCAGAGCCCGACUCAGGGCUUGAACUUACGAACCAUGAGAUCAUGACCUGAACUGAGAUCAAGAGUCAAGCGCUUAACCAACUGAGCCACCCCAUCAUCUUUAAUUUCUUUAAUCAGUGUUUUUAUAGUUUUCAGAGUCUACCAUCUUUAUCUUUUUUACUAGACUGAAUUACUUAAGAGCAAGGGUCAUGUGCUAGUUAUGUUAGUAUAUAUAGCACUCAGCAUUGUACCUAGUAGGUGUUUGAGCAAGAUGUUUGCUGAAUAAGUAAACAAUCUUGUGUUUUCAUCUAAUACUGUCUUGCCAGGAAUAGAACUAUAGCAAGAAUAAGUGGUAUUUUGAUAGUUCAUUUCAAGUUAUCAAGCAAUUAUUAGGCAUUUACAGUUUGUGAGGUAUUCUGCUGGGCAUUGUAGAAAUGGGAAACUAAAGUGAAGGAGAACUUUAGGGGCACCUGGGUGGCUCAUUGAGUUGGGUGUGCGACCUCGGCUCAGGUCAUGAUUUCACAGUUCAUGAGUUUGAGCCCUGCAUCGGGCUCUGUGUUGAUAGCUCAGAGCCUGGAGCCUGCUUCAGAUCUGUGUCUCCCUCUCUUUCUGCCCCUCCCCCACUGAUGCUCUGUUUCUCUCCAUCUCUCGAAAAUGAAUAAAUGUUAAAAAAAAUGAAAAAAAAAUAAUGAAGGAGAACUUUAAGAGUUUGCAGCCUAGUGGAGAACUUCCAGUUUUGGUGAGUGGGUGGGGAAUCACGGUAAGAAAUACAGUGAAGACUGGUUAAGGGGACCGACCCACUGAAAUAGAAUUGUGAGUGGAAACGGUUGUAUAGUGACUUUAAAUUAACAAAGUUUAUUUGGUUACAGGUGGCAUUGGGCCUGCAUCACAGGUUGUAGCAGAUGUUCUCAACGUUUCUAUCGAGACUUCCUUAUAUCCACUUGCAAGAGGAGCCCAGGAGCCUCAUCCCUGUGGUAGCUACCAUUCUCUGGUAUGAUGCUGUGCUUUCUAUUUCACCCUUUAUAUUCUCGCUGUUUGUUAUUGCAAACAGUUAUGUAGAACUGGAAGUGGAAUGUUUUAAUAAUACUGAUAUUGUGAUUUCUUUGAGGUUGUGUAUUAUGCUUUGUUAUUCUUAUACCUGUUCACAGAAACCCCAAAUAGUGAGUGCCUUGCUCAUUGUAGAUGCUUAGCAUUGUGUUUUUGUUUGAAUUGUAUCUAGUUGUAAGUAGCUCCUUAUUGAUUAUUAACAGAUGCUAAUCUAAUUUUUAUUCCUUUCAAUAAUAAAGAAGCACAUAACAUCAACUUUACUUAUACUUAAAAACUAUGUCUUCAGGUAAUGUUGAACCAACUUCUUAACUCUUAUGAAGGAGAUUCAUCUGGUAACUAAUAAAAUUCCAUAUCAGGAAUAUUUAAUUACAAACUUCUGUUUUAACAUGAAUAAACACUAUAGCUAGUAAUGAAAGUAUUUUUUCUUCAUAAAAAAUGGAAGUAUUUUUCAGGAUUUUAGGAAAUGUCACAGUAAUUUUGGCUGUAGUCAUACUGAAUUUAAUGCUAUUGAAAAUGUUGCUAACAUUAACAAAAAUAUUCUGUAAUUUCCUCAGUUAUUGCUACUGGUGAUGAGGGAUGUAAAGUUGGCAUGCUUUCAUGUUUUGAGCAUUUUCAUUAUACACUUUUGAUUUUACAUGUCAGAAGCAAUCUUUGUUUUAGGUAAGACAGCUGAGAACAUUUUUACUCAGGAAUAGAGGUCAGCCUUUGACUGUAUUUUUAGGUCAGGGAAAGAUCAAAUAAAAUGAAUGAGAGUAAAUACAUGUACAAUUUUGUAUGUAAGUAUUAUAAAAUAUAUAUAUUUGUCUGACUUUGUUUUUAGUUCAUUAAAACAUAGUGGCUUGGGACCAAGGCAUAGGUUUCAUUUCUAUGUUAAUAAUUUUAUUUUGUUAUUUUCUGUGACCACUGGUAACACUCAUCUUGCAGAUAUAAGCUGUUGUUCACCAGGGAGCUUUGGCAAGAGAAUUGGCCAGAUCAGCGAGUUCAUCUCCCUUGGGGAAAAACAACUUGAAGCUCAUCUCUGUUGAAGGUGAGUCAGUGUCAUCUUCACACAGGAAAGAUCACACUAGUGUUAUUUGAUGUUUUCAGCAUUAUCAAGCGAUAGUUUGGUUUAAACUUUGUUUUAUGGGAUGUUAAACCAUCAUGCUUUAUUACUAGAGUGUAAUGAAGAUUCACACAGAAAUCAACCUGACAAUGAAAAGGGGUGGAAGUGACAGUUUGGUGUUUAUGAAUAUACCUAAAAGUAGUAGGGGUACUCUUUCUUUUCUUUCUUUUAUUUUUUAAAGUUUAUUUAUUUUUAAGGAUAAUCUCUAUAUCCAGUGUGGGGCUCGAACUUGACCUCAAGAUCAAGAGUCACAUGCUCUUCCAAGUGAGCCAGCCAGGUGCCCCAAUUUGAGUACUCUUUCUCACCUCCAUUCUUAUUUCCAUAUAACACAUGCUAGCUAACUUAUAAUUCUUGACUUUUAUUUGAAUGAAUAUUGGCUAGAAAAGAAUCACAUAUGUUACUUAUUUAUUUUAAAAUAUAUUACUGAUUUCAGGGGCGCCUGGGUGGCUCAGUGGUUAAGCAUCCAACUUCGGCUCAGGUCAUGAUCUUGUGGUUUGUGGGUUUGAGCCCCGCAUUGGGCUCUGUGCUGACAGCUUGGAGCCUGGAGGCUGCUUUGGAUUUUGUGUCUUCCUCUCUCUCUGGCCCUCCCCCAACUCAUGCUCUGUCUCUUUCUGCUCUCUUAAGAAUAAAUAAACAUUAAAAAAUUUAUAUAAAAAAUAAAAUAUAUUACUAAUUUCGGGAAAUUUCAGAUAACUGCAGUAUCAAUGUAAAGAUUCUCGUCUGUUUUCAAAUACAUUAUUUGGUCUUUCAACUGGUAGCCAUUGUUGAUGCUUGCCACAGGCUUUCUUUCCUAGCUAUAUAGUGGAUGACCAUAUAUGUUUAAUAUUAUUACAAGGGGUAGUAGUGUAUCUAAUAGCAAUCUGUAAUUCAGGUCAUUAUUAUUUAAUGCAUAUUCAUUAAUCAUUACUUCACUUUACAAAUUACAUUUGUGAUUUGACCUAACCCUUCCUAACCAUGAUGUUUGUGUGUGUGUCUGCAUGUGUGUAACAUUGUAUGUAAGUAACUUGAUAACAGUUACUGAUGUUGCUUUGGCCCUCUUUACUCAAGUUGUUUUCACUUGAAUCAUCACCAAUGUCAGGUUGUCAAAGUAAAUUUUCUUUUACAGUUCUGCUUUAGUACUAUUCUAUCUUUUUUGUUGUCACUGUUCCCUUUUAAUUUUUCUUCUUUUGGGAUAUAAACAAAUCCCAAAUCAAAGACUGGUAGGACUGAUGCUCACUGACUUCAAAAAACAGGUCUCUCUGUAGGGAGAGGAUCUUUACAGGUACAUGAUGUUCCAUGAUUAUAACCAGCCUUACCAUCUAUACUAAAUGGCUUAUAAAAGGCCACAAAAUAUAAAAAGGAAUAACGCGGCACUAUAUUUGGAGAAAACGUUUGAUUGCAUAGUUUUCUUUUCCUCAAAAAGGCACUCAAUAUUUUUGUAGGAAGAUUGGGCUUUCCCUUCCCAUGCUUUAUAAGUAGUUAUUAAGUAUAACUCAUUGCGUUUUCAAAAGUCUCAUUUCUUGAAAGCAUUAUUUUAAGAUGAUUGUCUCAGUAUUAUUGUUUUCUCAUUAGGCCUAGCUCAAACAUUUUCAGUUGGACUAGACUUUGGAAAUUUCUUUAACAUUAUAGUGGAAGUUAAAGUUAUUUAGUGUAUAAACUUGAGUUUGUCUUUACUAGAAUAAUUUCUAUUGUAGGUGUAGUGAUGUGAUACUACUUUUUGAAUAAUUAAUAAUUAUAAUUAUAUAAUUGUUGUUAAAACUGAUGUAAUUUGUUCCACUCUAAGUGCUUUUUAUAUUUUAUUAUAUUUUUACAACAGUUAUGUGGGGUAGGAAUAAUUAUCUCAGGUUUAUAGACGAGAAAACUUAGAGCCAGAGUUCAAUAAUUUGCGUAAGGUCAGUGAAUGACGAAGGAUUUCAGUCCUGAACUAUGUGGCCUCAGAACUUCUGCCCAGAGCUCCUAUUUAUAAGUGCUGUGUUAAGCUGCUUGAAAGGUUUACUUACGCAACUUGAGAAUGCGCUGUUUCACUUUUGAGGCACAGUCUGGCCAGUUCACAGUGAUUUUGUACGACUGACUGAGGUACACCAAAAUGUAUCUGGCUGAAACAUUUGCUUUUGUGACUUUAUGUAGACAUAACGUUGGACAGUCUGCCAGUAUAUUAUGUAUACUUCGUGUUGUGUGUAUGCUGCGUGCAUGUUAUCACGUGUAUGGAUUCUUGAUAAUGCUUUCUUGGAAAACUUGCUAUAACUUUAGUGUCUGCUCCGCUCUUCAGGUAGUAAAAUUGUUGUUUAAUUUGCAAGUUUGCUAGAGCUGGAGAUCCUUGUUCUGGGAGAUUAUUUACAUGUUGAUAUAAAGCAGAUAGGCUAAAAUGGUGAUAUUAGUUCUCUAACAGGUGUAUAAUGCAAUAUGAAAUGUUAGUGUGACCAUUGUUGAGGAAAGCCAUAUUACAUAAAUUGAAUAGACAUUCUGGAAACCUAUGAUCCCAUGAUUUUUCCCUCCACAAACAGGAGAAACCAUUGAAGGAUUUUAAGGUACAGAUUGUGUUCUCUUUAGCAUACAUACAAGGUUUUCUGUUAGUGGUCCAUUCCAUGUUGUCUCAAGCUUGCCUCCGGCAGCCCUCUUCCUUACUCUCCCAUGUCAUGUAUACUCCUUACAUGUCUACCUCAGUUAAACCGGGAACCUUAUAUUUUAUAUUUAUGUACCUUUACAUUUUAUUGUACUUAUUAUAUCUCUCUAGACUAUAGAUUUCUUUCUUUUUUAAAGAUUAUUUAUUGAUUUAUUUAUCUGUUUUGAGAGAGAGAGAGAGAGAGAGAGAGAGAGAGAGAGCGAGCGCGCAUAAGCAGGGGAAGGGCAGAGAGAGGGAGAUAGAGAGAGAGAAUCCCAAGCAGGCUCUGCACUGUCAGCACAGAGCUCCAAACUCGAGAACCAUGAGAUCAUGACCUCAGCCAAAAUCAAGCAUCAGAAGCUUAAUCAACUGAACUACUCAGGUGCCCCUAGACUGUUACAUAUCUUAAUGGCAAGCGCAAAGGCUAUGUGUUUAAUUCAUUUUUAUAUCCCCAGGGUUUAGUACAAUUCCUGGUACAUAUAGAUGCUUAAUAAGCAUUUGUUAAGUGAAUGAAUUAAACAGAUGGGUAACCUACAAGGAAAGAAAAGAUUUUCCUCACAGUUGGUGUGAUAAUGGUGAUAAAAUGAAUUCCAAGGUGGAGUGCUACUACACUUUUCUGGGAUAUUCAGUGUUAUAAACAGUAUUGUUCCUGAAGUCUCACCAUGGUCAUACUAGCUUCCUUGAGGCAGUAUAGUGUAUGUCUGCAAUUUUGUUAUCUUAAACAACUAACCACUUAUUGGAAAUUUACCCAUAAAAUUUCAAUAGUUGAAUUUUUUCUGAAAUAAUAUAUUUUAAUAAUAAGUGUAAUAUAUCUUGACUUAAGGACUCUAUUAAUUCCCUUAAGGAGAUCCACAUGUGCUUUGGUAUAAUGAUCAGUCUAAAGUUGGAAAAGGAUCCUUCUGUUUGAAAAUGAUGAAAAAUAAGUGAAAGAAUGAACCUAUUUCUUAUCACAUUUAAAGUUUCAUGGGAUGCCUGGGUGGGUCAGUUGAUUAAGUGUCUGACUUCGGCUCAGGUCAUGAUCUCACCAUUUGUGAGUUUGAGCCCCUUGUCAGGCUGUGUGCUGACAGCUCAGAGCCUGGAGCCUGCUUCAGAUUCUGUGUCUCCCUCUCUGUACCUCUCCCAUGCUCACAUUCUGUGUGUCUCUCUCAAAAAAUAAAUACACAUUAAAAAAAUAAAGUUUCAUUUGCUUCAGAGGUUUUUUUUUAAAUGUUUAUUUAUUUUGAGAGAGCGUGAGCAAGCGCACAAGUGGGGGAACGGCAGAGAGAGAGAGAGAGAGACAGAGAGAGAGAGAGAGAGAGAGAGAGAGAGAGAGAGAAUCCCAAGUGGUCUUAGUGCUCUCAGUACAGAGCUCCGUCUCACCAACUGUGAGAUCAUGACCUGAGCCAGAAUCAAGAGUUGGACACUUAACCGACUGAGCCAUUGUCUAGGCACCCCUAAAGUUCUAUUUGCUUUAAAACUGUAAUUCUUAUGUCAUGUAAUCCUGAUUAAAAUGGUUAUGAUGGCCAGUAUUAUCAGAAUGACAGAUUCUAACAUAGGUUAGUAGUUUUACAUUUAGAAAAACACUAAUUUAUCAUAUUACCUUUUUAGUUAUAUGCCGAACUUUGGGUUGAUUUAUAUUUUGUUUAUUUAUAAUUUAAUAAGAUUAUAUUAGUUAGAGGUCAAAUGUUCUUUGGCCAUCAGCUUACAUUAGUUUUAACUAAGGGAAUGUUAUACAAUGAAGAUAGUAAAAGGAAGCUUAUGGCUUCUGAGAUUAACUAUAUUAUGUUAAGUGAUUUUAUUUGUUUUAGGCUAUAUAGAAACAACUUAUGAAAAUGUACUGAAUUAAAAUUUGCUAUGCUGAAACAGCAUAUUCACUAAAUAAGUAAAAUGAGGUGUGCGUGAAGGGAGUUGGAUGGAAUGUAAUUUUCUUUGCUCAAGCUAUAAACAGUAAGACUUUUUAAAAAACAUUUAUUUAUUUAGUGAGAGAGAGUGUGUGGGGGAGGGACAGAGAGAGUAGGAGAGAGAGAAUCUGAAGCAGGCUCCAUGCUGACAGUGAAGAGCCUGAAACAAAGCUCGAUCCCAUGAGCCGUGAGAUCAUGACCUGAGCUGAAACCAAGAGUCGGACACUUAACUGACUGAGCCACCCAGGCACCCCAAACAGUAAGACUUUUAAUUUUGUGGGAAGACAUUAAAUACUCUGGUCAUUCAACUUGUAUAUCCUUUAACCUAUUUAAUAGUCAAAAACUUGUAAGUAAAUAUGUGUGCUGCUGAGAAACAGUGAUCAAAAAUGGCAACAAAAGUCACAUAAUGAAAAAGAAUACUAAAAAAAAUCCAGGGAUUUUACUGUAGCUCAUUAUUCACUACAUUUCUGGCAGUCUUCAUGAUUACAAAUCACUUGAUUGACUAACUAGACAUUUCAAAGUGAAUUAUGAAUCAGGUUCAUUUUUUCUGGUUGAUAGUUGGCACAUGCUGUAACUCUUAAACCUUGUGAUAUAUCAAAUUCUUGUAACAGUAAUAAGAGAUACAAUCAACUCUUUAUUUUAGGAAAAUUAUAUAGCCUUUUCAAAGAAUGAAAUGCAUUUGUUAACAUUUUAACAACACAGUGUAAUCCUUGCUUUUGUAUUCCAAAGUGGAAUUCACAGUGAUGACAUUAUUUUUCAGAUUAAAAAAAUCUGUAGACUGGUUUUCCAUCAGGCAUAAAACUCCUAUUGAUAUCAAUUCUAUAGGCUUCUUGGGCAGUUGCCUGAGCCUUGGUUGUGAAAACAGUUGCAUAACUUUCCUUAGUAUUUAAAAAUGCAUGAUGAAGGAAUUGUAUGUUGUUAACAUUUUCCUUUGAAGGAAAUGCGGUUUUCCCUAAAUACCUAAUUUGUAAUGAGGCCAUGAUGUUGCAUACUUUAAAAUGUGGAGCAUUUUAAUGGUUAUUAAUAAAAAGGGUCUCUUUUUGAGUUGGGAAAAGGGUCCAUAGUGCCUUGAAUCUUGAAUCUUUCCAUUCGUAAAACUUAAUCAAGGGGGUAAAUUAUGCUUUCAAAUGCAUUCUCUUCUCUUUUGACUUAAUAAGAAUUCUUCAUGCAUUACUUCACUGGCAGUUGAGUGGCAGAAAAUUCCUAUAGUACAACUGCAUUUGCUUUAAUCCCAUCCACUCAAGCAAUUGAAAAUAAAAUGGGUGUUCCUUAAUGUGAUAUAUUUAGAAUUUGAGAAUCUUGCACAAAAUUCAGUCAUUGCCUUAGUGAGGUUUGUUCAUUGAAAAUUGUCAGGCAUGGGAAUGUAGGGCCCCAAUUAUGUAACGGUGUUGUUAUGGAUCCCCUUACUAAUAAAAAAAAAAUUACAUAUGGUAAGGUAGUUGUGUAUUUCUUAUGAGGACGGCAUCAUCAACGUUAGUGGAAGCUUUGCAUAUAUAACAAUCUCCGAAUUGUGCUGCCAUAUUUUCCCUUAUAUAAAAACAGAGUAAUUAGUGUUGCAGCGUUCCAUUGCCUUUAACUUACUUUCUUUGCUCUUUUUAUAUGUAAGAUUUCUUUAUAACUAAAAAUGGUUUUAUUGCUAUUCAGUUAUUUAAAAAUGUUUUAUUGCUAUUCCACUGUCUUUAAAAAUAUUUUACAAAAUUUUUUUGGUGAAUAAUAUCUAUCUACUUUUAAUUUAUAUGAAAAUGUAGAAUAGCAAUGUAUUAUUACACAUACUUUUAGAAACACAAUUAUGCACUUUUUAUUUUAAUGUUUUGUUUUCUUUGAAAUUGUCUAAAGUUUUUAAAUUUAUGCUUUAGCCACCUUGAAGUUUAAUUUUUAAUACCCUAACCAUUAAUUAUGUGCCUAGUAGUUAAAAUUGCUAUUAAACAUCUUUUAUGAGAUUACAGUUUUAUUUCUGAUUAGGCAGUGAAUUAUAUAUAUAAUCAAUUAUUGCAUCCAUUUAAAAAUUAUGACCAAAAGAUUAAUCCUCCAUAGAUGUUUUUAACAAUAUAAGCCAUCUGGGUAUUGGAAUUAAGGAAUUAGAAAUGGAGAGACAGAGGAUCAAUUUAUUAAUUAUAGAAAAAACUUUAAGUGUUUUAUAACUUCAGUAGAUUUUGUAGAAUGACCAUAAGCUCCACGGAGGUAAUAGAAUACUGCCAUUUUCAAGCCUGGUUUGUUGGUUUUUACUUCGACAUAGCUGUACAUUUGGAAUCUAGCAGCAUCAUUGUACUUCUUCAUGUAGAUUGAGGUAAGCAGUAUAUGAUAAAGUGGGCUUUUGCUGCCGUGACCUGGCCAUAGGACUUGGGAAUAGAAGAAGAGUGGGGUGGAAAGGAGGAGACAAAGAAUAUGUUUUCAGGCCCCAGAAAUGGACUGAAUUAUUUUGAUCAUUUGUUUAUGUUGAUUAAAUAAAAGAGAUUGCUAGAUUGUUUCCAUUUUGUGAUGUACAACAUGAUUGCUUUUCAAUUAAUUGCUUCCUUUGAACAAUUUAGCAUUAGGACAAUCAUUGGGAGAGAGAAUGGGAGUAUCUGGAGAUUAUAGGGAAACUGAAAGAAAAUAUUCAAGAAGGAAUUUCUGGUAUUUGUCUUUCUUGGUAAGUGUAUAAAGGGGGUCAGGAUGUCCAGUAUAAAGAAAAUCUGCCAAAGACUUGUGUUCCAGUUUAUACUUUAAUCCUUGAUAUUUAUUCUGCUUUCCUUAUCCCACAAAAUGUACAAGACAAUAAAAUGUGCACUUUUGUAACAUGGUCCAGUGUCUCAGAUUAUGUAAUUAAAUAUGUUGCAUUUCUCGAGAUCAACAUUAUGUUGGUGUACCUAUUCUAGUUUUUAUGUUAAAAGUGACAUUUUCUAUUUUGGUGAUAUAAACUGACUUGUUAAAUAGCAUUGGGCGGGGCAUACCUGGCAGGCUGAGUCAGUGGAGCAUGUGACUCUUGAUCUUGAGGUUGUGAGUUUGAGCCCCAUAUUGGGUGUAGAGAUUACUUAAAAAUAAAAUCUUUAUAAAUAAAUAAACAAAUAAAUAAAUAAAUAAAUAAUACUGAGUAUUUUUGGUUAAUCCUUCAUGGGCCUAGAUUUGAUAAGGUCUUUAUUUAUCUUCCUUAGGUGUAUGCUAAAGGGUAGAACUACAGAUUAAUAGGUAUGGUGUACACAAUUAUGGUAUCUUUUUUAUUACAUGAGUACUGAUAUAGUAUAAAUGCAUUCUGUAUGAUUUCAGUUGUCUGUGUUGUUGAUGUGUUGGAUAAUCUUUAAAAGAAUUGUUUUAGAAUCUCCUUUUAAUUGGAUUUAAUGAUGUAUGGUUUUGAUUCUGAGAAAUCACUAUUAUUAUGCAAGAAGACUCAAGGGACAUGAAUAUUAAAGGUGAUAGAUGCUGGUUGGUAUCUGUAAUCUAGGAUUGAUAUCAAAGAAAAAACAUUUUGUUUUAAUUAAAACAAAAGGUUGAAGCCAAUAUAUAGUAUCAUUUGGUGUGUUCUAUUUUUGAUGUCUAUGUAGUACUUUACAGCCUAAAAAACAUCAUUCACUUUUAUUGGUGUAUCACUGAGGGUUCCCCAGAGAAAUAGAACUGAUAAGAUACAUAUAACAUAUACAUAUACACGUAUAUGUUUAUGAUUUAUUUUAAGAAAGUGGCUCACAGUCUUGUACAGCCUGCAAGUCUAAAAUCUGUAGGGCAGGCUGGCAGGCUGGAAACUGAGGAGAUAAUGCUGCAGUCUGGAGGCAAAAUACCUUCUUGUCCAGGAUCAUCAAUUUUUCUUCUUAAAGUCUUCAACUUAUCAGAUGAGGCCCACCCACAUUAUUGAGGAUAAUGCCCGUUCUUUAAAGUCAACUGAUUAUAGAUAGUAGCGACAUCUACAGAAUACUUUCAGAGCAACACGUAGAUUAGUGUUUUGUUAAAUAAUUGGGCACUACAUAAAUUAUAACCAAGUUGACGAAUAAAAUUAAUCAUCACAGUUGGCCUUUUUAAAAAGUAUUUAUGUCACAAGUCACAAAAAUGCCUGGGGUCAAGCUAUCAAACUGUCACCACAGAACAUAUUAGGCAACUGCCUUGAAGUGAAAACUAUUAAUUCCAGAGAUAAUAGCCAAUAGCCAUUUGCUCAUUAAGAAUUAUUAAUUGAGUGCUCUCUAUGUGCUAGUAUUGCAAAAGAAUGGCAUUCAAAACCACAAAUGGACUCUACUUUCACGUAUAAUGAUUAUUGUUGAUGCUUAGGAAAGAAACAAAGUGGUUGUUAACUCAAAGACAAACCCAUUUAACAAAAGCCCAACUUUACUAAUUUGCCUUAUGCAAAUUUUUAGUACAUAAACCUUAUAUCUCAAGAUCUAAAAUUGUCAAUUAUCUCUUUAGUUAAAUAAUUUAUAUUUGAUACUGUUUUUUUUAGAGAUUUCUAAGAACACUUUUGGAAAUUUUUCAUAUUUUAGUUCACUGGUUCUGUGGAACUGUUUUUAAAGCAUUGUGUCUUGGUGGGCCAGUGGGGUUCAGUGAAGGAUCUCAAGAUGGCUGGGAAAAAAACUUGCUUUAAAAGCCAUAUACUGAGUAGGUUUUGGGGAGAUCAUACCCUGACACGAAGGCCAUUGUUAACUCCCUGACAUCCUGGAAUGAGACACUCACCUCCAGGUGGGCUCUUCUCCCUGACAAUCUACCUGCUCUCAACGGGGCUUACUAUAAGGCCAGUGUGGUGAAGGCUGGGUAGGUAGAUGAUUUUAAGAAGUUUAAUGCUCUGAAGAUUCCUGUGCCAGAGGAUAAAUAUACCAUUUAGGUGGAUGCUGAAGAAGAAGAAGAUGUGAAAAGUUGUGCUGAGUUUUUGUCUCUCUCAAAGGCCAGGAUUGAGGAAUAUGAAAAAGAGCUGGAGAAGAUGAAGAACACAAUUCCAUUUGAUCAGAUGACCAUUGAGGACCUGAAUGAAGUCUUCCCAGAAAGCAGCUUAGACAAGAAGAAGUAUCCCUAUUCGCCUCACAAGACAAUCGAAAAUUUAUAAACUUGAGUUGCAAAGAAAACUCUGGCCCUAUAUUAUAAAUGCUGGACAUUAAAAAUAAUUAUAUGGCAACAAAAAAAUAAAGCACCAUGUCUUAUAAUCUAGAAGCAGAAACUCUAGUCUGUAUCCGUUUAUAUUGCUGUUAUGUUUAUUGAUUAUGUGCCAUAGUAAUAACAAAAAUUCUUUUAAAAUUACUUUAUGAAACUUCAUGAUACUUUAUGAAACUUCUCUCUAAUUCCAUCAAUCAUAGAUCUAUUUUAGAGAUGAGGAAACCCAUGUUCAGAGAGGUUAAGGAACUUGCCCGUGGUUGUACAAACAGUAAGUGAUGGAACAGGAUUCAGACUUAAUUUAGAUUCUGUUUGAAUCUGCUUGUCUUUGUAGGAAACUUAGCAAGGCUACUGGAUCUUUUGGGAUAGCCUAUAUAUUUAGGUAUCCCCUAAUAUAGAAGGAUCCAUGUUAGUUUUCAUUGUAAUUUAGGGCUAAUAAAGGUUUCUGUCUUCCAUAGAGUAUGAAGCUUUUGCCAAAUAAUUAAAAGUAUGUAACUUUUGCCCUUUUUGUUUUGGCUGCCCAUAAGCUCAUAAUACUUUCAGUAAUUUCCUUGUCUGUGGUACCUCAUGUAAUCAUGCCCUAUGGUUUGUUCGUUUAAUUACUGAGCUCUUCCUUUACUUUUAAGUUAACCUGUUAUAUACAAAUAUCUUAAGUUCUAAAUCACCACAGUCUUUUAAAUAUUCUAGAUAGACAAAAACAAAUGUAAGACAUUUAUUUAUUAUUGUGUAAUCUGAUUGUUUUGUUCUGUUCAUUGAUGUGUCCAAGUACCUAAAACAUAGAUAACACAGAGUAGAUGCUGGUGAAGGAGUGGAUUGAAUUAAUAUAUUUUCUCUUAGACAUGUAGCAGAUUCUAAGUAGAAUUUAAAUUUAUUUACAUUUAUUGUAUUUACUGACAUGGUAGACUUUGCUGUCUUUACAUCUUCUAUUUGACACGUCUUUUCUGUUUUUCUCUCCGUUCUUGCUGUCUUUGGAUCGACAUGAUGAUUAAUUUUGUCUCCUUCACUGGGCCAGAAUGGUAAUCAGAAACUUGGUCAAAUAUUCUUUCGUAAAAAAUUCUGGGUGUGUUCAUGAGGGUGUUUCUGGAUGAGAUUAAUAUUUGACUUGGUAGAUGAGUAAAGAAAUUUGCCCUUCCAGUAUGGAUGAGCCUCAUCUAAUCUGUUGAAGGUUUGUAUAGAACUGAAACAUUUAGCUUUUCUUGGGUUUCAAGCCAGCUGGCUUUCAGACAGGAACUAUACUAUUGGUUCACCUAGUUCUCAGGCCUUUGGGCUUGGAUUGGAACUACACCAUCAGCUGUCCUGGGCCUCCAGCUUGUUUACUGCAGCUCUUGGGACGUGUCAGCAUUCAUAAUUUCAUGAACCAAUAUGUAUAUAUCCAUCCUGUUGGUUUUAGUUCUGUUUCUCUGGAUAUCCCUGAAGAAUACAAUUGAUAAUUUAAAAAUUUUCCAUUUUCCAUGUAAUUUAGAAGUUAUACACUCUGUUCAUUUAUUGGUUACUCUAGAAUGAAUAAUAAACAUAAUUUUCAUAGUCUAAAGUUAAUCAGUACCUUUUACCUCCUUUUGGAUAAUACAAAAACUUUACAACACUUUAACCCCAUUUAUCCCCCCACCUGACAUUGUUAUUGUGCUUUGUAUAUUUUUUAACCCUUGAGACUUGUUACUAUUUUUUAUAUGUUAUAUUUAUGUACAAAUAUUCACAUAUUUAGCACUUUAUUUGCUGUUAAUUCUUCCAUGUUAGAUCUUCUAUCUGGAAUAUGUUUCUGCUACUAGUAGUUUAUUCUUGGGCAUUUCUUCUAGAAAGUGUUGAUGACAAACUGUUUUUAUUGUUCUGACAAAGUCUUUUUAUUUUAUUCUUUAACCAUAUUUUGCUGGGUGUAAAAUUCAGGAUUAGCAGUAAUUUUUGUCAUCAUAUUUAAGAUCUCAUUCCAUGUUUUCUGGUUUUUGCUGUUGUUUUUGUGAUGUCAAUUAUUGAUCUGACCUUCACAUAUGUAUAUAUGUAUAUAUGGAUAUAUAUGUGUGUGUGUGUGUGUAUAGCUUUGAAGAUAUAUUUUGUAUAUUAUAAAUUCACCUAUUUCAAGUAUAUAAUUCAGUGAUUUUAAAAAAUAAAUUCAGCAAUUUUGUGCAGCCAUCAUCGAUUAGUUUUAGAACAUUUCUGUCACCCUAAUAAGAAACCUCAUGUCCAUUACCUGUUAAUCCCCAUUCCCUCUCCCUGACCCCAAACGACACUAAUCUAUUUUCUGUCUCUGUAGAUUUGCCUUUUCUUGAAAUUUUGUAUAAAUCAAGUCACACAAUAUGUGAUCUCUUGUGUUGGCAUUCUUUCACUUAGCAUAUUUUUGAGUUUCGUGUAUGUUGAAGCAUGUAUUAGUAAUUUGUUCUUUCUAUUGAUGAAUAGUAUUCCACUAUAUAGAUAUACCACAUUUUGUCUCUCUUUUCAUCAGUUGAUGGACAUUUAAGUUUUUUUCAGAUUUUGACUGUGAAUAUGAAUAAUGCUGCUAAAAGAAUUCAUGUGUAAAUCUUUGUAUAUGUUUUCAUUUCUUUUGGGUAAAUACCUAAGAGUAGAAUUACCCACUCAAUUGGCAAAUUUCUUUCUUUCUUUCUUUUUUAAGUUUAUUUAUUUUUGAGAGAGAGAGACAGAGUGUGAGCAGGGGAGGGGCAGAGAGAGGGAGACACAGAAUCCGAAGGCGGCUCCAGGCUCUGAGCUGUCAGCACAGAGCCUGAUGCGGGGUUCGAACUCUCGAACUGUAAGAUCAUGACCUGAGCCGAAGUUGAAUGCUUAACUAGCUGAGCCACACAGGCAUCCCUUGGCAAAUUUAUUUCCAACUUUUUAUAUGAGACUGUCAAACUAUUGCCUAAAGUGUUCGCAUUCCCACCUGCAAAGUGUAAGGAUUCUUGUUUCCCCAUAUUAUCAUCUAUUAUUUAAAGUAAUCUCUACACCUAACAUGGGGCUUGAACUCAUGACCCCAAGAUCAAGAGUCUCUACUGACUGAGCCCGCCAGGUGCCCCUAUUAUCAUCUAUUAAAAAAAAAUAUUAUAACCAUCCUAGUGGGUGUGAAAUUGCUUCUUGUAGUUUUAAUUUGCAUUUCCUACACUAAUGAUAUUGAAUAUCUUUUCAUAUGCUUAUUAUUCAUUCAUAUAUAUUUGGUGAAAUGCUUUUUUUUUUGAAAAUUUUACUCAGUUUUUAGAUUGUUUUUUUUCUUAUAUACAAAGAAUUCUUUGACUAUUUUGUAUACAAGUCCCUUAUAAGAUAUAAAUUUUGCAAUAUUUUCUCCCACUCUGUUGCUUGUCUUUUAAUUUUCUUAAUGGCGUCUUUUGAAGUACAAAAGACUUGAAUUUUGGUGAGGUCUCUUUUAUCAAAAAUCUUUUUGUUAUAUCUAAGAAAUUUUUGCCUAGCCCAGGGUCUUAAAGAUAAUCACAUGUGUUUUCUUUUAAAAAUUUGUUUUAGCUCUAACAAAUUUCUGAUUUAUUUUCUGUUAAUUUUUAUAUGAAUAUUCAGUUUUCCUAGUACCAUUCAUUUAAAAGGCUAUCCUUUCCCUCUGUGACUUUCUUUUAUACCUUUGUUGAAAGUCAGUUGACUAUAAAUACAAGUGUUUAUUUCUGUACUCAGUUCUAUUCUACUGAUCUACAUAUCUUUUUUUUUAAGUUUAUUUUUUUUUGAGAGAGAAAGAGUGUGUGUGUGUACGUGCACAAAUGUGGGAGGGGCAGAGAGAGAGGGAGAGAGAGAGAAUCCCAAGCAGUCUCUACACUGUCAGUGCAGAGCCUGAUUCAGGGCUUGAUCUCAUGACCAUGAGAUCAUGACAUGAGCUGAAAUCAAGAGUUGGACAUUUAACGGACUGAACCACCCAGGUGCCUCUACAUGUCUGUCCUUUGCCGGUACAACAUCAUGUUGAUAACAACUGAAGUAGCUUUAUAUUAAGUUUUGAAAUUGGGAAGUGUAAGUUGUCCAGCUUUGCUUGUCUUUCUUUUUUUAAAUUUAAUUUAAUUUUAGAGAGGGAGUGUGAGUAGGGGAGAGGGGCAGAGGGAGAGGGAGAGAGAGAGAAUCUCAAGCAGGCUCCCACUCAGGGUGGAGCCCAAUGUGGGGCUUGAUCCCACGACCCUGGGAUCACGACCUGAGCCAAAAUCAAGAGUUGCAUGCUCAACUGACUGAGCCACCCAGGUGCCCCAGCUUUAUUUUCCUUUGUCAAAAUUGUUUUGGUAUUCUGUAUAAAUUCUAUGUAAAUUUUGCAAUUUUAUGUAAUUUGCAAUUCUAUAUAAAUCUUAGGAUUAUCUUUACCAAUUUUUUACAGAAGGCUGCCAAAGUUCUGGUAGGAAUUGUGUUGAAUAUAUAAAUCAACCUGGGGAGAAUUGCCAUUGUAACAAUAUUUAACUAUGUGCUUCAUAAACCUGGCAUCUGACCUUCUUUUGAAGGUAACCUUCCUUUUUUUUCUCCCACUGUGGUUGUUUUUAAGGUCCUGUUCUUUUCUUUUAGACUUAAAUAGUUUUUUUGUGAUGUCUUUAAGUGUGGAUUUACUUUUAUUUAUAUUGCCUGGGAACUUUUGGUUUCUUGAUUAUGUGGAUUGGUGUCUUUGAUCAGUUCUGGAAAAUUUUUGAUUUCUUCAAGUACUGUUUUCAUAAAUCUAAAAUACCGUCAAUUGAAAGAUGUACCAUUUAUUUAUGUACCACUAAAAGAGACAAAAAUGUUACUAAUGCAUUAAUAGUAUUAUGUGAUGCAUGAAUGGUCAUACUGACCCUCGUUGCUUAGAAAUUUGUCAUUUUCCCAAAGGAUUUGGCAAACAUUUCUUCAUUUGCAUUACUUUAUGCAUGAUCUUUUACCUGUAUCUCUGUAAGAAAGCAUAGCACAAUUUCAUAUUCUUGUAUUUUUCUUUCUUAGGUCCUAUAAGUAAUUAGUUGCUGCUUUUUCAAUAUGUUCAGGUCAGUUCAGACUGCUAUAACAAAUCCCGUAAACUGGUUGGGUGAGUUAAAUGACAAACAUUUAUUCCUCACAGUUCUGAAGUCUGGGAAGUGCAAGAUCAAGGUGCUGACAGAUUCAGUGUCUGGUGAGGCUCUUGUUCCUGAUUUGCAGAUGGCUACCUACUUGCUGUAUCCUCACGUGGUGGGGAGAGAGAUCAUCUCUCUCAUGUCUUGUAAGGGCACUAAUCCCAUUCAUGAGUUUCACUCCCAAGACCUAAUUACCUCCCAAAGGCUCUACCUCUAAAUACCAUUAAAUUGGGAUUAGGACUUAAACACAUGAACUUUGAGGGGACACAAUUAUUUAGCUCAUAGUACAAGAAUAUAAUGACUAAUCAUUUCUGGCCUUUGUUUCAGUUAUGAAUAUUUGUUUCACUAAUGUCAGGCUUUGUGUUUGUGUAUACACUUUAGCUUCUAAACAACUUUUCUGAAGUAUAUUGUGUAUCACAGUAACUUCUUAAUGGCAAAUCAUAGUUUUGUUUGUUUUUGCUUUUUGGGUUUUUUUGGUGCCAAAACCAGGAAAAAGCAUAGUUUUAAAAAAUUUACUCUUAUAUAGUGUACAACAUGAUAAUUUAAUGUACCUAUACAUUGUGAAACGAUUACCACAGUAAAGUUGAUUAACAUAUCUAUCACUCCACAUAGUUACCUUUGUGUGUGUGUGUGUGUGUGUGUGUGUGUGUGUGUGUGUGGUUGAGAACACCUAAGGUCUACUCUCUUAACAAAUCUCAUGUAUACAAUGCAAUAUAAUUAACUAUUAUGCUGUAUAAUUAGAUCUUCAGAAUUUAUAACCGAAAGUUCAUACCCUAUAAUUAACAUCUUCCCAUUUCCGCCCGCCCCCCAACCCUGACAACCACUGUUCUACUUUCUAGCCUAUGAGUUUGACUUUUUUAGAUUCUGCAUAAAAAUGAGAUCAUAUGGUAUUUGUCUUUCUCUGCCUGACUUAAUUCACUUAGCACAAUGUCCUCCAAGUUUAUCCACAUUAUUGCAAAUGGCAGGGUUUCCUUCCUUUUUUUUCUUUUUUUAAAUGUUUAUGUACUCAUUUUUGAGAGAGAGGGGGAGAGAACACGAACAGAAGAGGGGCAGAGAGAGAGGAGACAGAGAAUCCCAAGCAGGUCCUGUGCUGUCAGCACAGAACCCCCCUCAGGGCUCUCGAACUCACGAACCAUGAGACUAUGAGCUGAAAUCAAGAGUUGGAUGCUCAACUAACUGAGCCACCCCAGUGCUCCUCCUUCCUUUUUUUGUUGGCUAAAUAAUAUUCCUUUUUAAAAAUCCAUGAUGGACACUUAGGUUGUUGCCAUAUCUUAGCUAUUGUGAAUAAUGCUAUAGUGAACAUGGGGAUGCAGAUAGCUCUUUGAGAUGAUCUUAUUUUCUUUGAAUAUGUACACAGAUGUAGGAUUGCUGGAUCAUAAGGUAGUUCUGUUUUCUUUCUUCCUUCCUCCCUUUCUUUCUUUCUUUCCUUCCUUCCUUCCUUUUUUUUUUUUUUUUGGAUAAACUCUACCCCCAAUAUCCAGAGUCACAUGCUUUACUGACUGAGCCAGCCAGACAUCCCACAGUUUGUAGUUCCAAUUUUGAUUCUUGAGAAACCUCCAUACUUUUUCCAUACCUGUAUCAAUUUAUAUUUCAACGUAUAUUCCCUUUUCUCGUCUUUUUGAUAAUAGCCAUCCUAACCGGUAUGAGAUGAUAUCUCCUUAUGGUUUUGAUUUGCUUUUCCCAAUUAGUGAUGUUGAGUAUUUUUAUAUAACUGUUGACCAUUUGUAAGUCUUCUUUGAAAAAAUGUCUAUUCAGAUCCUUUACCCAUUUUUAAACCAAGUUAUUUGUUUUUAUGCUGUUGAGUUGUAUUAUUUAUAUUUUCUGGGUGUUAAUAUUUUGUCAGAGAGGUGAUUUGCAAAUAUUUAAUUUAUAAAUACAGUCAUUUUAAUUUCUAGAAAUUCCAUUUGAUUCUUUUCCUAAUUUGCUUUUCACUUCUUGUAGUUUCUUACACCUGCAGAUAUUUUUAAGCAUGCCAUUCAUUUUUUAAUGUAGUAAGCAUAGUUUUAUACUUUGUCUCUGAUAAUUCUAAUAUUUAAAGUAUUAAUGGGUCUCUUGCAUUUGUUUUUUAUUUGUGUAGGCUUUUGUCUCCUUGUGUUUUGUGUCCUUGUAUUAUCUUUCUCAUUGCCCUUGAAAUAUUAUUUGGAGAAUCCUGAAGGCUUAGAAUAAAGCUACUUUUCUAUAGAGAGGAUUUGCAUUUACUUUUGCCAAAGAACCUAGGGCCAUUUUAACCAAAAAUCACAGCUUGAGUUUUCCUAUCAUUUAAGGUAAUGAGAACCUGGUGAGCAAAUCCCCAUAAAGGCUAACCUUUGGCCAAAGAUUUUUAGUAAUGGUAGGCUGGGAGUUUUAUGGUUUCAGGCCUUACAUUUAAGUCUUUAAUCCAUUUCAUCUUCAUUUUUGUUAGUGAUGUAAGAUAGCAGUCUAGUUUCAUUUUUUUGCAUGUGGCUAUCCGGUUUUCCCGGCACUGUUUACUGAAGAGUCUAUUCUUUCCCCUUUGUAUAUUCUUGGCUUCUUUGUUGCAGAUUAGUUGACCAUAUAUACGUGUGGGUUUAUUUCUGGGCUCUUUAUUCUGUUCUGUUCAUCUAUAAGUCUGUUUUAAUGCUUUUACCACACUGUUUUGGUUACCAUAACUUUGUAAUAUAGUUUGAAAUCAGGUUGCAAAUGCCUGCAGCUUUGUUCUUUCUCAAGAUUGCUUUAGUUAUUUGAGGUCUUUUGUAGUUUCAUAUAAAUUCUAGCAUUGUUCAUUGAUUGAUUGAUUGCCAUUGGGAUUCAAGGUCUUUCAUGGUUUCAUGCAAAUUUUAGGAUUGUUUGUUGAUUGAUUGUUUACUGUUCGGAUUUUGAUAGGGGUUGCAUUGAAUCUGUAGAUUGUUUUGGGAUAAUAUGAACAUUUUAACAGUAUUAACUCUUCCAGGGCAUGAGCUUGAAUAUCUUUCCAUUUAUUUGUGUCUUCUUUAAUUUCUCUCAUCUGUGUCUUAAAGUUUUCAGUGUAUAGGUCUUUCACCUCCUUGGUUAAAUUUAUUUCUAGGUAUUUUAUUCUUUUUAUUGUAAUUUUAAAGUGAUUGUUUUCUUAAUUUCUUUUUCUGAUAGUUUGUUGUUAAGUGUAUGCAACAGAUUUUUGUAUGUUGAUUUUGACCCUGUAACUUUACUGAACUUGCUGAUUAGUUCUAACAGAUUUUGGCAGAGUACUUAGGGUUUUCAUAUAAAAUCAUGUUGUCUAUGAAUAGGGAAAGUUUUACUUCUUCCCUUUCAAUUUGGAUGCUUUUUAUUUGUUGUUCUUGCCUUAUUACUGUGGCUAGGGUUGCAAAUACUAUCUUGAAUAAAAAUGGGGAGAGUGUAUAUCCUUCUCUUGUUCUUGAUCUUGAAGGAAAAGUUUAUGAUGUGUGUUUUAAGUAUAUGGCCUUUAUUAUGUUGAGGUACAUUUACUCUAUGCUCACUUUUUUUUUAAGUUUAUUUAAGUUUUUUUUUAAGUUAUUUUUUUUUAAGUUAUUUUGAGAGAGUGUGCAUGCAAGUAGGGGAGGAGCAGAGAGAGAGAAAGAGAGAGAAUCUUAAGCAGGCUACAUGCUGUCAGUGCAGAGCCCAGUAUGGGGCUUGAUCCCAGGAACCACGAGAUCAUGACCUCAGCUGAAAUCAAGAGUUGAAUGCUCAAAAGACUGAGCCACCCAGAUGCCCCUCUAUACUCACUUUGUUGAGAGUUUUUUAAAAUCAUAAAUGGGUGUUAACUUUUAUCAAAUGUUUUUCUGCAUCUGUUGAGACGAUAGGGUGAUUUUCAUCCUUUAAUUUUUUAAUGUGUAUCAUGCUGAUUUAUUUGCAGAUGUUGAACUAUCUUUGCAUCCUUGGAAUAAAUCCCACUUGAUCACAAUGUUUUAUUCUUUUGAUGUGUUUUUGAAUUUGGUUUGUUAAUAUUUCAUUGCAUCUGUGUCCAUCAGAGAUAUUAACCUACAGUUUUUUUGUGGUGAUUUUGUUAUCAGAGUAUUGCUGGCUUUGUGAAAUGAGUUUGGAAAUGUUCUCUCCUCUUUAAUUCUUUGGAAGAGUUUGAAAAGGCUAGGUAUUAAAUAUUCUUUAAAUGUUUCCUAGAAUUCAGUGAUGAAGUUGCCUGGUUCUGGACUUUUGUUUGUUAGGAAGCUUUGAUUAUUGAUUCAAUCUCAUUUGUAGUGAUUGGUCUGUUCACAUUUUCUGAUUAUAAAUCAUUCAAUCUUGGAAGAUUGUGUUUUUAGAAAUAUAUAUAUUCUCAGUUGUCCAGUUUGUUGGCAUAUAACCAUUCAUAGUAGUCUCCUAUGAUCUUAUGUACUUCUGUGAUAUCAUUGUAACUUCUCUUUAAUUUAUGAUUUUGAGUCAUCUGUUUUUGUUUUUUUUUUUUUUUUCUGGCUUAGUCUCCUAAAGGUGAGUCAUUUUGUUUGUCAUUUCAAAGAAACAUCUUUUAAUUUCACCGAUCUUUUCUAUUGUCUUUUUGGUUUCUAUUGCAUUUAUUUCAUCUCUGAUGCUUGUUAUUUCCUUUCUUCUAACUUUGGUCUUCAUUUCUUCUUUUUCUAGUUUCUUUAGGUAAAAGAUUGUUUAUUUGAGAUUUUUCUUGUUUCUUGAGGUAGGUUUGUAUUGCUAUGAACUUCCCUCUUAGAACUGCUUUUGCUGCUUUUCAAAGAUUUUUGUUGACUUGUAUUGGCUUUUUUAUUUGUCUCAAGGUAUUUAAAAAAAUUUUUUUAAUGUUUAUUUAUUUUGAGAGAGUGACAGAGUAUGAGCAGGGGAGGGGCAGAGAAAGAGGGAGACACAGAAUUUGAAGCAGGCUCCAGGCUCUGAGCUGUCAGUAUAGAACCCAAUGCGGGUCUUAAACUCAGGAACCAUGAGAUCAUGACCUGAGCCAAAGUCAGAUGGUCAACUGACUGAGCCACCCAGGCGCCCCUGAAAGAAUAAAAUCUUGAAACUUAUGACAACAUGGAUGGAGCCCGAUGUUAUUAUAAUAAGUCAGAUGCUUAACUGACUGAGCCACCCAGGUGCCUCUGUCUCAAGGUAUUUUUAAAUCCCCUCUUUGAUUUCUUUGUUGACCCAUGGGUUGUUUAAUAGCAUGUUGUUUACUGUUCAUGUGUUUUUGUUUUUUCCAGUUUUCUUCUUGUAAUUAGUUUCUAGUUUCAUACUAUUUUGUUCAGAGAAGAUGCAUAUUAUGGUUUCAGUCUUCUUAAAUGUAUUGAGUGUUAUUUUUUGGCCUAGCAUAUGAUCUAUCCUACAGAAUAAUUUAUGUGCACUUGAAGAGAAUGUGUAUUCUGUUUUUUGGUGGAAUAUUCUCUAUAUAUUAAGUCCAUUUGGUCUAAUGUGUUGUUUCCUUAUUAAUUUUCUCUCUGGAUGAGCAAUCAAUUAUUGUAAGUGGAGUAUUAAAGUCCCCUACAACCAUUGUAUUGCUGUCGAUAUGUCCCUUUAGGUCUGUUCACUUUUGCUUCAUAUAUUUAGGUGCUCUUAUUUUAGGUGCAUCGGUAUUUACAAAUGUUAUAUCCUCUUGUUGGAUUGACCCUUUUGUCAUUGUGUAAUAUCUUCUUUUUCUUUUUUUUUAUAGUCUUUGUUUUAAAGUCUAUUUUGUCUGAUAUAGCUACUCCAGCUUGUUUUUUUCAUUUCUGUUUGUGUGGAACUUCUUUUUCCAUCCCUUCACUUUCAGUCUGUGUGUGCCCUUACAUUUGUAGGCAGCGUAUAGAUUGGUCUUGUUUUUUAAUCCAGUCUGCCACUCUGUGUCUUUUAAUUUAAGAAUUUAGUCCAUUUAUAUUUAAAAUAAUUAUUGAUAGGUAUGUGUUUACUGCCAUUUCAUUAAUUAUUUUUUGGUUGUUUUUAGUUCCUUUAUAUUCCUUUCUUAUUCUCUUGCUGUCUUAGCUUGUGGUUUGAUGACUUUCUUUAGUGUUUUGCUUAGACUCCUUUCUUAUCAUCUUUUGUGUAUAUAUGAUAGGUUUUGAUUUUUGGUUAUUAUGAGGCUCACACGUAACAGCCUAUAUAUUUAUAUAAAUCCAUUUUAAACUGAUAGCAGCUUCAGUUUAAAUGCAUUUUAAAGUCUGCAUUUACCUCCUCCCACAUUUUAUGUUUUUGAUGUCACAUUUUACAUCUUUUUGUUUUGUAUAUCCCUUAACUGAUAAUUGUAGUCACACUUAUUUUUACUACUUUUGUCUUUUAACCUUCAUACUAGCUUUAUCAGUGAUUAAUCUACUACCUUUAUUAUAUAUUUAUACUAGUGAGGUUUAUACUUUCAUCUUCUUAAUACUAGUUCCCUUUCUUUCCAGCUUUAAGAAGGAUUUCUUGUAAGAUUGGUUUAGUUGUGAUAAACAAUUUUUAGCUUUUUUUUUUUGUCUGGAAUACUCAUCUCUUUUUGUAUUCUGAAUGAAAACCUUGCUGGUUAAAGUAUUCUUGGUUGCAUUUUUUUUCCUUUUAGCACUUUGAAUACAUCAUGCGAUUCCUUUCUGGCCUUCAUAGUUUCUCUCAAUAAUUUGCUGAUAGUCUUAUGAGGAUUUCCUUAUAUGUGACAAGUUGUUUUCUCAUGCUGCUUUCAAGAUUCUCUCUUUCUCUUUAAUUGUUGACAAUUUAAUUAUGAUAUGUCUUGGUGUGGAUUUUUUUGGGUUCCUCUCAUUUGGAACUUUCUGGGCUCCCUAAAUCUCAAUAUUGGUUUCUUUUUCAGGUUAGGGAAAUUUUCAGCCAUUAUUUCCUCAGAUAAGUUUUCUGCCCUUGUCUCUCUCUCCCCUCCUGGGACUCCUGUAACGUGAAUGUUGUUUCUUGUGAUGUUUUCCUAUUGGUCUCUUAAAGUACAUUCACUUUUUAAAAUUCUUUUUUCUUUCUGUUGCUUUAUGUGGGUGAGUUCCACUGCCUUGUCUAGGAGCUCAGUGUUCAUUUCCUCUGCUCUGAUUUAGUCUGCUAUUGAACCUUCUAGUGUAUUCUUCAGUUCAGUUGUUAUAUUCUUCAUCUCUAUGACUUCUUUUUGGUAUUUUCAUAUAUUUUGUAUUGAAGUUCUGUGUUCAUUCAUUCUUCUCCCCAGUUAGUUGAGCAUCUUUGUGACUAUUACUUUGAAUUCUUUAUCAGGUAUAUUACUUAUUUAUCUCCAUUUCAUUGAGGUUUCUUUCUUUUCUGUUUCUUUUUUUUAAUGAGGUUUUAUCUUGGUCUUUCAUUUGGUAGAUAUUCCUUUGUUUCCUCUGGGAAAUACUCUGGUUUUGUUUCUGUGUAUUACGCAGAAUAGUACUUCUCUCAGUCUGGAAGGUAAACCUGGUUGUCUUUCAAACCUUUGUGAUUGUCUAAGCAGCCUGAUUUAUACUUGAUAGGUCAAGGUGUGCCAAGACUUGUCAAUGUUCCAAAGGGAGAGAUCUCCGUCAGCACCUAUUUUCCGGCUGAUUGAAAACGAGACCCUCAGGCAGCAGCUUUUAAGUAUUCAGAUAUAUACAUCCUUGUGGAACUUAAACCUUGCUGGCUUCCAGAUAAGGUGAUCUGGAGGUGACCCCUGGGUGACAGGUGGAAAUAUCAGGGCUUCAGAUGAAUAUGCAAGUCCUUUUUGGGAGGUUACUGCAGAACUAUAUUGAGGCUGAGGGAGAGUAUGAAGAUGGCAUUCCCCUGCAUACAUUGAUUGCCUAAGUGGCUCUGUAGCCUCUGAAUAUGUGGCAAACCUGAAAUCUGCCCCCAGGCUGAAGCUCCAGGGAAAGUAAAUAGGUCUUUUCACAGGAGGACUGGGGUGUGUUUCAUUUUGUGUCUGUGCAGUACCCUUGGGGUGGCAGCCUGCCAAGAACUGUCUCUGAUUCUUUCAGUACCAUGGAGCCUAGAAAUGUAAGCCACCCCCUUUCCCCCCAGAAGCCAGAUCACCCACCAGAGCCAGGUAAUCACAGAGUGUCUCCUGUGUGUACUGCUUAUGCCUGCUGGCUUUAGUGAGGCAUCAGGAGAAUGCAGGGCCAGCAUGCACCCGCUGGCUUUUGCAGAGCAGCAAGAAAGCACUGGGCUGGGAUUUGCUCCCUGGCAUUAGCAAGUUAGAAGAACACAAAAAUGGUGACUUGUAGCACCUUUGUCCCUGGAGAUAGUCUCAGCAGGCGUCUGCCCCUCUGGCAGACACUUUAAGAUUAGCAAAUGAAUCUCCUUUACAUAGAAUCUAGAACUUUUCAAACUGCUGCUUUUGUACUGGUCUCUACAGGGAGUAAGUCUGUCCAUAAGCCCUUUUAUUUUAUUUAUUUAUUUAUGUUUUUAACGUUUAUUUAUUUUUGAGACAGAGAGACAGAGCAUGAACAGGGGAGGGGCAGAGAGAGAGGGAGACACAGAAUCUGAAACAGGCUCCAGGCUCUGAGCUGUCAGCACAGAGCCCGACGCGGGGCUUGAACUCACGGACCAUGAAAUCAUGACCUGGGCCGAAGUCGGAUGCUUAACCAACCGAGCCACCCAGGCACCCCUCCAUAAGCCCUUUUAGAGCAGAAUCUCAGUUCCCUACAGCUCUUUGGGUCUCCUAGAUGUGAACCCUAUUGGUUUUCAAAGCCACACAUCUUGGGGGUUUGUCUCUUUUUUGUAGGUCUCAAGGAUUGGGGUGCCUUUAUGAAGAAUGACGAACCCCUUACUUCUCGGGGAGAAGCUUGGGAUUUUUGAGAUCUGACCCAAUUGUGGGUUACCAACUUGGUGGUGGGGUUUUUGGUGAGACUCUUUCUACCUUUCUUAACCAUCUCAAUGUGGCCCUUUUACCAUUUGUUGUGAAGGAGCUGUACAGGUACUUUUUGGAUCUUUUUCAGAGGGAAUCGUUCCAAAUGUAUCUGUAAAUUUGGUCUGUGGAGGAGGUGAGUUCAGGAUCUUCUGUGCUGCCAUCUUGGAUUGCCUCUGGAGAUAAUUAAUUUAAUCAAGUAAUUUCUUCAGGUAAAUGCUUAAUAUAAGGCAAAGCCUGACUAAGACAGACUGGAGUUUUGAAAACACAUAAAUAACUAAAAGAUUGUGUGAUUUUCGUUGUGUGUUUACAAAUUUUGCAGUGUAAUAGUUGAGAAUAUGUAAUAUUCCAGUUAAAAAUUUCUGCUUUUUCUCUUUUCCAUGUAGGCCUCAUUAUACCACUUCUAGUUUAUGUAUGAUUGCUUUCACAUUUUGUAUGUUAAUACUUGGAAGUAUACAACAUGAAAGUGAACUGAAUAAUUAAUGAUUGCUACACAGUCCAGCACUGAUUUCAGCUGGUCACAAUGUUGCAGUUUGGCUUAAUUAUAAGAGGAGUCUGAGGCCUAGCGUUUCUGUGACAACUCAAGGUCAGUUGACCUGGAUAUGUCCUGCCAAACUGUUCCUGUGGAAUAAAUAGGCUGUGUUUGUAAACAGGAUGGCUAAGCAUUCUCUCACAAGAUUUUAAGUUCACAAAGUAUGAGGCAACUAGGUAGAAGGUCAAAUGUGAAAGGUAAUAAGCCAUUUUGGACCUAUUCUUUUCGGAAACCUUUGGCUGCCUUAGACUGAGGUCUUGGAUAUAGUUCACACGAGGCCUUUUGCCAAAAGACUACUGAGAGUUGGCUCAGGCAGGAUUCUAUUACAAAAUCCUCUUCUCUUUUUCUCACUCUUCUGUGUGUGUCCUGCUGUCUGAAGUUUAUGAAAAUGCAAGGAAUUUUAUAGAAGCUAAGUAUAUAAAUGAGACAACCAAAUAAAUUCAUAUUUUAUAUAAAAUAAAUUUAGAAUUUUCUUUUUAGGGACAGAGGUCCACACAUUGAAUGUGUUAUGACAAAUACUUGCAAAAUUAAUUACAAAUUAUAUUUUAGAAAAAGAGUUAAGUUUAUCAAACUAACAAAGAAGAUUGAAAAUACUUGCAGAAAACUUUGGGGCUAUUAUAGGCUUUUUAAAAAGAUACUAUAUAUCUGUUUCACCUAAGCCACCAGAGGCAGUCUUUAAAUAGUAGUGAGAUAUUUUAAUUAAUGAGAUCUUUUUCCGUUAUAUGUUACACCGCUGAGUGUUAAGAUUUGCUCUGUAUUAUGAAGAAAAAAGAUAUAAUUAGUUGUCCUCAAAAUUUUUUUUGUCUUGAUUUAGGUUUAUUACUGUUGUUAUUCUUCCUCAGAGGAGGAAUGCAUUCCAGGAAUACAAAAACCAAAGUGAAUGUUACAUUUACUUUCUCUGGCAAUAAAGCUUGGCUUCAAGAGCCUUCUUCAGUUUUUUUGGCUACCAUACUUGUCUUCAUUACUAGUUUGUUUUCUCAUGCUUAUACACUACUUCAGGAUUACAAGUUCUGACUUGGUCAGUUCUAGUAUAUUUUCAUUUUUGGGUCUGUUGAUAAAGUUAAUGAAGAUGUAGUCAGUGGAUAUUCUUUUUUAAAAUUUAAUUUAUUUAUUUUAAGUAAUUUCUACACCCAACAUGGGGCUUGAACUCAUGACCUGGAGAUCGAGAGUAGCAUGCUCUUCCACCUGAGCCAUCCAGGCACCCUGGCACUGGAUAUUCUUAAUGUAUAAAAAAAUUGGGGCAAGGGACAAUGAAAAGACGGCAAAACAAUGAUCUCAAACACAAAGUAUAAGCCACAGACCGUUUUAACUGUCAAUAAACAUGUGCGAUAGUAGCAGUUACAAAGAAAUCACCCCAAUAAAUGGAAAUACAAAAACAUUUUAUUAGGAAAUUUAGAGUAACUCCUAGUGGAAACCAAAGCAUGCAGUUUGGAUCAUAAACAGUGAUACCCUGGCUUUCAUUAUCUUGUACUAAUGAGGAUAGGCAUGGGAAGGAUGGGACUUUCCACUGUGUUUCAUAAAGUCUGAUUUCUUUUUUCCUUGUAGAAAAAUAGAACAAAACCAUUUAUCUUUUAAACAAUUUUCUGAGAAUAUCAUAAUUCACAGGUGGACUUGUCUUUAUCUACUUUCUCCAGAAAGCUCUAAAAAAAAUUCUGUGAAGUUUGGAAUGCAUUUGCCAUUAUUUUAUUUUCCUUAAAUUUCUUGGUUUUAGGAACACUGCUGAAACAUAAAGUAUUGUAUGUGUUGAUAAAUAGAUUUCUCCUCUCUGUUCUUUUUUUAUUAAACAGAAGGGCAAGUUCAUCUUCCUUUAUUUUAAUGUCUUUCAAUCAGACUGUAUUGGACAAAUUUGAAAAUGGCAACUUUUAAAAGAAUGUAUUUAAAACUUUGGGCAGAUUUUUACUUCUUUUUCCCACAAAAAGUUUUCAGAGAAAACUUGAAAAAUGUUUACUUCUUUAAAAAAAAAUUAAACUUAAGAAAAGUAACCCUGGACAAGUCACUGAGCCUUUUUGAAUCUUUUUUUUUAAUAAAUAAAAUGAAGGCUAGAAAAUCUUUAAGGUUUCCCCCAGUUCCAAACUAAAGUUGCAUCUGACCAAUACUGUUUCUAGGACUCAAGAACUCUGACUUUCUGAUGAGGCCAGCAAGUAGGACCUUACUAGGGCCUAAAGGAGAGGAGUCAGCUGAUCCCUGGUAGAACCAGAGAUUGAUAUUCCUGGUAUAACAUCUCUACUAAGAGCCGGGCAUGAAAGGACCAUUUAAAUUUCUCCAAAUCAGGCAGGUCCUCUGAUCUGAAUUAAAAGUAUAGAUAUUAGGGGUGCCAGGGGGGCUUAGUCAGUUAAGCAUCUGAAUCUUGGUCUUGGCUCAGGUCAUGAUCUCAUGGUCUGUGGGAUUGAGCCCCACGUUGGGCUCUGUGCUGGAAGCGUGGAGCCUGCUUGGGAUUCUUUCUCCCUCUCUCUCUGCCCCUUCCCUGCUCAAGCUCUCUCUUUCUCUCAAAAUAAAUAAAUAUUUUAAAAAGUUUAGACAUUAGUUCAUUUUCAUACCUUGGCUCUUAUGAAUACUGUUGCAAAGAACAUGGCAGUGUAGAUAUCUCUUCAAAAUCCUGUUUUCAUUUCCUGUGGAUGUAUACCCAGAAGUGUGAUUGCUAGAUCAUAUGGUAGUUCUAUUUUUAAUUUUUUGAGGAACCUCCAUACUGUUCUUCAUAGUGGCUGUACCAAUUUACAUUCCCACCAACAGUGCACAGGGGUUUCCUUUAUUCCACAUCCUUGCCAAUGCUUGUUAUCUCUUUUCUUCUUGAUGACAGCCUCUCUAACAGGUGUGAAGUGAUAUCCCAUUGUGGUUUUGAUUUCUAUUUUCCUGAUGACUAGAGAUGUUGAAUACCUUUCAGGUACCUGCUGGACAUUUGUCUGUCUCUGGAAAAAUGCCUGUUCAGUUCUCUGCCAUUUUUUUUUUCUUCCAAGAUUUUAUUUAAAUUCAAGUUAGUUAACAUAUAGUUUGUAUCCGUUAGUAGAAUUUAGUGAUAUAACACCCAGUGCUCAUCCCAAUACAUGCCCCCCUUAAUGCCCACCACCCAUUUAUCCCAUAACCCCACCCAUCUUCCCUCCAGCAACCCUCAGUUUAUGAGACAGAGACAAUCUUUUUUUAUUUACUUAAAAAAAUUUUUUUUUUAUGUUUAUUUAUUUCUGAGACAGAGAGAGACAGAGCAUGAGUGGGGGAGGGGCAGAGAGAGAGGGAGACACAGAAUCAGAAGCACGCUCCAGGCUCUGAGCUGUCAGCACAGAGCCCGAUGAGGGGCUUGAAUUCACAAGCUGUGAGAUCAUGACCUGAGCCGAAGUCGGACACUCAACCGACUGAGACACCCAGGCUGAGACAGAGACAAUCUUAAGCAGACUCAUGGUCAGCACAAGUCCGACAAGGAACUCAAUCUCACAACCAUGAGACCAAGACCUGAGUCGAAAUCAAGAGUUGGAUGCUUAGCUGACCUAGCCAUCUGGGAGUUCCAUUCUUUCUCAAGAUUGUUAUGGCUAUUCAGGGUCUUUUGUGAUUCUAUACAAAUUUUAGGAUUCUUCAUUGUAUUUAUGAAAGAUGACCUUGGGAUUUUGAAAGUGAUUGCAUUGAAUCUGUAGAUUGCUUUCAGUAAUAUGGAUAUUUUAACAAUAGUAAUUCUUCUAAUCCAUGAACACAGAAUAUCUUUCCAUUUAUUUGUGUUUUCUUCACUUUCUUUCAUUAGUGUCUUAGAGUUUACAGAGUAUAAUUCUUUCACCUCCUUGGUUAAAUUUAUUCCUAGGUAUUUUAUUCUUUUUGAUGUAGUUGUAAAGGUGGCUGUUUUCUUAAUUUAUCUUUCUAAUAUAAAAAGUUAGUUUAUAGAAACUCAACUGGGUUUCGUGUAUCGAUUUUGUGUCCUAUGACUUUAUGAAAUUUGUUGAUUAAUUCUAACAGGUUUUUGGUGGAGUCUUUAGGGCUUUCUACAUGUAAUAUCAUGUCAUCUGCAAAUAGAGACAGUUUUACUUCUUCCUUCCCAAUAUGAAUGCCUUUCCCCACUCCCUUGAUCUUGCCUAAUUGCUCUGGCUAGGACUUCCAGUACAAUGUGAAUAAAAGUGGUAUAGUAGGCAUCCUUAUCUUUUUCCUGAUCUUAGAGGAAAAGCUUCUUGUUUUUCACCAUUGAAUAUAGUGUUAUUUGUGGCUUGUCAUAUAUGGCUUUUGUUGUGUUGAGGUAUGUACCCUCUAUAUGUAGUUUGUGAAAAUUUUUAUCAUGAAUGGAUGUUGAAUUUUACAGAUGCUUUUUUUGCAUAUAUUGAGAUGAUCAUAUGAUUUUUAUUCUUCAUUUUGCCAAUGUGUAUCACAUUGAUUGCUUUACACAUGUUAAAUCAUCCCUGCAUCCCUGGAAUAAAUCACAGUUGAUCAUGGUAUCUGAUACUUUUAGUGUACUGUUAAAUUUAAUUUACUGGUAUUUGGGGUGCUUGGGUGGCUCAGUCACUUGAGCAUCCGACUCUUAAUUUUGGCUUGCAUUGUGGUAUUGAGACUCAUGUUGGACUCCGUGCUGAGUGUUGAGUGUGGAGCCUGCUUAAGAUUCUCUUCCUCUUCCUCUGCUCCUCUCCCCUGUCAUGCUCUCUCUCUUUCUAAAAUAAAAAAUCAAAAUUAAAAAAAUUGAUUUACUAGCAUUUUGUUGAGGAUUUUUGCAUGUGUAUUCAUCAAAGAUGGUGGCUAUAAUUUUAUUUUCUUGUAACUUUUUUUCUUAUAAUGUCUUUGUAUAGGUUUUCUUACCAGGGCAAUAAUGACCUUAUAAAAUAAGUUUGGAAACGUUCUCUCUUCUAGUUUUUGGAAGUUUUUGACUAGAACUGUAUUAAUUCCUGUUUGAAUUUUUUUAAAAAUAGAAUUCACCAGUGAUGGUGUCUGGUUCUGGACUUUUAUUUGUUAUUGUUUUUGAUUACUGAAUCAUUCUCCUAACUAGUAAUCGGUCUGUUCAGAUUUUCUGUUCCUUUUAGAUUCAUUCUUGGUCAGCUGCAUGUUUUUAGGAGUUUAUUCAUUUCUUCUAGGUUUUCCAGUUUGUUGGCAUAUAAUUAUUUAUAGUAGUCUUAUAUGAUCUUUUGUAUUUGUGUGGUAUGAGUUAUAAUGUCUCUUCUUUCAUUCCAAUUUUAUUUGAGCUCUCACUCUUUUUUCUUGGUAAAUCUUGCUAACAGUUUAUUUUGUACAUCUUUUCAAGAAAUUAGCUCUUGGUUUCACUGAUCUUUUCUCUUUUAGUCUCUAUUUCAUUUAGUUCCUCUCUGCUUUUUGUUGUUUCCUUCCUUCUACUAACUUUGGACUUAGUUUUUUGUUCUUUUUCUAAUUUCUUGAGGUGUAAAGUUAGUUUGUGUAUUUGGUCUGCUUGAUGGUGUCAAAUCCCUUAAGCUAUCUUAAUCUUUUUUAUUCUUUUUUCCUUUUGUUCCUCUUUUUUUCUUUGGAUGAAUUUGAAUGCCCCAUCUUUGAGUUCAUGGAUUCUUUUUUUUUUUUUUUAAUGUUUAUUUAUUUAUUUUGAGAGGAGAGAGAGAGUGAGUGAGCGAGCUAGCUCGCACAUGUCUGUGGGGGAGGGGGAGAGAAAGAGAGAAAGAGAAGCCCAAGAAGGCUUUGCACUCAGCACAGAGCUCCACGUGGGGACCAGUCUCAGAGUCAGAUUAUGACCUGAGCUGAGAUCAAGAGUAGGGUGCUUAACUGACUGAGCCACCCAGGUGCCCCUUGAGUUGAUGGAUUCUUUCUUCCACUUCAUCUAGUUUGAUGUUGACCCCAGUAUUGAAUUUUCAGUUUAGUUAUUGUAUUUUUCAGCUUUGUGAUAAUGUGUUUAAUACUUUUUUAUAUUUUCUUUUUGCUGAAAUUCCCAUUUUGUUCAUGCAUUGUUCCCAGGACCUUGGUGAAGAUCUUUAUGACUAUUAUUUUCAAAUCUUUCUUGGAUAGCUCACUUAUCUCUGUUAUGGGAAACCUUUUUGGGGGAGUUUUAUCUUAUUCCUUUGUUCAGAACAUAUUCCUUUUUCUUCAGUUUCCUUAACUUUCUGUAUUGGUUUGCAACAUUUAAUAAAACAACCUUCUCCUAGUCUUCACGGAGUGGUCUUGUGUAGGAAAUGAACCUUACCAUUCAUCCUGGCCCAAACUUUUGAUUGUCAAAUCUUUAUGGUUGUUCAUUUCACCUUAUUUGUUCUUUAUUGUUCAAAAUAGUUGACGGUGUGCCAAGACCUGUUCCCAUGUGGGUGUUUUCUUAUUUGCUAAAUGUGUACUUGUCACUCAGCUAGUUUUUGGAUUUCGUAUGGAGUGAAUUGCCUUGUAUAUAGUUGUACGUUAGCUGAGUCCUAGGAAUUGAUGAGUCCAUGAUCCUCCUAUCUUGCCCUCUUGGACCAGAAGCAAAUUUCAGUACAGAAUUUAAAGUAAAGACAUCAUCUACAUGAUACACACUGGUAUUCCAGCUUGCUUUUAGCUCUAUCUUGGUCAUUUCUUCUAUAGCCCAGCUUUUUGUGUGUGUAUGUGUGUGUUACAAAGAAUAUUCCAUUUUAUUUUAUUAAUUUUAUUAAUUUUAUUUUUGUUAAAUUUACAUCCAAAUUAGUUAGCAUAUAGUGCAACAAUGAUUUCAGGAGUAUAUUCCUUAAUGCCCCUUAUCCAUUUAGCCCAUCCCCCUCUCCCCAAACCCUUCCAGUAACCCUCUGUUUUUUCUCCAUAUUUAAGAGUCUCUUAUGUUUUGUUCCCCUCCCUGUUUUUAUAUUAUUUUUGCUUCUCUUCCCUUAUGUUCAUUUGUUCUGUGUCUUAAAAUCCUCAUAUGAGUGAAGUUAUAUGAUAUUUGUCUUUCUUUGACUGAUUUCCUCUAGCAUAACACACUUUAGGUCCAUCCACGUAGUUGCAAAUGGCAAGAUUUCAUUCUUUUUGAUUGCCAAGUAAUACUCCAUAGCACAGCUUUUUUUUUUUUGCAUGUGUGUGUACAUCAGUGGACAUAUACACACAAAUGGAAUACUAUUCAGUCAUGAUAAAUAAAGAAAUCCUGCCAUUUGCAACAACAUGGACCUUCAUGGCAUUAUGCUAUGUGAAAUAAGCCAAAGAAAGACCAAUACUGCAUAGUACCACUUAUACGUGGAAUUAAAAACAAAACAAAACACCCAACUUCAGACUCAUAUAAUGAAUGGCAAAGUGGUGGGGGAAGUAGAGGUUGGUAAAAGGGCCUGAACUUUCAGAUAUAAGGUGUAUAAUGCAUAAGAGCUAACAUAAAACAUAAUGAGCAUGGUUAGUAACAUUUAAAAAAAGGUAUAGAGAUUGGAAUCUGUCAGAAUUCCAUUUUGUCAGUUUUGAGUUCUGUGACUUAUUUUUGGGUAAAUCAUUUAAUAUGUUUGAGGCACAGUUUUUAAUUUGUGAACUGGAUAUUAAGGCUAAUGCAAGGACAUAAUAAGUCAGUUUAUGUAAAAGAACUUCGUAAACUUCAAAGUUUACCUACUGUUUUUGGUAGAUAUGAAAUUUGUGAAUAUUGGUACAAAAUAACAAAAGCAAAUAAUUUUCCCCUCUUUCUACAACAUCACAAUUUAUUGUUUAUAUUAAAAAUUUUUUUAAUGUUAUUUAUUUUUGACAGAGAGACAUAGUGCAAGCGGGGAAGGGGCAGAGAGAGAGGGAGACACAGAUUCCGAAGCAGGCUCCAGGCUCUUAGUUGUCAGUACAUGGCCUGAUGUGGGGCUUGAACUCAUGAACCACAAGAUCAUGACCCGAGCCAAAGUCGGACACUCAACCGACUGAGCCACCCAGGCUCCCCUAUUGUUUAUAUUUUAAAUUAACAGAUCUAUAUGAAUAAAAGCAAAGUUAGAGUUUUAAUGUAAUGUAGUAUUUUUAAAUUCAGAGCCAGGAUUCCUGGAUCCUCAAAAUUUCUAUAACAUGAAUUAAUUUCUUAUUGAAAAUGAGUCAUCAUUUGAUUACAUAAAUUCAUCUGUGAUCACUUUGGUCUUGAUUCCCCAGGAAAAGGGAAGUGGAUAGUUGUAGGUGCUUUGAAGUAAAUAAACUAUUAAGGGAAUAAGAAGAAGAUUUUAAGUAUUUUUUGGUACAAUAUUUGUGUCAAUUAAGAUAAUUCCCAAAUUCUUCACUUUUUCUAUAAGCUAAGUGUUAGAGUCAGUGAUAAGUAUUGAUCUUUUAAAAAAAAUUUUUUUUUUCAAUGUUUAUUUUUGAGAGACCAUGACUGAGGGAAGGGCAGAGAGAGAGGGAGACACAGAAUCCUAAGCAGGCUCCAGGCUCUCAGCUGUCAGCACAGAGCCUGACAUGGGGCUCAAACCCACAAACCAUGAGAUCAUGACCUGAGCCGGCAGAGUCAGAUGCUUAACUGACUGAGCCACUCAGGUGCCCCAAGUGUUAAUCUUUUUUAAACUUCUUGAUGUCUUCAUCUUUCUUCUAGUGUAUAUGUAUUGGUAUAUGGUCCCUUUCAGCAUCACUUAGUUACCAGUAAGUUUGGUGAGCCUCCUACCUAUAAUAUAGGAUUGCUUUAGGAAAUUUUAUUUCUUUCUUAUUUCUCCAGCAGUAAUAACAGUAUUUUUAUCAACUGUUAUUUGUAUUAUGUGAUAAAGAAUUUUAAUUAUCACUAAUAUAGGCUAACCAGCAUACAUUGAAGACUAUACAUAGUAUACUAUACACAUUCAUAUACACAUAUACACAUACACAUGAAUACAUACAUAUAAUUUUAUUUAUUACUCAUAUUCUAUUUUGAAUUGCACAAAGCCAAAAAUAAUUGUCCUUCUUGCUGUUCAUUUUUGUAAAGAGAUAGAAUUAGUUAUAUCUUCACUCUUUAAAUUCAAAAAUAAAGUACAGAACAUCAAAAAUUCAUACUACUGAAGUAUUCCUCUUGGGUAUUUAGAGGAUAUAAUUGUAAAACAUUUAUAAUAUUAAUAUUUCAUCUGUUCAUUGAUGAAGUAUUGUCACAUUUCCAGAUGCUUGGUUUUAGACUUUCAUUCUUAUUUUGGCCAAAGAAUUACAAAAAUCACAACUGUUUUUUUCUUUUAGACUAGGAAUAUGUAGAAGCUUUAUUUUACCACAGAAGAAGAACACUAUAUUAAUCUGGUGUUUUGGUUAUGACCAUCAUUUGCAUUUUGCUCAUUUAAACAAUUUCCUUUGUUUUUUUAAAGAAUAUGAGAACUUAUUUGUGUUCAUCAAAGUCUCCAUAACAUUUGGUGGAAAUUCACUUAAGAAUGGGCUGUGUUACUCUUAAAAAUUUUUGGGCGCCUGGGUGGCUCAGUCGGUUAAGCGUCAGACUUCAGCUCAGGUCAUGAUCUCACAGUCUGUGAGUUUGAGCCCUGAAUUGGGCUCUGUGCUGACAGCUCAGAGCCUGGAGCCUGCUUCGGAUUCUGUGACUCCUUCUCUCUCUGCCCCUCCACAUCUCACUAUCUGUCUGUCUCUCAAAAAUAAAUAAACAUUAAAAAAACAUUUAAAAAAAAGAAAAUUUUCUUGAAGUUCAUAGGAUGAGAAUCUGGUCCUAGAUUAAAUAGUUUCUAAUUUAGAUUAAGGCAUUCUUAGUAGAAUAAACCUAUACAUUUCUUCUUGUUGGAUAAAAAAGGAGAAUGUAAAUAAAUAAAAUUAUUUUUUUGUUUGGACUGAAAUUUCAGUGGUGAGUCUACUUGUUUAGGAACUUUCCUUUGGAUAUUAUUGAACAUGGUAAAUAUGUGAAAAUGACGCUGUGGAUUUGACAACUUUUUUGAGUGGAUUUGGCAUUUCUUUAGAAAAAAGGAAAAUAUGGAAGUGUUCAUUAACAAAGUGGAGACUAACCAAAACAAAUCUAUAUCCAAUUUUAAACUAUGCAGAAAUGAACAACUAAAAACUAAAAAUUUAAACAACCUGUGGUUUUUAAGGAUGUACAAAAUGUUAUAAUUAUGUAUAUGUAGUUCAGUUUUGAACAGGGAAACCCCAUUAUUUUCUAUGUGAUUCACAUGAGUUUUAUAGGAUCUAUCUUUUACUGUAAAUAAUGGUGCAUGUGAAUUUAUCUCUUAAAAACCCUAUGAUUUUUAACUUUGAGACUUUAGAUACAGUAAUGCUCAAUUUUUCUUUCUAUAAAUAGGGUUUUUAAAAACCUUAUCUAGGAGAAAUGUCAAUUUGUAUGUAGUCAUCGCUGAUGAAUAAUCUUGAAAUUCUUAGUCUAGACUUCUUAAAUGUUAUUUAUUCUAAUUUUUCAAAUAGUAUAUUGUAUUUUAAGUGAUCUAUUGAACAAAGUGGUAGUAGCAGUUGUUGUAGAAUACCUUUCUAUAAAAGAUCACACAUUUCUUGUAAUCAAGUUGGAUAUUUUCCUUUAUGUCAAUCUUUAAGAAUUAUUGGGCAAUAGCAACAGGAAUGGGGCUCUAAGUUGCAUGUCUAAUCAGAAAGCAUUGUUUUAGAGGGUCUUCCUUUGAAAAUUUUAAUAUACAUUUAUGUAUGCUUUCAUAUUGUUAAUGGGUAUGAUAAAUAGGCUAACAAGUAAGUUAUUACCAAAAUAUACAGUGUCAAAUAGAAAUUAAGGGUCCUCUUGGCAUUAUAAAAUGUGGGCAGUUUGAGUAUAUUUUUGUUUCCACACAUGUGAAUAUUAGUGUGGGUAUAUGUAUUCAAAUUUCUAUUUUAAUGACCUACAUUGUGGACUCACAUUGUACAUAUACCUUACCUAAAUACAUAUGCACAUAUGUGGCCAAAGAGAGAAAUUAAAGUAUUGCAUUCAAUGAAUCUGUGCUAGGAGUGAAUGUGAGAGGUAAAUUUUCUGUUCCUGUUGAUUUCAACUCCUUUAUAUGUGCUAGGCUGAGUGUGUUUCUAGGGUUUAAAGACAUAUAAUAUGUGUGUGUACGUGAGUACACUUGUAUUCAUGAAUACAUAUGUAUAUAUACACACAUACACAUACAUAUACAUAUACAGGUAUAUAUAUGUACAUAUGUAUGUAUUUUAAUACAAUAUAAAGUGCAGGCCAGCUAAAUCAUCUGGUAUUCAACUAAGGAAAAAAGAUAACUGUCUAUGAGAGGAAGUAUGUUGGUCUUCAGUGUGCAUUGUACAAAAGGAUUUUGACCAUAUGCAAAUUUUUGUGUGCUCACUUUAGAUCCUAAUCCCUGAGAAAGAGGUCACUUAACUAGUGUAUUUUGUUUGUUUAAUUUAAAAAUUAUAAUAGUCUGCUAGACAGUUUUAAUCUACUUUAAAUCUAUUUUAAUAGAUUCCUGCACCAGCCUGUACUAUGGUGAUUUCCCAGAUGCAUAUUGUAGGAGGCCCAAAGAAGCAUAAUACUGUGGGUUAAAUUGUCAGCUUUGACAUUGAUCUCCAUUAGGCUAAGGCCAGUUUCUUUACUGCUAGUACCCUAUAUUUUUGUGUGGAUGUUUUGUUUUUGUUUUUAUAGAGUGUCCAAAGUACUUUCAACAUGCGUAUCAUUUAAUCUUGCCUGUCAUGUACUCACUAAAUAUCUGAGGAGUGAAUGAAAAACCGUGUCAUAGAUAUAAUGGUUCCCAUUUUAAGGAUGAAGAAACUCAAGCACAGAUGAAGGCAAAUGUAUUAUCUUAGAAUGAAAAGAGCUGGUUUCAUAUUCCAUUUCUGGAAUUAUGUGAUCUCUGGAAAAUCCUUAUCUUUUUAGUCUCUUUUGUCUCAUUUGUAAAAUGGGUUUUGAGGGUUAUUGGGAGGGCUGAAUGAGAUAAUCUAAGUGAAAAUGUUUGGAACUAUAAGUUUCCAUACAAAUGAAAAGCCAAAAUUACAGUAAUAAUUACAUUAUCAAUUGCAUAGUCAUCAGUUUAGUAACACUGGAAAAGAACAGUUCAGUGCUCUUUCUGCUGUUUCCACACAAUCUCAGGUCUAGAGACACUAGGUCUAUUUAUUACUAGUUCUGUAGCCCAUUUCUAAUAUUUAUCAUAAAUGAAAUUUUGCAGAACUCUUGUUAUCAUGAGCCCAAUUUUUAGAGGUCAUUUUAUGCCUGUAACAUAUUGCAAAAGUCCUUUGAAUCUCUUCUGGAAAGAAGAAUAUAAGCCUGAUUAGAUAUGACAUUUAAGUUUCAUGGCAUGAGUAUAUGAAAUAAGUUAUCUAAUUAUUGUUGCCCAGCAACAUUCUAAAUCUAUAAGAAAAAUACCUAGUUCAUAUUUCAUAUUUCUUAAAUUUAUUUCCCUUUUUGAUGAGAUUUUUGAGGGUAUCUUGGAGUUACCUAGCUUUUUUUUCCCAUGUACUUUGAAACAAUGGGAUUACACUCUGAAACCUACAAUAAACAAAUAAGCUAACAAAAAUUAAACCAUUACAGGAGAAAAUGUGAAAUGGAAGUAUGUAAUCAAGUAAAUGGGAAAAAAAAACUUUAUUUUAUUAAAUGAAGGAUUGUAGAAGACUAACAGGAAUAUCACUAGUGUAUUUCUUCCUUGGUAGUUGUUUUCUUUCAGGAAAUAUCUUAUCAGCUGGAGAGAGUUGCUCUUUUCUUUGAAGUAAGCUCUGGUUUCUCUGAAAUCAGAUUUUGUAUUCCCCAGGCUCCACUCUGCAAUGCCAGCGCAAACAUACAUUAGCAGCUGUACAACUUUUAAAGAGUUUGCAAGGAGGUAUCAAGCAAUUACUUAUUCCAUUUUUGACCUUUAGAAGUUUUUAAAAAAAUUCUAGAGUGGUAGGGAGAGGAAAAAUAAGACAGUUUAAAUACACUUCAUGAAAAAAAUAAUCAUGUAAAUUAAUUGAAAGAUUGCAUUCUGUCAGUGAGAGAUUCAGGGAAAUAUUCCUAUUAUAUAUAUAUUUUAUAAACAAACUACAUACUGGUUUGUAUUAACUCUGUAAUUGAGUAAAUCUGUUAUCAGGUUUUUUUGUUUGCUUUUUUUUUUUUGUUUCUAGUUUGGUAUAUAUGUGCUAUUCUAGUGAACCUUUUGUUAACUAGUGCAUUGUAUAGUGAAACAAUUCUAAAUAAAAUAGUGAGAUCUCUUUGAUGAUUGGAAGGGCUCAGAUUAUUCUGUUCUAGUCUCUAAACUUCACAGAGGUAUACUGCUGGUUUAAUACUUGGCCAUGCUGCUAUGCAUUUCAAGUAUCUCUAACUUUGUGUAUCUGUUUGUGGUGCCCUGAAAAGAUGGUGUCAAAACAUCUGAGCUAUAGUGCUGGCUUUUCUGCUUACUAGUUUUGUGUCUUUGACAAUUCAUUUAACUUCUUUUGCCCUUAGCAUCUUGAUUUGUAAAACAGGGCUAAUAAUACUUGCCCACAUAACUCAUAGAGUUGCUAUGUAGCUUAAGUGAAAAUAUAUGUGAAAAUGCCUUGUAAAUCGUAAAGGGCUGUUAGAUACACCUUUAAAAUACCUUCUUCAGAAUGAGAACAAGUAUAAAGGAAAAAGUAAAAAUUAACUGUAUUUGUUAUUUCUGUUUACUAAUGUUCAUAUGAGAGAUGACAGUCAUAAUCUUUAUUCAGUGGGGUGGGAAUACUUCAGAAAGGCCAAAUACUCUGUCUAUUGUCAAUAGAGGAUUAGAGAGUUUAACAUAGGACAUAGAUUUUAUUUUAGGUCAUGUAUAUUCUUAUAUUUGACAUUGAUUUCAGCUCUAGAAUCUUGUAAUCUUACUUUUUGAUCUUGUUUACCUGUAUACUAUGUAUGAAAAUAAUUUGAGUGUCUAUGUAUUUGUGCGCAGUAUAUUUGCAUGUAAUGUAUAUAUACAUUGUGUCUGGGCAAAUCAAAGUACUGCAAAGGUAUAUGAAUAGAUAACUUCUUUUGAGGAAUUCACUCAUUCAUUCAUUUUUGUGCCAUUAUUUGUGCCAGGUUACAAAUUAAUUGUCCUGGCUCCCGUAUUUGACUACACUAAUUAUGAAAACUUGGCUGUCAGUUUGUUGACUGUAUGAUUAUUGGUUUCUGUUCAUAUUAUAUACCCUUUCAUCAGAUCAUCAAAAUCUUCACUGGAUAUAGAUAUUGUUAAGGAUCCAUUCUCUUUUCAGUCUAUUAUUUUAAAUUUAAAUAUUAAAGGUUCAAAAUUGAUUCACAGAAGAGAUAAAAAUGGUGUAUUUCUUAGAUGCACAGCUGCAAUUUGAGGAAGUUCUUCUGGUGUUAUGUCUCCAUUGAGUCACCUAUUUAUUGAGGCCCAAUUUAUAUAUAGCAGACAGGAGAGAUUUUCUAAAAGUGAAAGGAACAGUUGGUAUUUUGUUUUUGCUAUCGUCCACUUAUUAACACGUAUUUAUUGAUCAUUUGCUCUAAGUCAGACACUAUGGUAGAUGCUGGGAAUAAAUUAGGAGUAAAUUACAAUCUAGUGGAGAACAUGGAAUUAAAUAAUUUCAGAAUUAAAUUAAAACAGUUAUAAAUACUAAGGAGAAGUAUGUGGUUUUAGGAGAACAGACAUUUGAGAGAAAUAGAAAAAGUAAUAAAAAAAUAUAUAUGAAUGAUAAAAAGAAGUGAGAAAUUUCCCUAUCUAAUCAAUAACAACAUUAUUUCAUGUAUUUUAUAUAUCACAGACUUCUAGCGGUAAGAGUUUUGAUAAAAUUAUAUAGUUGGAAGUAAUUUUCUACUGACUAGAUACACUUAAUUUUGAGGUAAUAAGGAAUUCUAUAAAAUCGUUUAUAAAAGUUAUGUUAAAUUUAAAACCUGAACCAUAAGAGAAAAACCCCAUGAUUUUAUUUUAUAUGCUUGAAAUUGGUGGAAUAAAUCCAUAUGCUAAAUUAUCUCUUUACACAUAUCCCUUUCUUGUACACAGUGUUCCUUUGCCUUAAAGUGUAGGAAAAUACAACUUUGGAAACUAUGAAGAUAGCCAAAAAUUCUUUUCCUAAGAUAUUAAUGUAAGCAUUAAGAAUUUAUAUUAUUUUUUCAUUGAUGAUUUUUACUCUUUUGAAGUUUAACUUUAUAAAGGGAACCUGUUAGUUUCACUCUAAAUUUUUCAAUUUUGCUUUGUUACAUGAACUAUUCAUACUGUUGUUUGAAUUCAUAAAUUACAAGAAAUUUAAGAAAUCAAAAGAUUUUUAGUUUUAUAAAAUAUUUUCCUUCUCUUAAAAAUUUUUUAAAGUUUAUUUAUUCUGAGAGGAGAGAGGGAGCUCAUGUGGGAGGGGCAGGGAGAGAGGCAGAAUCCCAAGCAGGCUCCACACUGUCAGCACAGAGCCCGAUGUAGGGCUCUAUUCCACGAAUUGUGAGGUCAUGACCCAAGCAGGAACCAGGAGUCAAUGCUGAGCCACCCAUGAACCCUGACCCUUCUCUUUAUUUUUUUAAUCACAGCUUAAAUCUAAGUCUUUGAGUUGUAUAUUUUAAUCAUGAGGAUAGUGCACUUACGUUCAUUCCCACCCACCCCACCCCUUCUUUUUUGGUAAUUUUCAAUUAUUUAUUUAUUUAUUUAUUUAUUUUUGGUGAUUUUCAAUUUAGAUUUAUCAAAAAGUAACAAUUUUUUGCAUGUUCAGUAUUUGGCAUAGAAUAUUUAGUAUUAGAUGUUACUAGAAAUACCAAACAGAUAAUACUUUGUCUCUCUUCUCUUUUAAUCCUUGGACUUAAAAAAAGGUGUUCCUUUAAGUAGCCCUGUAUUUUACAACCAGCAGUGUUAUCUUGGUUCUGAAUAGAUGAGAAUAUAAAGGAAGUUUGAGUGUUUCAAACUACAUUGUAAUUUUGUACUCAAAUACAUUGUAAUCUUAUCUGUUAACUCCUGGUUUAUGGUGGUCUCUAGGAGGGUCAACUUUAUAAUUAAGGUUAAGGAAGCUUAAAAUGCUUUUUCCCCCCUUUGAGUAGCGGGCAUGCUCUUCCCUAUUUUCAGCCCUUGUACUGCAAGCUUGAAUUUUUCCAUAUGUUAAAAAAUACUUAUGUCUAGUAAGAAUACUGCCUCCCCCUCCCCGCCAUCAAGUUUGAGAAGUUAAUUUCAGAGCAUUGCUAAGUUGUAUAUAUAUUUUAUGAUAGGUGAUAGAAACCAGAAAUGUGUCAAUAAUUAUGCUACAGAAUAAACUAAAAAGUAAGAGUUAAUUACCAUCAUUUCCUGCCUUUUGUACCAUCUUCCAAAAUAACCCCAAAGCCUCACCAUUCAAUAAUAGUCAUGUACAUCUUACAACAGAUCAUAAGCAGUUAAACUUAAUCUCCUUUGCUCUGAACAUUCUUGUUAUACACUUUGUGAUGUAAGUAAAAGUUGUGUGUGUGAACAGUAGAGAUCUAAUUCUUCCACAUUCUUUAGAUGCAUGAUAACAUGGGUAGAGCACUGAAUGAAUUGAGAUCUCUGGUUAAUGUUACACACGUGAGUAGUUGUAUUUGCCUUUCUUUCUUCAUAGGAUCUUCAAUAUUUUUAUAAAAUGGGGCAUAAAUAUGCAUUAGAAUUAUGCAUAUGUUAAAAAUUUUUGUGGGGUGCCUGGGUGGCUCAGUCUGUUAAGCAUUCAACUCUUGGGUUCGGCUCAGGUCAUGAUCCCACCAUUAGUGGGAUCGGGCUUCCUGCUGUCAGCACAGAGUCCACUUGGGCUUCUCUCUCUCCCCCCUCUCUCUCUCUGUCCCCGCCCCUGCUAGCAUAUGCACUCUAAGAAUAUGUACUCUAAGAAUGCAGUAUAUAUGGAGAAUCACAUAUUCUGUUCAGGAUCUUGGGAUAUCCACAUGAAAAUCAACCUAUUAGAAGAGUUUCCAGCUUUGCAAAAUGAGUUUGAGAGCCGUGGAUCCCUGACCAGCUGAUCAUUUAUUUUACUCUUCUAUUUUUUUGUCUGUUGUAUGGACAGUUAGACAGCAGUAAGGGAAUUUGGAUUUCAGGUAUGCAGAUUUUUCACACUUUGAUAUGAAGGGAUGAUCAUUCUAAACAACUUAUAGUACAUAUUUAAAAGAAGAAAUGAAACUGGAUUGAAAGUUCCCAUCUUAUAAAAAUUGACAGUGAAUGCAGAGACUCUCUAGGUCAUCCUGUACAAAUGAGCAAACGUGGUGAAUAGAAUACAGAAAGUUAAUACAAACUGGUAUUAGAAAGUUAGUAUGAACUGCCUGGAUUCCUGGUUCAGUGCUACCUUGACUAUUUUAUUUAAUAUAUUUUUAAUACUUCUAAUUAUAAGAUAAACACAUGGUUAUUCCAUUUGGUAUAUUUAGAAUCUAAGUAAAAUAACACAUUUUUGAAAUUUGUUUGUUGGACCUUUGAAAAUUAAUUGUAAAAAUCAAGUUAGUAACUAUGCAAGUGUAUUGUGUCAUAGCUUUUGCUCCAUUGUUUGCUUUUCUCAAUGUUAUAUAUGUAUUCAUUGAGACUAUAUAUAGGAUAGUUGAUCACCUGGCUUUAGAUCUCCAAAUAUUAUGUAAGAUAAAUAUUUAAACACUGUUUACUUUCAAAAAGUUAUUUAAAAAUUUAAAUAGGUAAAUAUUUCAAAGAAGUGAAAGGGAAACAUUUAAAGUAGGAAAUAUUAGAAAAAGUAAAUAGGAAAUAUUUCAAACAUACCAAAAACCAGAUUCUUCAGUUUUAACAAAUACUAGUAUUCUGGCAUAUUUGUUUUAUAUGUUUUUGUUGUUUUAAAGAAAUGAAAGGUCACAGAGACUGUCAAAUCCCUUCAUAUUCCAUUCCCACCCACUUCACUUCCCCAGGAGUAACUGCUAUCCUGAAGUUGAUGUGUAUUCUUCCUCUAAGUUUUUAUAUUUCUGUGUAUGUAUGUACCCAUAAAUUAUAUAGCCCUGCUCUGCCAAAUAGGGUAGACACAUUAAUAUCUGGCUCUUUAAACUUAAAUUAAUUAAAAUAAAAUACAUUCAGUUCCUCAGGAACGUUAGCCACAUUACAACUGUUUAAUAGCCACAUGUAGCUUAUGCUACUGUAUUGGGUGUGCAGAUACAGAACAUUUUUAUCAUUGCGAGAAGUUCUCAUAUAAAUCAUUGUUUGCAUGUUUUUAAGUUUAUUUAUUUUAAUGUUUUUUAAAAUUUUAUUUUUGAAAAAGAGAGAGACAGAGCAUGAAUGGGGAAGGGGCAGAGAGAGAGGGAGACAGAGAAUCCAAAGCAGGCUCCAGUCUCUGAACUGUCAGCACAGAGCCCCAAGUGGGGCUUGAACUUACAAACCAUGAGAUCAUGACCUGAGCUGAAGUCAGAUGCUUAACCAACUAAGCCACCCAGGUGCCCCCAUUUUUUGCAUGUUUUAAACUUCAUACAAAUGGUAUUAUACUUUUAAUAUUCUGGAGAUUAGUUUUAACUCAGCAUUAUGUUUUUGAGAUUUAUCUGCAAUGACACACUGAAUUAUGGACAUUUAGGCUAUUUUCAGUUUUUAAUUGUUAAAAUAAUGCUGCAGUGAGCACUUUUAUGCAUGUUUCCUUACACAUACGUGUGAAGGCUUUCUUUUUUUUUCUUUUUUUUUUUUUAGGGUAUGCAUUUCUUUAUUGUAAUCAUUAUCAACUUCACACACUGAGGCCAAAUCAUUCCUUACAGUAGCUAUUUCAACUUAUGACUCAACCAGCACUCUGUAAGAUUUCCUUUUUUUCAUAUAGUUGCUGAAACUUAAUGUAAUUGGACUAUAGUAUCAAAUGUUAUUUUGUUUUAAUUUGCAUUUCCCUAACAUUUAGUGAAGUUGAGCAACCUUUUAUAUGUUUCUUGACCAUUUGGAUUUCCUUUUCUGUGAAAUACCUAUUUACAUUUCUUUUUUUUUUUUUAAUUGUUUUUUUUCUUUUUGAUUUAGAAGUUCUUUAUAAUAAUUCAUUUUUGGUUGCAAGCUUUAUAAAUUUGUCCUAUUUGUGUCUUUUUACUUUGUUUAUGGUGUUUGGUAUAUUAUAUAGGAGUUUUAAAAUUUACUAUGUAAGAAGUUUUAGCUUUUCACUUUAAUGCUUAUAAUUUUUUGUAUCUUGUUGAAGCAAGUUUUACUUAUUUGAUGUCAUAUGGUUAAUUUCCUGCUUUUUUCCUUAGAAAUGUUAUAAUUUUGCUUUCUAGAUUUAGCAUUUUAAAAUUACCUGGGAUUUAUUUUGUGAGACAGUGAUCUAAUUUUUUGCCCAUAUAUGUACCUAAUUUUCUUCAGAUUAAUUUUUUUAAAUACUUUUUCCUUUUCCUAGUGAUUUGUAUUGCCAACUUUUUCAUUUACCAAAUUGCCAUAUGUAGAUGGAUCUAUUUCUGGGUUCUGUAUUCUGUGUUGUUGAUUUGUUUAUCUUUGUGCCAGUAUCAUGCCAUCUAAACUAUCAGAGCUUUAUAAUAAGAUGAUGGCUGUUCAAGGUAAGUCUUGCCACCUUGUCUGUCUUCUUGAAAAUUGUUCUGUUUCCAGUGUCUUCUCUCAUGUGUGAAUUAUGGGGUCCUGUUGUCAAGUACUGUUAACAACUCUCAUGGGAUUUCUACUGGAAUUGAAUUAAUAAAGUAAUUUAGUGAGAAUAGACAUUUUCAUGAAACUUAGUCUUCCCAUCUACUAUUAUGGAAUAUCUUCCCAUUCAUUUUUGUUUCCAUUUAUACCUGACAAUAAAGUUUAAUAAUUUCCUUAUAAAUUAUAAGAGGUCUUACUCUGAUUUUGUUAGAUAUACUCUUAGGUACAUUAUGAUUUUAUUUCUAUUGCUAAUGAGAUCUUCUAUUACAUUUCUACUUGGUUAUUGCUUGUACAUAGGAGUACUAUUAGUUAUUUGUAUUUUGAUCUGGUAUCCAGUAACCUUGUUGAACUCUAUUAUUAGUUUUGACACUUUGUAGAUUCUCUGGGAUAUUGUAUGUAAUAAUAUUACCUGAAAAUAAUAACUACUGUUGAAAUUGGUUAGGAUUUCCUGUACUUAAGAAAAGUUGAAUGUAGGCAGUAUGUAGUAAUAAACAUUCCCAUCUUGUUUCUGACAUUAAAGUAAAUGCUUUUAAAGUUUUCCCAUUAAAUGUCAGGUUAAGGAAAUUUCCUUGCAUUCUUAACUUGCCAAGAGGAUCUUAAUAAAAGGUAAUGAAUAGAUGUUGAAUUUUUUCUUAGAUCCUUUUAAAAGUUUCUUGUAUCUUUCUUGUUUUACAUAUUGAUGUGGCAAAGUACAUUGAUUAAUCAUUGGCUUCUUGGGAUAAAACUUGAUCAUGAUGUAGUCUGUGUAGAUACAUGUAUGUAGAUAGGUAGAUAUGUAGACGAUGUAUAUAGAUGCACUCUGCAUGAUUAAAUUCAUUAAAUUUGCUAAUAUUUUGUGUAGAAUUUCUUUAAUCUAUGUUAGUAAAUUUGAAUAUCCUAUUGUUUUUUAAAUACAGUUUUGUCAUUUUGAGCAUUAAGAUCAUACUAGCUUUAUAUAAUGGGCUGAACAGCUUUCUCUCUUAUUCUGUUCUCUGGAAUAUUUUAUUUAAAAUAAAGGUUAUCUGUUUUUUAUAAGAUUUGGUAACACUUGCCUAAAAACAACAGCCUUGGCCCGGUGCUUUCUUGUGGAUAGAUAUUUGGCUGCUGAUUUAAUUCUUUGAUGUUUAUAAAUAUAUUCAGGUUUUUGGUACUCUUCUUGAGUCAAAUUUCGUUUAUUUAUAUAGGUUGGCCCAAAAGUCUUACUGCAGUGUUAAAUUUGAAUGACCUAAAGAGUAGAAAUUCCACAGACUUGUAGAACUAUUUGGAUGUUUAUUUAAAUUUCUUUUUAGGUUUUAUGUUUCUGAAUCAUAGAAUAAAUUUUCAGUCCGUGUUUGCCAUAUUGAGUCAUAGGAACUGAAACAAAACACUAUAAUUAAACAUUUGUUAUUAAAUUUCUGUAUAGAUUUUCCCACCUUGUUUUUUGUGCAAUUUAUUUAUUGAACAGAUCAAUUUAUUAAUUUGUAAAGUUUCCCAUUGUGUUGGCGAUUCCAAAGACCACCCCAGGUUUAUUGAUGGACUAGGGGGACUCAAAGGAUUCAGCAUAUAGUUGUACUCCUGGCUAUGAUUUAUUAUAGCAAAAGGAUACAGAGCAAUAUCAGUAAAGGGAAAAGGUGAAUGGGGCAAAGUCUGAAGAAAACCAGGCACGAGUGUCUAAGAGUAUUUUCUUAGUGCAGUUACACAGGUUGUAUUUAAUUCCCUCAGGAAUGAGUUGUGACAACAUGUGUGAAAUGUUUAAAAGGGAAACUUACUAGAGACUCAGUGCCCGGGUUUUUAUUGGAGGCUGGUUAUGUAGGCAUCUUCUGCCUGGCAUAUACCAAAAUUCUGGACUCGUAGAAGGAGAACAGAUGUCCAGCAUAAACCACAUUGUACAAACAGGCACAUUGAGCACUCUUAUCAGUUCUGGGAAUGGUGGGAACUCUACUGAAAUACAAAUUCUCAGACACCAGCUAAAGGCCAGUCUUGCAAACAGACUUUUCUAAGGAUAGCAGUUUCAAUCCUGCUGUAUUAACUCUUUCCUGUACACCACAUUCAGGAUUUGCUAAUUGCUUCUGAAGUGUUGUUAAAUGUGUUACUCUCUCUCUAUUCUCUGUCAACCAGUAUUCAUAUCUACAGGCUUACACAGGCUUGAUUUUUAUUUGGUAAGAAUAUUUCAUACAUGGUGUUGUAUACUUUCUUUUGCAUCAUAUCAGGAGGCAUAAGAGGUUGCUCUUUUUGUGUGUGUGAUGUUAAGAUUGAUCAGUAGUUUCAGGUAUUGUCAGCGUGAUCUGUAGAUUAUAAAGUUCCCUAUCUGCUAUUUACCUAAUGAUUUUCUUAGCACCUGUUGAUGAUCAUUGCCCAGAUUCAUCCUGCCAUUCAGAGUUGUAAAAUCUAACUUUCUUUUUCAUAUAUUAGCUGGAAUAUUCUAUAAAGAAGAACUUGCCCUCAUCAACUAUUCAGUUUUUCUGAGAUACAGUUAAUAAGAAAAGACAGGAAAAAAAUGCAUGGUUUUUACCUUUUACUUACUAGUUUUCAAAAUAGUAAGUUGGUUUUCUGGCAUCCUCCAAAAGCAAUUAUGAACAUUCAUUUUUUAUUAUUGCUAUGAACAUAUGAAUUUUUAACACAUUUAAUAUUUUAACCUAUUGACAUUAUUAUCUUUUUCCUAAAAUUGUCACAUCUUUUGCCAUCUCCUCAAGUUAGCUACUGAGCCCUUUUGACACACCACCAUCACCUUUUGAUAACUUACUUGUUUUCUGGUACAGUCAGGUAUUUCAGGCUCAUCUUGUCUUUUUCUACCCCAGAUCUGGGAUCAUUUGUGUUAAGUAACUCUAUUUCCUUUUAGUGCAUAAGUUCCAUUUGGAGACCACAGUUUAGAUGUUGGGGGUGCUCAAUGCUCUGGACUUGUCAUUAUUUCUAGACCUUUAAAGUGGAAAUAUGAUCAGUUAGGAAAUAAACUUUUUUUAAAGAAAAAUACUUCAUGAAUUUAUCCUGAUAUUUCUAAUUCAAAUUUGGGAUUACAAGGAUUUUUAACUUUUUUUGGUUUUGUGUUUGUGAGUUUUUCUUUUAAGCUGAAAAUGUUGGUUCCUAGUGACCUUAAUACAAAUAAUUGCUGUUUAUAUAUUGAUAUCAGUUUGUCAACACCGAUGCCAUUAUUAAUAAUAUGGCUACUGAAAUAGUUUAAAUCUUCUUGCCACUAUUUUGGUCCUUGUUGUACAUCCCACUGACAAUCUGUAAUCAAUCUGUCUCUUGAUAGAAUUGUUUGCUGUGUGUUUAAGCCAUUGACUUGAUACAUGGAUUAGUUUGUUUCAGUUUACUUUCAAAUUUUGGGGAGUACUUUUUAAAUUCUGGAUUCAACUUUGUUUCUUAAUCAUAUCAGAUGUUUUCGGUUUCAUAGUAAAAUAAGAUAAAUUUAGAAAAGUCUGGCUUCUCUCCUUCUUUCCACCCUCUUUUUUUCUUUCUUACAGAUGAAUAAUUUAGUUAGCUUUUGAUUGAUAUCUACCUUUUAAAGUAAAUGGAAUCAAAUAUGUGUGUCUAUGUAUUUCUAUUUCCUUAUAUAAACAUAUGCUUACUAUUUACACUGUUCAUCACACAGCUUUUUUCAUUUACUAUUUCCUGGAGAUCAUACCAUAAUAGUAUGUAAAAAUUCCUUACUAGGAUCUGUUGUUUUUUAAAAAAAAUUUUUUUUAACGUUUAUUUAUUUUUGAAACAGAGGAGACAGAGCAUGAACGGGGGAGAGUCAGAGAGAGAGGGAGACACAGAAUCUGAAAUAGGCUCCAGGCUCAGAGCAGUCAGCACAGAGCCCGACGCGGGGCUCAAACUCACUGACCGAGAGAUCAUGACCUGAGCCAAAGUCAGACGCCUAACCGACUGAGCCACCCAGGCGCCCCUAGGAUCUGUUUUUUUAUCUUACAUGGGAUUACCAUACCAUGCAUGUAACGUAAAUUCAGACCUCAAACCUAUCUUCAGGUUUUGCUCUUUCGUAGGAAACUGUUCUCCUAUGUAGAGCUUUUGGCAGAGAACCCUCUUCCUUUCUUCUCUUCUGGGAUUGUGAGAAGAGAUUUUGUUUUUAUUUUUAACACUUUUUUUUAAUAGGGUAAACAGCCCUGUGAUUAUCUGAACUUUUUACUCAGGUAUCCCAGUUACUUCAGUUUAACUUCCCUAUUGUGUGGGCUCCAAACCAUGUAUUACGUCCCUACUUAUGGACCUUAAAACUUCAGCUACUGGCUCUUACACCUGUUUCUACUCUGUACUUCUCUAAGUUGUCAUGCUGUUAGCUUUGGCUCUUGUAACUCUGGCUAGGGUUCUCUCUUUGCUUUUGGAGCCUGGGUAUUUCUAAGCUAUAUAUUAUUUUUUUGGUUGUAUUUUAUCUACCAUUUCUUUGUGUUUGGAGCAGGAAAAAUUCACUUUGUCAUGUUCCUAGAAAUAGAUCCACAGCAUUUAUUUUCUCUCACUAGUGUCUGUCAUCCUUUUUUCUGUAAUUAAUGGGCUGAAGGAAUACAUGCCCACAUUCACAAAUAUGAGACAAGUUUUAAAGAAAUAUCUUAUGACUAAAAUUAUGGCAUUUCCUACAAAACAGUCCCCUCUUUCUUCUGCUUGGAAAGAUUAUUGAUCUUCUGUAAUAGUUAUUUUACGUAUUUUCAGUAUAUUCUCUUCCUUUUUCUCUUCUCUGCCUUACUUAUUUUCCUUUUUUUUUUUUCAUCUACCUCUAAAUCAAAGAAAAAUCUGUGUUGAGAAUCCAGGUCAACUAAUGUUAGUGCUUUUUUCAAAAGGGCAAUAAAUAAAAUUACAAGGCUUUUACACAUUAUAGUGAAUAUAAAUUCUUUUUAGUAAAACAGAAAAAAAAUGACCAAAGUAUGAUUUGUGGAUACAAGUGCAGAUUCUUGGUUCAGGGUAUUUUUAAAGUCAUUGAAGAGCCUUUAUCCAAUGACAUUCAUUGCUAUUUGAUUUUAUGUCUUUGUUUCACUUGUGCUGCCCUCUAACUUGGGUCUUCCCUUUCUUUCUUUUAUUCUCCUCUAUUUGCAGUGCAGGUGUUUCAUUAAAACUGUAUCUGGUAUUGGCAUGCCACAGAUGCACUUUGAUAUUUCAUACAUUUCACCUAGAUCUUUUGCUGUGCAUUUUUGCAAGUUAAAAUAUGGAGGCAAUAUUAAUACACAGUAAAUAGCCUGGAAACGUGCAAAUCAUAGUUAAAUCUUAGAUCCCUUAAAGAGGUUUGUAGCUUUCAGAGAGAUUCUUCUUUGGGCAUGAUAUAUUUACUUGGAAAUUUGACCAGAGGUAAGAAUUUUGGGAAAGUAUUGGGAAAAUUGUUUCAACUGUUUCUGAGUUUCUUGAGUGAUAAAAAUAAGAGUAAUUUUAUUAUUACUUAUUUUUGUUAGCUUUUAACUCAUACUAUGUAUAAUGUUUUAAUCAUUGAAAAGCAAUGGGAAAAGACUAUGUUCUUUAGACUGUUUUAAGCGCCUCCAAGGAAAGUUAACUUUCAGCGUACCCCAAAAGUUAUUGUCAUUAUGGUUCUUUUUUUGUUAUAAGACCUGCUUGUAUAGAAACUUUGAAGCAUAACACUUCUUUAGUUUAAAAAAAAACACUUAAAAAUCCAGUGCAAAAAUGGCACAUAUUAUUUAAAUCUGUGCAUCGAUCAGCAAACUGAAAAGUGAAAUGUUUUCUAACUGACCUUUGAUUCAUGUUAUAGGAAAUCAUGCAGUGUAUACAUUUACUGACAUGUUUAGUGAAAACAUAAAUGUGAGAGAGCUAAUGAGAAUUUUAACUUUUUUUUUUUAAUAUUUCAGGCUAUGGCAUUUGCUUUCAUUUUCUUCAUACAUUCGUGAUAUCUGUGUCAAAGUUUUAUCAACUUAGAUUUAUAAAUAUGUAUUACAUUAAAUGCACUUGAGUAUAGUGUAUACAUUUGAAUAUGAAUUUGUGCAUGGAUACAAUGAGACACACAUCAUUUAAUAAGUAGAAAGGGUUCAACAAGAUAACAGUCCAAGGUCCUGUAGUUGUCACUGUUCCACAGUGAUGUGGAAUUAAGAAAAAAAGCUCCAUUUUUUAUCUAAUUGAAUUUGGCAAGGGAAUAUAUUUCAUCCACAUGUUUAAAACAGGGGCAUGUAUUCGCUCAGAAUCUGUAAACCAGCUAGUUGAAAGAUUGACAGCUCGGUGAGGAGAACACAACCUUAUAUUUGGUUUCAGGCAGCCAAAGUUUUAAUUACAGCUCUGAGGAGGAGGAGAAUGGGAACGUUUCACACAGCAACCUUAACAAACAGCAUAAUAUCUCCGUUGUUAUCCAUGUUAUUUACUAUUUCGGCAUCUUUUAUAUAUGUCCUACAUAUUGCAUUAAUAGAAACUCAACUAGAAACCUGGUCUUGGAGAUACUUGGUGUCUGUCACAGUCUGUGGUAAUGACUACUGAGAAUCAGUGACACAUGUGGAAGAAGUAGAGCUUUAAAAAAGUACUCUACUGAGGGCCUCCUAGGUGGCUCAGUCUGUUAAGCAUCCAACUUCGGCUCAGGUCAUGAUCUUGUGGCUUGUGAGUUUGAGCCCUGCAUUGGCCUCUGUGCUGACAGGACAGCUCAGAGCCUGGAGCCUGCUUCAGAUUCUGGGUCUCCCUCUCUCUUUGCCCUUCCUCUACUCUCUCUCUCUCUCUCUCAAAAAUAAAUAAAACAUUAAAAUAUUAAAAAAAAGUACUCUACUGAAUAUUAUAAAAUUUUAAGAAGGGCUACAUUUUAGAAGUACAUUCAUUUGGAUGGAAUAUUUCAGAGUCAUUGGGUUUCUUCUCAUGUAAUUUUUUUCUGUAUGUAAGCUGUCUUACUGAAAAUUGGCACGGUUUAAUGAAGCUGUGUGUGUUCACAGUAAAGAGGAAGCUAACUAAAGGAAACACUUAGAAAGUGACCUAUGUACAUGCAUAUAUAUCCUUUUUUCUGGCAAGAAAGUGACUGUCUCUUUAUCCCGCAUCUAGGGAUUUUGAAUCCUAGAAAGGGAUCGGAAUCAGGAGAAAAGUUGUUGUGCUUUGAGAGACCUAAGAUGAAUAUUCACUUAAUACAAAAAGAGAGAAAUGUCACAAAAGUCAUGGUAUGUAAAUUAAGAGUGCCUGGGAGCAAUUAUUUUAUAUGGCAAAGCCAGAAAGACAUUAAAAACACCUUAUAUUUCUGUUUUCAACUCAUGAACAAAUAAAUGUAGGAAACAUGUUUAUUUGUUUAACAGUGCAAACAGUUUCCUUAAUGCAUAAAUUAAGAGGAUGUCUUACUAUUUCUGAAUACUCAAGGUAGAGAGACAUCGUAGAGAAAGAAGGGAAUAAUAGCCGAAGUGCUUGAAUAACAAUUCUGGCAAAAAUGGGAGUUCUUCCAAUAAGGACCAAGACAUCCCAUAUUCCCAAUUCUGAUUAUUGAUUGGAUAGAUUUCUUGCAAGAAAUUUAUUUUCCCCAGACUCUAGAAUUUAUAGGAUGGGUUUAGCUAGCGUUAGCAACAUAGCAGUUUCUUUUUUUCAUAGAUAAGCCUGCUUGAUCAAAGCAAGAUAUAAACAGCUAGAAUGCUUUGCUUAAUAUUUACAUAAACACAAAAUGAAAUGUGGGUUUUGUGUUUAUUUCAUAUUACUAUGAAUGAAUAAAGGAAUUCAGAGUUUCUUUUUGUGUGUUUCACUUUGAUUUUAUUGACUUUUAGGGAAACCUACUGAUAUUUGAAAAAGAGAUACUUAGUCUUGGAGAAGUAAUUCAUUUUUUUCAUGAUGGGGGUACUGAAUUUCUUCUUUAUGUUCAGAUCAUAGUCAUGUUAGCAAUAAAACCAUUUAUCUUCUAUAAGAAUUUUGAGAAAUGUAUACUGUAUUUGAUUUACACUACCCAAAAACAUUCUUUAUUUGUUUUUUUUAAGUUUUAUUUAAAUUCCAGUUGGUGAAUAUACAGUAUAAUAUUAGUUUCAGGUGUACAAUAUAGUGAUUCAACACUUCUAUACAUCACCCUGUGUUCAUCUCAGUAAGUUCACGUCUUAAUUCCCAUCGCCUAUUUAACCCAUUCCCCUACCCACCUCCCUUCUCGCAACCAUCAGUUCUCUACAAUUAAGAGUCUGUUUCUUGGUUUGCUUGUCUUUCUCUCUCUUUCUUUUUUUUCCUUCUUGUUUUGUUUUUUAAAUUCCACAUAUGGGCGAAAUCAUAGGACAUUUGUUUUUCUCUUAUUUCACUCAACGUAAUACACUCUAGCUCCAUCCAUGUCGUUGCAAAUGGCAAGAUUUCAUUCUUUUUUUAUGGCCGAAUAAUAUUCCAUUGAGUGUGUAUGUGUGUGUGUGUGUGUGUGUGUGCAUGCGCAUGUAUGUAUGUGUAUGUAUAUAUUACAUACAUAUACAUACAUACAGCAUAUCCUCUUUAUUCAUUCGUAUUUGAUGGACAUUUGGGGCUACUUCCAUAAUUUGGCUAUUAUAGAUAAUGCUGCUAUAAACAUUGGUGUGCAUGUAUUCCUUUGAAUUAGUGGUUUUACAUUCUUUAGGUAAAUACCUAGUAGUGCAAUUGCCAGAUCAUAGGGUAAUUCUAUUUUUAACUUUCUGAGGAAUCUCCAUACUGUUUUCCAGAGUGGCUGCACCCGUUUGCAUUCCCACCAACAGUGCAAGAGGGUUCCUCUUUCUCCACAUCCUCACCAACACCUGUUGUUUCUUGUGUUGUUGAUUUUAGCCAUUCUGAAAGGUAUGAGAUAGUAUCUCAUUGUAGUUCUUUACUUGGUUUUAAACUUGUAAAAUAAACUCAGCAAAUUUGUUUCAGGAGAGCAUUUCCAAAAUAAUUCAUAGCUAAUAGAGUUAAGUAGUGCUUUGAAAUAAACUUAUUUUCUCUUAAAAAUUAGAUGUCCAGUAAUAGCCAUAUUUAUAUAUACAAUUAUACCUUAUUAUAAGAUUUUAUAUAGUACAAACAUUUAUAUAUUAAAGAUUAAAAACUUUGGGAAUACAUUUUUUCCCCCAAGUAGAAUACAAAGGUAAGUAUUAGGAUUCUGAAAUUACUUGUUAGUUUACAUGGCCUUGACCAAGCCUAGGUUCUCCUGUUUCUUGGUGAAAAGUCUGUAAACAUUUACAUUUCAUUACAGAAACUGUGUACUUUUAAGAAUGACAUCUUAGAAUUUUGGAGAGGUCCUCAGUCUGUGCAUUUUCCUUAUGCACUUGGCUUUAUUUUAUCACUUUAAAAUAAUUGUAGUUUAAUGGUAGAUUUAGAUGUAUAAUUGUACUUUUUAUUAAUGAGAAAAGACAAAAAUGAAGCAUUAGAGAUUAAAAUAGAAAGAUGCGCAUCAUAUAUGAAACGCUGUGGAGACUGUAGAUUAAAUCAAUGUAAAUAACAAUAUCACUACUUGAAAAAUGCAUAGUGUUUGAAAGAAUCAAAGAAAAUCAUAGCAAACCUUACAAGCAGUUAUUUAAGUAGACCAUACGAUAUGUGAUCUUUUGUGUCUGCUUUCUUUCACUUAGUGUAGUGUUUUUGAGAUUCAUCCAAGUUGUAGAAUAUAUCAGUUCUCUUUUCCUUUUUAUGUCUGAAUGCACACACACACACACACACACACACACACACGCAAUACAUACAUACCUCAAUUUGUUUAUCCGUGUAUCCACUUAAGGGCAUGUGGGCUGUUUCUAUCCUUUGGCUAUUAUAAAUAAUGCUACUAUAAACAUUCACGUACAAGUUUCUGUGUGGAUAUGUGUUUUCAUUUCUCUUACGUGUAUACCUAGGAGCAGAAUUUCUGAAUCGUAUGGUUAUUCUGUGUUUGCCUUUUUGAAGAAUAGCCAAAUUGUUUUCCAUAGCAGCUGUACUACUUUGUAUUCCCAACAGGUAUGUAUAAGGGUUCCUGUUUCUCUACAUCCUUGCCAACACUUGUUAUUUUUAUUAAUUUAUUCUUUGAUUAAAGCUGUCUUAGUGGAUAUGAAGAGUUUUUCAUUAUGUAUUUCUUCAGUGACUAGAGAUGCUGAAAAUAUUUUAUGUGCUUUUUCUUCUUUGGAGAAACUAUGUACGUUUCUUGCCCAUUUUUUAUUUGGGUUUGUUUGUCUGUGUGUUGAAUUGUAAGGGUUCUUUGUAUAUUCUCAUUUUUAAUCCUUUAUCAGAUCUAUGAUUUGUAAACUUUUUCUCCAUUAUUUAGGUUGUUCCUUGGCAUUCUUGAUAAUGUUGUUUAAUGUACAACAGAUUUUAAUUUUUAUGAAGUCCAAUUUGUCUUUCACUUUUAUUGCUCAUGCUUUUGGUGUCAAAUCUUAGAAUCUUUUGCCAAAUCUGAGGUUAUAAAGAUUACCCCUGUUUUUUCUUCGAUAAUUGUAUAGUUUUAGCUCUUAUAUUUAGGUCAUUUAUUUGAGUUAAUUUUUAUAUAAGAAGUGAGGUAUGGGUCCAACUUCAUUAUUUGUAUGUUGUUAUCCAUUUAUCCCUGAACCAUUUGUUGGAGACUGUUCUUACCCUGUUGAACGGUCUUGUCAAAAAUCAGCUGGUUAUGAAUGAUUGGGUUUAUUUCUAGACUCUCAUUCAGUUCUAUUCUGUUGGUCUCUAUACCUAUGCUUAUGUCACUGCCACACUCUUGGUUAGUGUAGCUUUGUAGUAAAUUUUGAAAUUGGGAAGUGUGAGUCUUUCAACUGCAUUUUACUUUUUGGAUAUUAUUUUGGCUAUUCAGAAUCCCUUGUAGUUCCAUAUAAAUUUGAGAAAUUUAGUUCACUUUGAGGAGUAGUGUCAUCUUAACCAUAUUAAGUCUUCCAAUUCAUGAGCAUGGAAUGUAUUUCCAUUUAUUUAGGGUGUUUUAAUUUCUUUCAGCAAUGUUUUAUAGUUUUCAGUGUGUAAGUCUUUCACCUUCUUUGUUAAAUUUGUUCCUCAGCAUUUUAUUCUUUUGAGUGCUAUUGUAAAUGGGAUUAUUUUCUUAAUUUCCACAUUGUUCAUUGCUGACAUAUGGAAACACAACUAGUUGUUGUGUGUUGAUCUUGUACUCUGCAACUUUACUGAUUCAUUUAUUAGCUCUAGUAGGUGUGUGUGUGUGUGUGUAUGGAUUCUAUGGGAUUUUGUAUAAGUAGAAUCAUGCCAUUUGCAAGUAGAAAUACUUCUACUUCUUUCUACUUCUAAAAGGCAUUAUCAAUUUGGAUGCAUCUUACUUCCUUUUCUUGGGUAAUUGCUCUGACUAGAACUUCCACUACAAAGUCGAAUAGCAGUGAUCAAAACAUGCAUUUUAGUCUUGUUCUUGAUCUUGAGGUUAGGCUUUCAUUCUUUCACUACUAUGAUAUUAACUAUGGGUUUUCCAUAAGUUCCCCUUAUCAUGUUGAGGGAAUUUCCUUGUAUCCUAGUUUCUGGGCAUUUUUAUCACGAGAGGGCAUAGAAUUUUGUCAAAUGCUUUUGUUUUUGUUUUGUUUUGUUUUUUCUUUUUUUUUUUGGCAUAUAUAGAGAUUAUAAUGUAGUUUUGUUUUUUAAUUUCUAUUAGUGUGGUGUGCAUUACAUUGAUUGAUUUUCAUAUGUUGAACCACCAUUGCAUACCUGAGUUAUAUCCUGCUUGGUGAUGAUGUGUAAUUUUUUAAAUGUGCUCUUGGACUUGGUUUGCUGGUAUUUUGUUGAGGAAUUUUGUGUAUAUAUAUAUAUAUAUAUAUAUAUAUAUAUACACAUACAGAGAGAGAGAGAGAGAGAGAGAGAGAGAGAGAGAGAUACUGGUCUGUAGUUUUCUUAUGUUAUUUUUAUCUGGCUUUGGUAUCAGUUUAAUGCAGACCUCAUGAAAUGUGUUAGAGUUCUCUAUCUUUUUGGAAGAGGUUGAGAAGGAAUGUUGUUAAUUCUUCUUUUAGUGAUGGAUAGAUUUCACUAAUGAAGCCUUAUGAUCCUGACUUUCCUUUUGCUGGCAUAUUUUUAUUAACUGAUUCAAUCUAUUUGUUACUGGUCUGUUAAGACUUUUUACUUCUUGAGUUGGGCUUGGUAAUUUGUGUUUUCUUGGGAAUUCAUCCAUUUCAUCUAGAUUGCCUAAUUUGUUGGUAUAAAGUUGUUCAUGGUAUUUUCUUAUAGCCCUUUUAGUUUUGUAAAACUGAACCACUGUUCCUCAAAUUUAUGUGCAACUUCAAGAGACUCCAAGUAGUCAAAAUAGUAUUGAAAAAGUGAAUGUAGUAAUGUCCCUGCUUUCAUCUAUUAUUUCAGUUAUUUGCAUUUUCAUUUUUUUUUCUUAGUCAGUCUAGCUGAAGGGUUCUCAUUUUUGUUGAUUUUUUUCAAAGAACCAAUCUUUGGUUUUAUUGAUUUUCUUUAUUGCUUUUCUCUAUUUUGUUUCUCUUGGCUAUAAUCUUUAUUAUUUCUUUCCUUCUCCUGGCUUUGGGUUUAGUUUGUUCUUUUUCUGGUUCCUUAAGGUGUGAAGUUGGUUUGUUGACUUGAGAUCUUCUUUUUUAAAUGUAAGUGUUUGCAGCCAUGAAUUUCCCUCAGAACACUUCUUAUGCUGCCCCUUGUAUGUUUUGGUAUGCUGUGUUUUAUUUGUAUUUAUUUCAAAGUGGUUUUUUUGUGCCUAGUGAGUCUUUACUUGUUCUACUGGCUGCUUGCUUAAGAGUAUGUUGUUUAAUUUCCAUGUGUUUGAGUUUUCCAGUUUUUCUUCCAGUAUUGAUUUCUAGCUUCAUACUAUUGUGCUCAGGGAAGAUACUUAGAAUGAUUUAGAUAUUUUUUUUAAUUUGAAAAUUGUUUUAUGGCUUAACAUAUGGUUUAUUCUAGAGAAUGUUCCAGUGCAGUUGAGAAUAAUAGAUAUUCUGCCAUUCUUGGGUGGAGUAUUCUAUAUAUGUCUCUUGGUCUAGUUGGUUUAUAGUAUUGUUCAAGUCCUUUAUUUUCUUAUUGAUUUUCUUUGUACAUAUUCUAUCCAUUAUUGAAAGGGGCUGUUUAAGUUUCCAACUAUUACUGUAGACUAUUUCUUCGGUUCUGUCACUGUUUGCCUCAUAUAUUUUGAGGCUUUGUUGUUUGAUGUGUAUAUGUUUAUAAUUUUUUUGAAAAAUUUAUUUUUAUUAAAGUAUAAUUAACAUAGUGUUAUAUUAGUUCAAAUGUACAGUAUAAUGAUUCAACAAUUCUGUACAUUACUCAGUGUUUAUCAUGAUAAACAUACUCUUAAUACUCUUUACCUCUUUUACCAAUCCCCCAUCUACCUUCUGGCAACCACCAGUUUGUUUUCCUUAUUUAAGAAUAUUUUUUGUCUCUUUUUUUCUUUGUUUUGUUAUUUAAAUUGCACUGUGAGUGAAAUUAUAUGAUAUUUGUGUUUAUCUAUCUGACUUAUUUCACUUAGCAUUAUACCCUUAGAUCCAUCCAUGUUGUUGGAAAUGGCAAGAUCUCCUUCUUUUACAUGGCUGAAUAUGUAUGUGUAUACAUACAUACAUACAUACAUACAUACAUACACAUACACACCACAUCAUCUUUAUUCAUUCACUUAUCUUUGGACACUUGGGUUGCUUCCAUAUCUUGGCUAUUGUAAAUAAUGCUGCAAUAAACAUAGGGGUGCAUAUAUCUUUUUGAAUUAGUGUUUUUGUAUCCUUUGGGUAAAUACCCAGUAGUGGGAAUUACUAGAUCAUAUGUUAAUUUUACUUUUAAUUUUUUCAGGAACCUCCAUACUGUUUUCCAUAGUAGCUACAUCAGAUUGCAUUCUCAAGAACAGUGAAUGAGAGUCCCUUUUUCUCCACACCCUUGCCAUUUAUGCCUAUAAUUCUUAUAUCUUUGUGAUGAAUUGAUCCUUUAAUCACUAUAAAAUGUUUUUCUCUGUCUCUUGCAAAAGUUUUUUUUUAAUGUUUACAUAUUUUUGAGAGAGAGAAAGAGACAUUGGGAGAGGGGGAGAGGCCAAGGGAGAGGGAGAGACAGAAUCCGAAGCAGGCUUCACCCUCUGAGCUGUCAGUGUAGAGCCUGACGCAGGGCUUGAACUCGCAAGCUGUGAGAUCAUGACCUGAGCCAAAGUCGGACUCUUAACUGACUGAGCCACCCAGGUGCCCUCUUGCAACAGUUUUUGAUGUAAAAUCCAUUUUGUCUCAUGUUAAUACUGCCAGCUGGGCUCCCUUUUGAUUACUAUUGGUAUGUAAUACCUUUUUCUAUCCUUUCACUUUCAACUUAUGUGUUUGGGUGUAAAAUGAGUCUCUUAUAAGCAGUUUAUUGUUGUAUCAUUUUUUAAAUUCCUUCUGCCAGUAGCAGUUUUUUAAUUGGUGAGUUUAACCUGUUUGCUUUUAUAAUGAUUAUUGAUUAUAAUUAUGUGAUUAUAAAAGUGAUUAUUUCUGCCAUUGUUCUACUUGUUUUCUCUGUGUUAUGUUUUUUGUUGUUGUUGUUCCUCACUUCCUUAUGUGCUACCUUCUUUUGUGUUUGAUUUUUUUCUAGUAUACCUUUUGAUUCUGUCUUCAUUAAAUUUUUUUGUUUUAUUUGAAUAUAGUGGACAAUGUUACAUUGGUUUCAGGUGUAUUCAUUUCUUUUUAUGUUUAUUUUUUAGUUAUUUUCCUAGAGGUUACAAUGGGGAUUACAGUUAACAUCCUAAAUUGAUAAAAAUUUUGUUUAAGGGUGCCUGGGUGGUUCAGUUAGUAAAGCAUCUGAGUCUUGACUUUGGCUCACGUUAUGAUCUCACAGCUCAUGGGUGCAAGUCCCAUGUUGGGCUUUGCACUGACAGAGUGGAGCCUGCUUGGGAUUCUCUCUCUCCCUCUCUCUCUGCCCCUCCUCCACUCAAGUGCACACUCUCUCUCUCAAAAUAAAUAAAUAAACAUUUAAAAAAACUUAUUUGAAUUGAUACCAGUUUAGCUUCAGUUGAAAAAUUAAGUCUACUCCUUUCUAGCUUUAUCCUCUCCUUUAUAUUGUUAGUGUCACACAUUGCAUCUUUAUGCAUUGUGUGCCUAUUAACAUAGACCUAUAAUUAUUUUUUGUGCAUGUCUUUUAAAUGAUACGGAAAAUAAAAAAAAGAUACCAAAAAUUCAAUAAUACUAGCUUUUAUAUUUACCUAUGUAGUUACCUUUACCAGUGAUCUUUAUUUCUUUGUAUGACUUUGAGUUACUCUGUAGUAUCCUUUCAUUUCAACCUGAAGGACUUCCUUUAGCAUUACUUAUAGAGAAGAUCUACUUAGUAGUGAAUUCCCUUAGCUUUGCUUUUCUGGUAAUGUUGUAAUUUCUUUUUCAUUUUUGAAGCAUUGUUUCGCUGAGUACAGAAUUCCUGAUUGACAUUUUUUUCCUUUCAAUUUCUAAAAAUAUGUUGUCCUCCUGUCAUUUGGCCUUCCGAGUCUCUGAUAAGAAAUAAGCUGUUAAUCUUUUCUUUUUUUAAUUUUCUUUUUUAAAAUUUAAUCGAAAUUGGUUAGCAUGUAGUGAAACAAUGAUUUCAGGAGUAGAUUCCUUAAUGCCUCUUACCCAUUUAGCCCAUCCCCUGUCCUGGCUGUUAAUCUUUUUUGAGAAUGCUUUGUGUAUUAUGAGUUGCUUCUCUCUCUCUUUUUAAAAAUUUUUGAAUUAUUUAUUUAUUUUGAGAGAGAGAGUACAAGUAGGGAGAGGCAGAGAGAGAGAAUCCCAAGCAGGAUCUGUGCAGUGAGUGCAUGGAGCCCAAUGCAGGGCUCAAACCCACGAAACCGUCAUGACCUGAGCUGACGUCGGAUGCUUAAAUGACUGAGCCACCUAGCCAUCCUUGAAUUGCUUCUUUCUGCUUUCAAGAUUUUUUGUCUUUCAACAGUUUGUUAAUAAUGUGGUGUGGAUUUCUUUGUCCUCCAUAGAGUUUGUUGAGAUUCUUGGGUGUGUAUAUUCAUGUCUUUCAUCAAAAUUGGGAAGCAGUAUUUCUUCAAAAAUUUUUUUCUGCUUCUUUUUCUUCUCCUGGGGCUCCCAUAAUGUGCACAUUGAGAUGUUUGAUGGUGUCCCAUAGGUCUCUUAGGCCCCUGUUUAUUUUGCUUUAUUUGUGUUUAUUCUUUUCCUCAGAAUGUGCAGUUAUAAUUGCCCUGUUUUCAGAUGUGAUGGUUAUUGCUUUUGCUUGCUCAUAUUUGCUGUUGAAUCCCUUUCAUGAAAUUUUUAUCUUUUGUAUUGUCUAGCUCCAUAAUUUCUACUUUUAUCUGUUUAAUAAUUUCUCUUUGUUGAUAUUCAUUAUUUGUUCAUAUGUCAUUUUCCUAAUUUCCCUUAGUUCUUUGUCCAUGGUUUUCUUCAGUUCAUCAAACAUAUCUAAGGUAGUAAAUUAAAGUUUUUGCCUACUAAGUUCAGUGUCUAGGCUUUUAAAGGAUGGUUUCUGUCAAUUUCCUUUUUUCCUAUGAAAGUAAUAUUUCCUAUUUGUGUGAUUUAUAAUUUUCUUGUUGAGAUCUGGACAUUUUGAAUAUUGUAAUGUAAUUUAGGAAAUCAAAUUCUUCCCACUACACCAAGUAGUGCUGUUGUUACUUGAUGAAGGUUGCAGUAGCUCAUUUGUUUAGUGACCUUUCCACAGUGGAUUUUGCAGACUGUAUUUCUUGUCAUGUAUGGUCACUGAAGUCUAUAUUCUGUUAUAUCUUUGGUCAGCCAGUGACCUGACAGAGAUUUCCUUAAAUACCUGGAUCCAAUGAGAGAACAAAAAAAAAUUAAAAAAAAAAUUUUUUUUAAUGUUUAUUUAUCUUUGAGACAGAGACAGAGCAUUAACGGGGGAGGGUCAGAGAGAGAGAGGGAGACACAGAAUCGGAAGCAGGCUCCAGGCUCUGAGCUGCCAACACAGAGCCCGCUGUGGGCCUCGAACUCACGAACCAUGAGAUCAUCACCUGAGCCGAAGUCGGAGGCUCAACCAACUGAGCCACCCACGCGCCCCGAGAACAAAAAAAUUUUAAGGGUAUUAUGUCUCUGUGACUUCCUCCAUUGAUGGUAAUGAAGCAACUUGAUGGAUUGAACCACUGGCUGUCUCUGUCCUCUCUCUCAUUGAACUGCUGUAUAGAUCAAGACACAGAACUUUGGUUUUUGGAGGAGAAAGUCUCUACUGCCCACCCUGAUGCCAAAAAGCUGCAUCAGGAAUUUAGGCCAUUGUCCCCAUGGUUACUUUCAGCAAGGUUGUGGAUUAUAGCUGUCAUAUGUAAUGCUGAAAUUCACCAAAACUUACCAGUCUUUUUCUUUAUCAAGUGUUCCCUUGGAUGCUACCAGUGUUCAGCUAGACUCCAGAGUUCUGAAAUAGUUGAUUCUAACAGGUUUUUUGUUUGUUUGUUUGUUUGCCAGAAUGAUAGUUGUUUUGGUGGAGGGACUGAUUCUAGAGCUUCCUACUCUGCCAUCUUCCAUGACACUGCUCCCUGCCAUGUCCACUCUUAAAAGUGUUCCAGUUUGGAAAAUAAUUUUUUUGGUCACCCAUUGGUAAGUAAAUGACAAGAGCAAGAGAGAGAGAUGAAAAGAAAAUAUAAACCAUGAGGAUCAUCAAUAAAUAUUUACUGACUGCUUAAGGAAGAUAAGCUGUUAGAUGAAUGCUAUAGAAUUUUCCUAGUUUUAGUUCCAUUUAGUUUGUGUCUGUUGGGAGGUUUUUAUACUAGGUUAGCAUGGGUGCAGUGAAUGCCUUUGUUGGCAGGGUUGACAAAGCACGUUGAUUUGUAUCCUGAGUUUAGAUAAGGGGUAUUAUAACAUGUAAACUAAGAGAUGGAAUGAGUCUGUGGGACAGCUAUAUCUCUUGUUGCUGACAUGGGUGCCAUGUUGUCUGUCUUUCUACUUGUUCUACUUUCUCAAAUCUGUAGGUGGGUCAUGAACAAUUGCUUCAUGGCUGUAUGCAGUCUGCAGGCCUUAUGUUGUGUAGGCCUGCUAUAGACACUACUCUUUAAUUGGGCAGAAAAGUUGCUGCAUUGGCUUCCCUCCCAUUUCAGAAAGCUGAGUACAUGCUGUUACUGCAGCAGUUUGUCUAUGCCAGCUCGAGGAACAAGAACCUGAGAUUGGAAGUCAGACUAGGGGCUCCACAGGGUGAUAAGGACCAUUGCAUUUUGACUAUUGAGUCUGAUUAUAUUUAUAAUCAUAGGGAGGUGCUUUUUUGAACAUGGGUUAAUGUGCAUUUGCCCAUUUUGGAAAAUCACUAGACUUUUACAAUUCCCGAUUAAAGUUUUUGGUAACUACUCGGAAAAGACUAAUAGAGUACAUUUGGGGAAAAUGCUUUCAAUGAGUGAUCUUGUAUUGACUGGCUGGCUAACUGUCUCUCCAUCACUCUCAUACAUGCUCAGAAUGCUACAAGUGAUAGAAAUUUAAUGUUUUCAAAAUAUAAAUGAAUAAAAGUAGAAAAGUGAAAAUGUUUACUUUUUUUGUUCUGUAUUAAAUGUUCAUUAAAUUAAUUUUGGUAAAAUUAAGUAAAAUAAUUUCCUAUUGCUAUAAGUAGCCACAUUUUAUGGUUGAAUUUAAACUGUAGAAAGGGGGUUGUGAUGGAACACCCAUCAGAAUAUCUGCUGUCUCAUAUGAAAGGACUGCAUGUAGUGUCUUGAUAGUAUAAAAACUUCUUUAACAUACUUUUAAUUUUAAUUAAAAUGUCUAAAUUAUAAUAUACCAAAGAAAAUAGUUUUAAUUUUUUCCAUAGGUCUCUGUGUGAUUUUAAUGUUGUGUACAUUAUUAUUGGUGCUUGAGUUUAAUAUUACCUUCUGUAGCAUUAAAAUUGUUAACACCGUAGCUUUGGUAAUGCACGUUUGAAUAUUAUGUUGCUGUAAACAGCUUCACUAAUGCUGUAUUUUCAGUGAAUAUUAUGGGCCUUCUGUUAGUGCUGGCAUUUGAGCAAUUUUGCUUUCUAUUUUUCUGUUGUGUAUACAAUGCAAAGUAUUCCCACCUGAGAUUUCCCCAAAAUUUCACUUGGGAAACAGAACAAAUUUGAAGGAUGUUUUCUGUAUGUUGCUGAAAUCAUGCUUUGCUUUGAGUCAAGCCAAAUGAUGAAAACAUAGUCUAGCCUUCUUUCCAGCAAAUUGCAAUUACCUCUAAGGCCUAUAGUAAAAUGACCAACUAAUUGAGAACACUUGUCUUUGUUUUCAGUUAGCAAAACUUACUAAGAAUGUCCAUUUUCUGAAUUCAAAAAGGUGUGUUUAUUUUUAAUGAAUUAAAAGUUGGGAGCUCUGAAAAUUAAAGCAUAUGCAGGUUACUCUCUUCCUCAAGGGGACAUAUACUACUGCUGUGCUCGUGUGAAGUAAUAAUGAGAUACCAUAAGCAAACAGUAGAUGAUUCAUGUCAGAUGGUUCUUCAAUAACAUUAGGGGGGAAAAAGCAGCUGAUGUAUGGGAUAUUGAAGGCAGAUUAAGUUGUUAAUGUAUAUUAGUAUAUUCUUAAUUUCCUUUUAAUUGAAAAAGACAUAUUGACUUUAAUUAGAACCAUUUCACAGGAACUGUCAAUUAGCACAUGUCAAACUAGUUAAUUCAGAACAGAAUUCUUUUAAUUAGGGUCUGCUUUCCUUUAACUAUGGGGCCAAUGAAAUCAGCCCUUCCUUAUCUAGAUUUUAAAUGUCUCUAAGACAUAUAAUACAAAUGUAGACUCUUAUCUAUUAUUAGAAGCCCAUAUGGAUAACAUUAAAAUGAUGAUGCUGGCAUUGUUCAUGCAGCACAAAUCAGAGUCCCUUUAUGACUGUUAGAAAAAAAAUGGCUUUGAACAAAGACUAUUUUAAAUACCAGAUUUAUCCUACUUUAAAGAGACUACAAAAUUUAUGACAUGCAUGUUCACAUUUAAAGUAUUAUUUAAUACGUCUGCUCAAAUAAAUGGGCCUAUUCAAACGUUUUGUGUGUUCUAUCAGCCGAAGACACAUAAAACAUUGUCAAGCCAUACAGCAACAUUUUUUCCUUAAAUGAACUGUAAUCAAAAAGGGAAAACAGACUGAAUGAUUUUUUUUUUUGCACAACAUAAAAAUAGCAUUGUUAACUUUCAUUGCAUCCAAAGAUUUAAUACGAAUAGUUGAUACGGUGACUAAACCACUGGUAUGAGCUAAUGUAAUCUUAGUAAUCAAACUGUAAAAUCUGAAACUUGGCUUUUUCUUGAUGUAAUGUUGUGGAAUUGCAGCAUGUUAGUUACAGUUGGCAUGAGGCUGAGCACGUAGAGUGAGUUUGCUGGGGCAGGACUCUAUGGUGUUCACCUAUGAAAUAGGUAUACUCAGUAUUAAAAGAAGAUUUAAAGCGGCAUGUAAAAGAAAAUUAAUUGGAAGUCUAGCUUACUUUAUCAUGUAAGAUUUAGCCGCUAUUUUACUGAGUUAGAGUAAGCAAGGAUUACAGAAAUCAAUAAAAAAGAAUAUUUAAUAAGCCAGUCUGGAUUCCAAAGAGAAUUAUCUAGUAUGUAUCCUCAUAUUUGUUCAUUUGUGGUAGGUACAUUUAAUGAUAACUGUACUGUUCCUUACUAAAGUAUGAUGUAGUGUAGAUGUCUCAGUAGCUGCAUUUGUGACAGUCGAAUUAAAUGAAUAAUUGUUGUAAUCUUCUAAUUUUGAUUAACAGGCAAAACAGAGUAUACAAAAAGAUGAAAAAACAACCAGAAAAACCCUUUUCCUUCUAGAGUUGACCUCAUUCUUCUGAACUGUUCUUAGAGGGACCUCAGCUCUCUACUGUGUGUUUGAGAGACACAACUUACAGUUAGCAUGCCCAUAUUUGUUUCAAUCUGUAGCUUUUAAUUAUUUUUGGUGCCAUAUAGUCACUUGAGUCUGGGAUAAAAGAUAUUAAUCCUCUUCCCAGAAAAUAUACAUAAGCAGACAUGCACUAAAUGUUCAGGGUGGGAAAACGUUAUGAAAAAUAAUCUGGUACAGGCUGCUGAAAGAUGGAACCUCAGUUUGAUAUAAUUGACUACUUGUAGUGUUGCAGACACUGUGCUUGGUCUGGGAAAAUAACAAUGAGCAAGAUGAGCAACCUUAACAUCUGAGUAACUGUGACAAAUUAUUAACACAUUUUCAGAAAUUACUCUGUGAUUAUUAUUUAAAAUUUUUUUUUUUUACUUUCUGAACUGGUUAAAAAUUGACCUAUAUUUACAAAUCUUGGACAAAUUUUAUAUGUGACAAGAUUGACAAUUUUACAUAAAAAUUGCCUGAAAAAUACAAGUAUUGAAACAGUAGAUGAGACUAAUUUUAUAAGUUUAAUUCAACAGAUUUUAUUAAUCAUUUCCAUCCUAAUUAUAAUUCCAUUUUGGUUAAUAAUCUUAGGUGAUAUUAAUUAAUGCUAUAACUUUGAUCCAUCUUUUUGUUCUGUUUAUUCACUUAAAUUAUAUAAUUUAUAAUAAUUUAUGAAGAAGGCAUAAGGCAUACUAAUACAGUUUUACGAAUUAGUCUUAAACUCUAAACUGUGUAAAGGAUCUUGGGUGGGGUGCUAAUUAAUUUCUUGAUUAUCUUUGAGUCACUUAUCUGUGCUAUGCCAGGGUUUAAAUUCAAACAAACUUUUGAGUAAUAUCAACACGUGCAGAAUCUGUUAUUCCACUAGAUAGUAUUAAUUCCUUUGUAACUUCAGAGGGGUCAUUUGGGUGUCUGUGUGUGUGCAUGUACGUGCACAUGUUUAAUCUUUGGGUAUACUGUAGCACUGUUAUGUAUAAAACAUACUUGCAUACUUAAUGUGCUUUUAGUCCCACUUUUAUCCUUGGUUGUCUCUAGCAGUUUAAAUUGCCUUGUCUGUUUCAGGGGCACCUGGGUGGCUUAGUUAGUUAAGCAGCUGACUUUGGCUCAUGUCAUGAUCUAAUGGUUCAUGAGUUCGAGCCCCGCUUGAGGCUCUGUGCUGACAACUCAGCACCUGAAGCCUGCUUCAGAUUGUGUCUCCCUGUCUGUCUGCCCUCCUCUCCCCUGCCCUCUCUUUGUCUCUCUCUGUCUCUCUCUCUCUUUCUCAAAAAUAAACAAAUAAAGUAAUUAAUUAAAAAUUGCCUUGUCUGUUUUACCUUUUGCAAAGUUGACCAUUGGUGUAUUUGUCAGCAACAAAAAUUUUGGCCCUUGGAAAUUUAUAGGAUACAUGAGCCUUAACUUGGUUUAAUCAUCUUAAUGGUAUAGAUGGUAUAGGUUAUAUAUAUAUUGAUAAGAAUAGGCAAAAAUUACUCAGAGCAUAUGUUUUUGAAUCAAAACCAUAGCCAUUUUAUUUAUUUAUUUAUUUAUUUACUUAUUUUUAGAGAGAGGGAGAGAGAGAGGAUGCACGUGAGCGGGGUGGGGGAAGAGAUAGAGAUAGAGAGAGAGAACCCCAUGAGGGGCAGAGAGAGAGAGAAGUGAGGCUCACUUGGGGCUCGUGUUUUUACUUGAAACAGGGUUUGUGCUCACCUGAAGUGGAGCUCGAGCUCAGCUGAAAUGGGGCUAAUGCUCACCUGAUAGGGGUUCAAGCUCACCCCAACUGGAAUUUGUGCUUCCCUGAUACGGGACUUGAACUCACCAACUGUGAGAUCAUGACCUGAACUGAAGUUAAAUGCUUAAUGACUGAGCCGCUCAGGUGCCCAAAACCAUACCCAUUUAACUCUGACUUGGUUAGCUGCAUUUUAACAGAUUAUUUAAAUUAUUAGGAGCUGUGAUUUCAAAUAGCUUUAUCCAAAUAGGAAAAUUAUUGAAAUCACUGGCAUGUUUUAUGUAAAGGGAUGUAACUUUCAGAUGAAAAAUUUGAAUUGUUGGAUUUUAAGAGUUAAUUGGAAAUUUUCUUAAUUAUUUCAUCUACUUUUUGAUCCUUAAUCAACAUCAUAUUGAUUUUAAUAGGGACUAAAUGCACCACCCUGAAUGUGGGGUUUCUAUACUCCAUAUGUGUGUAACUAGCCCCACCUCUGCAACCUCUGACAUACGCUUUUUUUCUAUCUAUUGAUAAACAGUUGUCUAACAUAUUAACUACAUAAUUUAGUAAAUUUAAUUUUUUUAUAUCUUGAGAGUGUGUUCAUGUUAUCUUUUGGAAAGUGACAGGGAGUUAUUGUGUGUGUGUGUGUAUGUAUUUGUGUGUGUGUGUGUGUGUGUGUGUGUGUGUGGGUGNNNNNNNNNNNNNNNNNNNNNNNNNNNNNNNNNNNNNNNNNNNNNNNNNNNNNNNNNNNNNNNNNNNNNNNNNNNNNNNNNNNNNNNNNNNNNNNNNNNNNNNNNNNNNNNNNNNNNNNNNNNNNNNNNNNNNNNNNNNNNNNNNNNNNNNNNNNNNNNNNNNNNNNNNNNNNNNNNNCACAAGUAUUUAUUAGGGAUGCCUGGGUAGCUCAGUCGGUUAAGCGUACGACUCUUGAUUUUGGCUCAGAUCUUGAUCUCAUGGUUUGAGUUCGAGCCUGCACUGGAAGCACAGAGCCUGCUUGGGACACUCUCUCCCUCUCUCUCUGCUCCUCCCUUGCUCAUGCUAUCUCUCUUUCAAAAUAAGUAAACAAACUUUUAAAAAAUUUAAAAAACCCCAAAAACCAAGUAUGUAUUAACCACCUCUUAUUCAGAAACAGUUAAUGUUAGCUACUAUCUUGUUGAACAUUAGUUAAAAUGUUUAUUUGCCUUAUCCUUGACUAUGUAGAAUCUUGUUAAAAACUAAUAAUGUUCAGUAAAUUAUUAGUUGCCUUUUCAAAAUUAUUUAAUACUUUAUAGUUGAAAUAGUUUUUUAAUUUUAUAUAUUUAUUUUGAGAGAAAGCGAGUGAGUGAGAGUCGGGGAGGGAUAGAGGGAGAGGGAGAGAGAGAGAAUACCAAGCAGGCUCUGCACUGUCACCAUGGGGCUCAAUCCCACGACCCUGGAAUCAUGACCUGAGCUGAAAUCUGGAGUCAGACACUUAACCAACUGAGCCAUUCAGGCACCCCUAUAGUUGAAAUAUUUUCAAUACUAUUAUCUAGUGCAAGAUGAAUAAUUCCAUCGUUACAGUUAAUAGUUUAAUUUCAUUUACUGGUAUCAUUAGGUGUUCUGGCAUAUGGAAAAGCUGGGUUCAAAUUACAGUAUCACUAUUUACUAGCUUUAUAAACUUAGAUAAAUUGCUAACUUCUGAGGUUCAUUUCCCUCCCCUGAAAAAUGGGUAUAAUAACACUACUUGGUAGUGUUGUAUGGAUUAAAUGGAAUAUGUAAAGCGUUUAGCAUCUUGUCUUUUACAUACUCAGUAAAUACUUGUUCCCAACCCCUUUUCAGUUUUGUUGUACUAACUGCCUCUACUGAGAAAUUUAUUGUUAAAUAGAUUUACUCCUAUAUGGAAAUACAGAUUGUUAACAUGAAUGCUCUACUAAUUUGAUAGUUAAUAGAUAUUAACAGGGGAAGUUACUACUAUCUUUGUUGCUUCAGGAGAAUCCAGCUGAUGACAAUCACCUACUUAUGACCAACAGUCCUUUCUUCACUGUUUGUGUGAAAUAUAUUUUAUGACUAUCACUAAGUGAAAUGGCUUCUAACAAAAACCCUUUGUUUAUAAUAGUUCAAUGUAGAAUAUUCAAUUUUUUUUGUAAGCUGUCUGCCCAGUGUGGGACUUUAGCUCAUGACCCCAAGUUAAGAGUCGCAUCUCUACCAAAUGAGCCAGUCAGGCACUCCCAAAUAUUCUUGAAUAGCAAUAUUAGUUCCUAAAUAUGUGAAAAAGAUGUAUAAAAAUAACCUGUAGGGGCGCCUGGGUGGCUUGGUCGGUUAAGCGUCCGACUUCGGCUCAGGUCAUGAUCUCAUGGUCCGUGAGUUCAAGCCCCACGUCGGGCUCUGUGCUGACCGCUCAGAGCCUGCAGCCUGUUUCGGAUUCUGUGUUUCCCUCUCUCUCUGCCCCUCCCCUGUUCAUGCUCUGUCUCCCUCUGUCUCAAAAAUAAAUAAACGUUAAAAAAAAAUUAAAAAAAAAUAACCUGUAAUUGUACCAACUAAAGGAAAUCAUUGUAAAUAUUUUGGUGUGUUUUAUAUGUAUAUGCUGAAAAAUUUAUUAGGCCAUUACAUUUUAUUCAUAAUUGUGAUUUAAAUGGCUACACAGUAUUCAUUUUUUAAACUAAGUUCUUUUUGAAGUUUGCAUUUUUUUCCUGCUCCACUAAGUUAGAAUGAACAUCUUUAUAUAUAUAAACUUUAUAUGCACUUCUUAGUAUUUCCUUAGGAUAAUUCUUAGGAACAGAAUUACUGAUCAAAGAGAAUUAACAUUAACAUUUGAUAUAUAUUAACCCAAGUUGCUUUCCAGAAAAGUGUCAAUUAAUACUCCCACUAGCCCCAAAUAUGACCUUCUGACAAAAGAAUGAAUUGCUUUUUGAAUAUACAGUUUGGCUAGUUGUUAAGUCAGUUGAUUAAUAUAUAGUUUUUGGCUAAUUGAUUCUUUCCUAAUUGAUUCAGUUUGGCACUAAUUUAGGAAGAGUUCGAAUAACAUUAUAAUGACCCAUGUGAUCUUUCCUGGGAUUUUCUAAAGAUAGCUUUUAAUUUAAAAGUAAUGUUUAAAGUAACAUUUGUUGUAAGUGGUAGCUGGUAUGCCAAUUUGACUUAGUCACAUCUUGAUUUUUAUAUGUGUUAUGAGGUCUCUUUGGGGCUAAUUUCUAUAGCAAUUUUUAGAGGAAAAUGAGAUUCUUCUAAUGUGCAAUUAAAGUAUUUGCAUUAUUGGCAAUAUAUAGGGAGAAACUUAAGGGUAAAAAUCAGCUCAUUUUAUUUUGUAGAAAAAUCAGAAAUAGGAAAAAUAUGCUAACAUGAUUAUAUCUAAUGAGGGAAAUGUUCCAUGCAGAUGUCUUUUUUCUAUUAAUCCCUAAAAUGACUGUAUGCUUUUAUUUAUAUGGGUAACAUCAGAUACAAACAUGUUACUAGGAAUAUAUUGCCACUUACAAAAAAGAUACACAAUAUGAGUUUAGAAUUUUAAUAAAUUCUCUUUUAAAGGUGAUUUAAAUCUUUAGAUAAUGUAAGAUUUGAGAUUUCAACAAAGAUGUAAUGUCUGUGUAUGCUACUUCUGAGAGUUAUUUAGAUAUUUUUUUUCUUGCUUAGCUGUGUUUACUGCAGCUUCUAACAUAAGGGAUUGAGAACUGGGUCCUGUAUGAUGGAUCUUUUAUGGGACACAGAGAAAUAUAAUUUUAUUUAGUUAUAUUUGAAGCCUCUAUCUAGGCACACUGCAAGCAAUAUUAUUCUUACUAUCACAUAUAGAUAACAAAGUCACAAGCUCAAGCUAACAAAAAGGGCAUGUGAAAGGAAAAGAGACAUUAUUCUUGUUUUUGCUGUUGUCAGUAGGAAUUUUUACAUUUUCUUUGUACAUGGGCACCUUUUCAUGUUUAUUAUACUACAUUGAUAGCACUGUCACAUUUCAUUAAGUUAACUCCAACUUAGUGAAAAUGAGAAAAAGAAUAUUUUGCUGCUAGUAUUAUUCUAGACUUUUUUCCUAUAAAUACUUACCUUUUAUAUAAGUUAUGAGUUAUUUGAGAAUAAGAAUGCUUUAAGGACAUGUAUUUUGUUUUAAGCUAGAUUAGGCUGCUAAAUAAGCUAAAUUUGGACCUCUCCCUUCAUGCUUGGUAAAUAUGUUGUGGUAUUAAUACAGACAAAUACAAACAUUUCUUAUAUUCCGUACUUGUCAUUUUUUUUUUUUUUUUACUGAACAUAUGUUAGUGAAGGCACAGCUUUGGUAAGGGGUGGGGAGACACAUAUACACAAAUGAUCUACCCUCUUGCACUGGUAUUAGCAUCCUUGGUCUUGAAACUAAGGAAAGCAGAUAAUAAAGUCACACUGGUAGCUACACAUAGUUUAUACAAACCCUCUCAGAUUUGAUAGUAUUCUACACCUGAAUGUACAAUGACAGAGACAGGGAGUGUGGGUGUGGGGAAUUGAAAAGAAACAGAGAAAGGUGUAGAGAAUAAUGUUCUUGUCUUUUGAUUUUUAAUUUGUAGAAUUAACUUCUUUUCUCUUAAGUCUUGAACUUAUGGUUGUAAUUGGAGUUAAUUUAAGCAUAGUUACCAAAAUAAUGGAAUAAAUCGUUUCAGACUUGGUAUCUUUUUGGUCGCUGAGUAUAUUCAUUAGCUGUAAGUAGGGCAUUAUGUCGUUUAUAAAUUUUAAUGCCUUGUCAUUUGUAAAUAUAUCUCAUAUUUAAAAAAAAAGUCCAUUUCUCCUUAUUUGGAUUUUCUUUGCUCUCUAGGAUUAAUGGGCAAAACAUGAACUUCACUCUGAAUUUCUCCUGAAAUUUUAAUUUAAAGUUUACUUUUUCAAGACUCAUUUUGAAUUACAGAGAUCAUCUUCUACCUGUAGCCUCUUUUGGGAGGAUUUCCAAAAGAGUAAGUUGACUUUCUGGGAUAUGAUACUUUGGGAAACAUUUGGCUUAAAUAAUGGAUGCUUUUAUGUUGGCUCCUGCUAAUGUGUUAGAGAUUAUUCUUCAAAGAGUCCAGUUGAAUACCAGUGUCUUUUGGUGAGGGGUGGGAAUACAGAAUCAUUUAUAAGCCUGAUGGUACUAUUUGUCAGUUUUCUUUUUCUUUUUUAAACUUUAAUAGGCAUCAGGAUCAACUUAAUAAAAAAAGGUAAUGUCAGGCUUAAGAUUUUAGCAAAUACAUUUUGGUGGAUAUUCCAUGAGUUUUUUAAUGGAAUGUGAGGAUAAAAAUCAAAGAUGUUGAUUGUUUUUGUAUAACCUGGUGGCUAUAGUUAACAAUAUGACAUUUCUACUUUAAAAUAUGUUAAGAGGAUAGAUCUCUUGUUAAGUGUUCUUAGGACAUAACAACAACAAAAAAAAGACACAAGAGAAAAGUAGGGAAGUUUUAGAGAUAAUAGAUAUGUUUAUAGUAUGUUGAUAGUGGUGAUGGUAUCAGAGGUGUAUGCAUAAGUCCAAACUUAUCACAAUGUAUACAUUAAAUAUGUGCCAUUUUUAUAUGUCACUUAUAAUUCAAUAAAGAUUAAAAUGCAUGUUGAGGGGCGCCUGGGUGGCGCAGUCGGUUAAGCGUCCGACUUCAGCCAGGUCACGAUCUCGCGGUCCGUGAGUUCGAGCCCCGCGUCGGGCUCUGGGCUGAUGGCUCAGAGCCUGGAGCCUGUUUCCGAUUCUGUGUCUCCCUCUCUCUCUGCCCCUCCCCCGUUCAUGCUCUGUCUCUCUCUGUCCCAAAAAUAAAUAAACGUUGAAAAAAAAAAAUUAAAAAAAAAAUAAAUAAAAUGCAUGUUGAUUGUGUUUUAAAGAUAUCCUCUGGAGAAGGAAGAGAAAAAUACUAAACAGAUGACGUCAUAAAGCAUUCAGUUCUUGAUGUAGGAGUUUGUGAAAAGGAAUGGCUUCAUGAUUCUUUGUUUCAUUCUGUUGCCUUCAUGAUGAGUACUUGAUACUGCUAAUAAUGAUAUUGGUGUAUUCCUUGGCAUUUAAAGGAAUAUCAAAUAUAUUCUUUACAUUAGAAAGCUUUUCUUCUGCUGAGGCUACUGAUUCACAGGAAAAAAAAAAACCUCUUGGGUAUAAUCUACAAAUGAAAAACAGUUGAUGACAGGAAGCAAACGUGGAGGAGGUAGAGAUGGUGAAGAGAUGGCAAAAGUGGGUAGACACUGAGAGAGGAAAUAUUAGAGGAAGGAAGAUGAGGGAGAAUGGGUGGGCUUAAAACAAAAGAGAGUGAUUUUUCUCCUUUUGGCUUAGGCCUCAACCAUGUCCUGGCUUUCUUCCUUUUGCAUCUACCCUGAUGAUCACCCUCCAGCUAUUAAAAUCACUCUAAUUCUGGUGCUAAUCCAGUUCCUCCUGACUUUUUACCUUUGCAUCCACAGGUAUCCUAAGUUCACAUGGCCACCAUAACUAUCACUGGGCUUUGUUUUCCUCAUUCCGUUGUCAUUUAUUAGGAAGCCUUCUUUCUUUCUUUCUUUCUUUUUAAAUUUUUUUGUGUUAAUUUAUUUUUGAGGGAGAGAAAGAGUACAAGCAGAGGAGGGGCAGAGACAGAGGGAGACACAGAAUCCGAAGCAGGCUCUAGGCUUUGAGUUGUCAGCACAGAGCCUGAUGUGGGGCUUGAACCCAUGAACUGUCAGGUCAUGACCUGAGCUGAAGUUGGAGGAUUAACCAAUUGAGCCACUCAGGUAUUGCUAGGAAGCUUUCUUGAGUAUUCAAGUAUUUCCACUUAGUUAAUGAACAGAUUCACUGUGAAUAAUAAUGCAGUGUCACUUUAUGUAUGCCAGGUAGUGUUCUAGGCUCUGGUUAUAAAGAACUUAAUGAGUUGAAGUCUCAAUUCCCAUUGAGAUUAUGUUACAACACAUGAAUAAGUAUAUAUUUGAAUUGCUUUGGGGAGAAAAAAAUGCAAAUUAAGGGGGUAGAGAAUCACAGAGUAUGCUACUUUAGAAAGGGUAGUUAAGGAAGUUUUGUCUGUGGAGGUGAUAUUUAAGCAGAAAUCUGAAUGAUGUGAGGGAACAAGCCAUAUGAGUUUCAGGGCAGUAUGUGCUUGGUGAGACAAGUGCAUAGGCUUAUGUUUGAUGUCUUCAAGGGUCAGCAAGAAGUGCAGUGGAUGGACGGGGAGAAUGGUAGGAAAUGAGGUUAAGAAUUAGGCAGAGGCUGAUCAUGAAAAGCCUGAUAGACCACAGUAAAGUUCUUGGAUUUUAUUUUAAGAGUGAUGAGGUGGAUUCACUCCAUGCUAGGGGUAUCUUCUCAGAUGAGAGCAGAGCUGCAAGGUAUCAGAACUCUUACGCACUUACCCAGUUGCAUUUGUUAAUAUAAAUACUGUAGUAGAAAUGGGAAAUGGUUGUUCAGGACAGCUUAUGCUGAGUCACAUUACUGAAGGUCUGUUUUACCUUCAGAAGAUGACUAUAGUACCGUAAUGAGAUAGGUGACUGUUCUCCUGGGAAGGUUUCAGUGAUAAAUUCUUCUAGAGGCCAGUAGAAGUGAAGUCAGUGGUAGCCAAUCCAGCACAUAUUUUUGCGGGCUUAUUAAAUAUCAGACACUGUGCUGGUUGCUCGUGCACAUGUUAGGCUGUGCAGCAAUUUGUCCCCAUUUUACGGAUCAGAAUACGAAAGCUCAGAGGUCCUAUUGUGCCACAACUGCUGUAAUUAUUCGGUUGAGUAUCUGAAUAUUCAUACUAAAGUAAGGUCCUUGCCUGAAUUGCUGGGAUUAAUUGCAACAAUGUAGAUCUGGGUAUUAUAGUUUUAAUCAGACAAUGUGCUGUUAAAUUUCUAAGACUAUAUUAAAGAGGUAAUUAAAAGUCUUUUACUUUAAAACACAUUAUAAUUUUCUGGAAAUUAAAGGACUAUGUAUGUGGUCAUUUUGGAAAAAUUAGAAAUAUUUGUUUUUUACUAUGAAUAAUAGCAAAAUUAUGGAAAGAGCCCAAAUGUCCAUCAACUGAUGAAUGGAUAAAGAAAAUGUGUAAUGGAAGAUUACUCAGCAAUCAAAAAGAAUGAAAUCUUGCCUUUUGCAACUAGAGUGUAUUAUGCUAAGCAAAAUAAGUCAAUCAGGGAAAGACAAAUAUAUGAUUUCACUCAUGAGAAAUUUAAGAAAAAAAUCAGAUGAACAUAGGGGAAGGGAAGGAAAACUAAAAUAAGAUAAAAACAGAGAGGCAAACUAUGAGACUCUUAACUAUCGACAACAAACUGAGGGUUGAUGGAAGGGAGGUGGGUGGGGGGAUGGGCUUGUUGGGAUGAGCAAUGUGUGUUAUAUGUAAGUGAUGAAUCACUAACUUCUAUACUUGAAACCAAUACUACACUAUAUGGUGACUAAAUUGAAUCUAAAAAAAAAAGAAAUACAAUUUUUAAAAUGCACAUACCCACAUACACAUGCUGUGACCGCCUCUCUGCUUCCACCUUGUAAAUACCUCAGAUUAACACUUUUCCCAAUGUAGAAAGUGGAUUCUGGUGGUACUGUUAUUGUAUUUAUUUAAAUAGUUGCAGAAUGAGUGAUUUUACUCAUUUUGUUUAGUGUUACCAAUUGUUUGGGCUUGCCCUAAGAUAGUUUAUUACUUUCAAAUGAGUUUGAGAAACUUAAUAAAUGUGUUUGAUAAUUCAGUGUAUCUAGUGAAAUUGUUACAGAAGUCAUCCAAAGAGCUUGGUUUUGUAGUCUCUUUAGUAGUGAUGUGAAGUCUUAUACUCUGGUAGCCUAUCUAUAGGGCAUGUUACCAAAUCUAAUAUUUAUUUGGUGUAAUUCAUGUAAAUAAAGAACAUAAAAUGCGUCCCCCUUCCCGUCAUAACCUCCCUGCUUACAGCCGACUGUGGAAGUAUUUCUCAGUCUACAAUGUCACAUGUUCAAGGGAUACACUUUUUGUUCUUUGUUUGAAACUCAGUUUCUAUUUUGAGCUUCCAUUUUGUCCAGGUGACUGAAGUUUUAAUCUUGAUGAGGAGUGUCUUUUUCCUUUUCUCUUAACUCUGCUAAUUCUUGGAUGGGGGUGGUGGGUCCUACUACACAUCUUCAUCUUUCCACAAUAGUGGCAUUUGUAGAAAUGUUAGUCCUUCAUUUUGUUUUUGAAGUUACUUGGCCACCAUAGGUUGCUGCUCAUUCCUCAUUCACAUCCACAAGGUAUUAGCUAGUAAAAUAACUUCUUACAAUUUCCAUGCUAAUGACAACACUGUAAUCUUUCUGUGGUCUCCAGACUUUAAUAAGAUAUGGAGAAUUCUGUGAGACUGCUCCUUGUCUCAGCUUUGCUGGGCCUGAGUGGGGCCUGGGAAAUUCUGGGGAUAAUAUCUCAUUUGCCCCUUACAAUUAUCCAACCAGUUCUGUGGGAUCUUCCUGCCUCCCUGAGUCUGUACCUCGGAAGUGGGAUGCAGAUUGCCUCUGUUCUCUCGUAAGAACAAUGUCUAAAUCCAUUAUUCAUUUUACUCUUCUUUUCCCCAUUCAAGGAUUUUCAUCAAGUCUAGAGGGUGAGGAAAUCUUUUGUCUUUGCUCAUUUUGUUUUUGUUUUUUUUUUUAAAUUUUUUUUUUUUCAACGUUUAUCUAUUUUUGGGACAGAGAGAGACAGAGCAUGAACGGGGGAGGGGCAGAGAGAGAGGGAGACACAGAAUCGGAAACAGGCUCCAGGCUCUGAGCCAUCAGCCCAGAGCCUGAUGCGGGGCUCGAACUCACGGACCGCGAGAUCGUGACCUGGUUGAAGUCGGACGCUUAACCGACUGCGCCACCCAGGCGCCCCAAAGGUGUUCUAAAUCUGUUUUCUGUCCUAGAUGUUGCACAUACGUGGGCUGAAUUUGACCCACAGAAGUUCAUUUUACUUGGGUAAUAUUUUAAAAAGGGGAAAAUUCACAUAAAAAUCUGAAUUUCCAGAUUUUUUUUGAUGGGGCGGGGUGGGGGGGGGAGAAUGAUUUGACAACAUUGGACCCACAUUUCUAUAUGAUAAAAAUCGGUUGGAGCUGAAUAGUGGCUCUUUACGGGGUUUGCUCAUUCCAGUCCCACUUCCUUGUUUGUUUUGUGUUACUCACCUGCCUGACUUGGUUAGCAUAUGUUUUGAAUCCUUCCCAUAAUUCUCAAGGCCCAGGAUUUUGGAAUUCAAAUGUUUGGAAAAAGACUCCUUAUUUCUGCUUUCUGUUGCCAUUGCUUUCCCUUAGGCAAGGUGAGCCUAUCUACUACUUGAAUGGAGGAAGAAUCUAAGAAUAAGGGAAAAAAUUGGCUAGUAUAUAAAAAAUGUUAAACUACUAACAUAAAGGGUAAACUACUAAAUAAAGGAUAGUAUAAGAAUUUUAUUUUACUUAUUUAAAAAAAAAUAUUUAUUUUGAGAGAGAGAGAGGGCAUGCACAUGUGAGCAGGGGAGGGACAGAGAGAGGGAGAGAGAAAACCCCAAGUAGACUCCACAGUGUCAGCAUAGACAAUGCCGGCGUCGAACUCACGAGCCAUGAGAUUGUGACCUGACCCAAAAUCAAGAGUCAGUGCUUAGGGGUGCCUGGGUGACUGAGUCAGUUAACCAUAAGAGUUCAGCUCAGGUCAUGAUCUCUCAGUUCGUGAGUUCAAGCCCCACAGCGGGCUCUCUCAAUGGUGGAGCCUGCUUCAGAUCUCUGUCUCCCUCUUUCUGCCCCUCUCCUGUCUGGGUUCUCUCACUCUCUCUCUCAAAAAUAAAUUAACAUUAAAAAAAAAAAAAAGACGCUUAACUGACUGAGCCACUCAGGUGCCCCUUACUUUACUUAUUUAAAAAUGUUUUGGGGCACCUGAGUGACUCAGUUGGUUAAGCGUGGGACUAUUGAUUUCAUCUCCUAUCAGGAUCUUGCAGUUCAUGAGAUUGAGCCCUGACAGCACAGAGCCUGCUUGGAAUUCUCUCUCUCUCCUUUCUCUCUGCCCCUUCCCCUGUUCUCUGGAAAUAAAUAAAUAAACUUAAAAAAAAUGUUUUUUCAAGUUGAUUUUUAAAAUUCAGCUUUAUUCAGGUAGAAGUUAUAUAAAGUUCACCACUUGUAGAGAUAUAAUUCAAACUGGUUUCCAAAGUGAUUGUAUCAUUUUACAUUCCCACUAGUGAUGUAUGAAGGUUCACCUUCUCCACAGUCUUGUUCUCAUUUGGUGUUAUCAAUGUUUUAAUUUUAGUAACUCCAGUAGAUAUGUUGUAUCUAGUUACAUACAUCUCAUCAUGGUUUUAUUUGCAUUUUCCCGGUAAUUAAUGAUGUUGAGCAUCUUUUCAUAUGCGUAUUUUCUAUUUGUAUAUCUAUUUUUGAUAAGUGUCUGUUUAAAUCUUCUAUUUUAAAAAAUAUUGAGUUGUGAUUCUUGAAUAAUAAGAACUCUUAAGUAUUAUGGAUUAAAAUCCUUUAUCACAUUAAUCUUUUGUUAAGUAUUUUCUCUCAUUGUCUUAAUGGUCUUUUGAAAAGCAAAAGUUUUACUUCUGAUAAAAGCCAAUUUGCUGAUUUUCUUUUUUUACGGUUCAUGUCUUUUAUGUCCUAUCAUAAAGGACUGAGGGGCCCUUAACUGAGGGUCACAAGAUAUGUUUUCUUCAAGAAAUUUUAUAGUUUUUGCUCUCACUUUUAUGUCUACAGUCCAUUUGGGGUUAAUUUUGUAGAUAGUGUGAGGUAAGGGUAGAGUUGCAUUUUUUUUACGUGUGACCAUGUGGCUCUCUUUGUUAGAGACCACUCUUUACUUAUUGCAUUAAUUUGAUGCAUUGAUAAUUAGUUUAUCAUAGAUAUAUGCUUUUUUUUAUUAAAAAUUUUUUAAUGUUUAUUUAUUUUUGAGGGAGAGACAGAGCAUGAGCAGGGGAGGGGCAGAGAGAGAGGGAGACACAGAAUCCAAAGCAGGCUCCAGCCUUCACACUGUCACCACAGAGCCCAAUGUGGGGCUUGAACUCAUGAACUGCGAGAUCAGGACCUGAGCUGAAGUCAGAUGCUCAACUGACUGAGCCACUCAGGCGCCCCUAUCAUAGAUAUAUUUUGAUUUAUAUUCUGUAUCAUUGACAUUUAUGUCUUUCUUUUAGUUGGUAUUAGUUAGACCAUCUUGGUUCUCAUACCUUUAAUGUAAGUGUUGAAAUAAAAUAGUGUAAGACCUCUAACUUUGUAGGUUUGUUUUUCCUUUGUCAAAAUUCCUUUAGUUAUACUAUAUAAAUUUUCAUAUAAAUUUAAUUAAAAUAUUAUUUAGUAAUGUCUGUCCUCAACCUGAGGCUUGAAUGCCCAACCCCAAUAUCAAGAGUGGCAUGCGCUACUGAGUCAGCCAUAUAUAUGAAAUAUAAAUGUUGUAUGAAUUUUAGAAUAAGCAUGCCAAUUAUUAUAUAAAGGUUUACUAGGAUUUUUUUUAAAUGUAAUUUAUUGUCAAGUUAGCUAACAUACGGUGUAUUCAGUGUACUCUUGGCUUCGGUAAUAGAUUCCCAUGAUUCAUUUUUUACAUACAACACCCAGUGUUCAUCCCAACAAGUGCCUUCCUCAAUGCCCAUCACCCAUUUUACCCUCUGCCCUCGCCAUCAAACCUCAGUUUGUUCUCUGUAUUUAAGAGUCUCUUAUGGUUUGCCUCCCUCUCCGUUUGUAACUAUAUUUUUCCCCUUCCCCCAUUGUCUUCUGUUAAGUUUCUCAGAUUCCACACAUGAAUGAAAACACAUGAUAUUUGUCUUUCUCUGGCUGACUUAUUUCACUUAGCAUAAUACCCUCCAGUUCCAUCCAUAUUGUUGCAAAUGGCAUGAUUUCAUUCUUUCUUAUUGCUGAGUAGUAUUCCGUUGUGUGUGUGUGUGUGUGUGUGUGUGUAUAUAUAUAUAUAUACACACACACCACAUCUUCUUUAUCCAUCAGUUGAUGUACAUUUGGACUCUUUCCACAAUUUGCUCUUGUUGAUAGCACUGCUAUAAACAUUGGGGUACAAGUGCCCCUAUGCAUCAGCACUCCUGUAUCCUUUGGAUAAAUUCUAGUAGUGCUAUUGCUGGGUCAUAGGGUAAUUCUAUUUUUAAUUUUUGAGGAAGCUCCAUACUGUUUUCCAGAGUGGCUGUACCAGUUAGCAUUUCCACCAACAGUGCAAGAGGGUUGCCAUUUCUCCACAUCCUUGCCAACAUCUGUAGUUUCCUAAGUCGUUCAUUAUAGCCACUCUGGUGUGAGGUGGUAUCUCAGUGUGGUUUUGAUUUGUAUUUCCCUGAUGCUGAGUGAUGUUGAGCAUCAUUUCAUGUGUCUGUUAGCCAUGUGGAUGUCUUCUUUGGAAAAGUGUAUAUUCAAGUCUCCUGCCCAUUACUUCACUGGAUUAUUUGUUUUUCAGGUGUUGAGUUUGGUAAGUUCAUUAUAGAUUUUGAAUACUAAUCUUUUAUCUGAUAUGUCACUUGCAGAUAUCUUCUCCCAUUCCAUGAGUUGCCUUAAAAUUUUUUUUAAUGUUUAUUUAUUUUUGAGAAAGAGAAAAGGAGAGAGAGAGAGAGAGAGAGAGAGAGAGAGAAAGCAGGGGAGGGGCAGAGAGCGAAGGAGACACAGAAUCCGAAGCAGGCCCAGGCUCUGAGCUGUCAGCACAGAGCUCAGUGUGGGAGCUGGAACUCAUGAACUGGGAGAUCAUGAUCUGAGCCAAACUUGGAUGCUUAGCCAACUGAGCCACCCAUGUGCCCUCUGUUAGUUGCCUUUUAAUUUUGUCGAUUUUUUCCUUUGCAGUGCAGAAGCUUUUUAUCUUGAUGAGUUCAUUUUUGCUUCUAUUUCCCUUGCCUUCAGAGAUGUGUUGAGUAAGAAGUUGCUGUGGCUGAGGUCAAAGAGGUUGUUGACUGUUUUCUAGGGUUUUAAUGGUUUCCUGUCUCACAUUUAGGUCUUUCAUCCAUUUUGAGUUUAUUUUUUGCGUAGGGUCUAAGAAAGUGGUCCAGUUUUUCUUCUGCAUGUUGCUGUCCAGUUCUCCCAGCACCAUUUGCAAAAAAGACUGUCUUUUUUCAAUUGAAUAUUCUUUCUUGCUUUGUCAAACAUUAGUUGGCCAUACAUUUGUGGCUCCAAUUCUGGAUUCUCUAUUCCAUUUGUCUAUGUGUCUGUUUUUGUGCCACCACGAUACUAUUGUGUGAUUACAGCUUUUUAAUGUCUGGGAUUGUGAUGCCUACAGCUUUAAUUUUCUUUUUCAACAUUACUUGGCUAUUUGGGGUCUUCUGUAGUUCCAUACAAAUUUUGGGAUUGUUUGUUCUAGCUCUGAGAAGAAUGCCAGUGCAAUUUUGAUUUGGAUUGCAUUGAAAGUGUAGAUUUCUUUGGGUAAUACCGACAUUUUAUCAAUAUUUGUUCUUCCAAUCCAUGAGCAUGGGAUGUUUUUCCAUUUCUUUGUGUCUUCUUCAGUUUCUUUCAUAAGUUAUCUAUGGUUUUCAGCAUACAUAUCUUUUACCUCUUUGGUGCAGUUGUAAGUGGGACCAAUUCCUUGAUUUCUCUUUCUGUUGCUUAAUUAUUGAUGUAUACAAAUGCAACUAAUUUCUGUACAUUGAUUUUUUUAUCCUGCGACUUUGCUGAAUUCAUGUAUCAGUUCUAGCACUUUUUUGGUGGAGUCUUUUGUGGUCUCCAUGUAAAGUAUCAUGCCAUCUGUGAAAAGUGAAAGUUUUACUUCUUUGCCAAUUUGGAUGACUUUUGUUUCAUUUUGUUGUCUGAUUGCUGAUGCUAGGAAUUCCAACAGUAUGUUAAACAAUAGUGGUGAGAGUGGACAUCCCUGUUGUGUUUCUGAUCUCAUGGGGAAAACUCUCAGUUUUUUCCCAUUGAGGAUGAUAUUAGCUGUGGGCCUUUCAUAUAUGGCUUUUAUGAUGUUAAAGUAUGUUCCUCCUAUCCCAACUUUCUGGAGGGUUUUUAUUAAGAAGGAUGCUGUAUUUUGUCAAAUGCUUUUUCUGCAUCUAUUGACAAGAUCAUAUGUUCUCAUUCUCUAUUAAUGUGAUGUAUCACAUUGAGUGAUUUGUGAAUACUGAACCAGACCUUCAGCCCAGGAAUGAAUCCCAUUUGAUCAUAGUGAAUAAUUCUUUUAAUAUACUGUUGAAUUCGAUUUGCUAGUGUCUUGUUGAGAACUUUUGCAUUCAUGUUUAUCAGGGAUAUUGGCCUGUAAUUCCCCUUUUUAGUGGGGUCUCUGUCUGGUUUGGGAUCAAGGUAAUGCUGGCUUUGGAGAGUAAGUCCAGAAGUUUUCCUUCCAUUUCUAUUUUUUGGAACAAUUUGGGAAGAGUAGGUGUUAAUUCUUCUUUAAGUGUCUGGUAGAAUUCCCUGGAAGCCAUCUGGCCCAGGACACUUAUUUGUUGGGAGAUUUUUGAUAACUGAUUCAAUUUCUUUGCUGGUUAUGGGUCUGUUCAAAUUUUCUUUUUCUUCCUGUUUGAGUUUUGGUAGUAUUUGGGUGUCUAGGAAUUGUCCAUUUCUUCCAGAGUGUCCAGUUUGUUGGCAUGCAAUUUUUCAUAGUAUUCUCUAAUAAUUAUUUGUAUUUCUGUGGUGUCUGUUGUGAUCUGUCCCCUUUAAUUUGUGAUUUUUCUCUCUUUUUGAGAAAUCUGGCUAAGGUUUUAUCAGUUUCAUUUAUUCUUUCAAAAAACCAGCUGUUAGAUUCAUUGAUCUGUUAUACUGUUUAUUUUUUAUUUUGGAUUCUAUAUUGUUUUUUUCUGCUCUAAUGUUUCUUAUUUCUCUACUUCUGCUAGCAUUGGGGUUUCUUUGCUGCUCUGCUUCUAGUUCCUUUAGGUGUGAAGUUAGGUUUUGUAUUUGGGAUUUUUCUUACUUCUUGAGAUAGGCCUGGAUUGCAAUGUAUUUUCCUUUUAGGACUGCCUUUGCUGCAUCCUAAAGGUUUGGACUUACCUGUUUUCAUUUUUAUUUGCUUCCGUAUAUUUUUAAAUUUCUUCUUUAAUUACGUGGUUGACCCAUUCAUUCUUUAGUAGGAUGUUCUUUAACAUUCAUGUAUUUGGAGGCUUUCCAAUUUUUUUUUUUUUGUGGUGAUUUCAAGUGUCAUAGCAUUGUGAUCUGAAAUAUGCAUGGUAUAAUCUCGAUCCCUUUAUAUUUAUUGAGAACUUUUUUGUGACCCAGUAUGUGAUCUUUUGGGGGAAUGUUCCAUGUGCACUCAAGAAGAAUGUGUAUUCUGCUGCUUUGGAAUGAAAAGUCCUGAAUAUAUCUGUCUAGUCCAUCUGGUCCAGUGUAUCAUUCAAGGCCAUUGUUUCUUUAUUGAUUUUCUGUCUAGAUGAUAUGUCCGUAGUUGUAAGUGGAAUAUUAAAGUCACCUACAAUUACAGUGUUAUUAUCAAUAAUAUUGCUUACGUUUGUAAUUAAGAUAUAUAAAAAUAUAUAUGUGUGUGUGUGCACACACAUAUAUUCUUUCAAGUUAGAGGCAUAAACAUUUAUACUUGUUAGCUCUUCUUGAUGGACAGACCCCUUAAUUAUGAUAUAAUGCCCUUCAUCUCUUGUUACAGUCUUUAGUUUAUUUUUUUUUUGAGGAUAUAUUUUUAUUUUUAUUUUUUUUAAUGAAUGCAAAUAUAACAUACUUUUUACUUUUUUUAUUUUUAUUUUUUUUAGAUUUUAUUUUUUUCUCAAUAUGUGAAAUUUAUUGUCAAAUUGGUUUCCAUACAACACCCAGUGCUCAUCCCAAAAGGUGCCCUCCUCAAUACCCAUCACCCACCCUCCCCUCCCUUCCACCCCCCAUCAACCCUCAGUUUGUUCUCAGUUUUUAAGAGUCUCUUAUGCUUUGGCUCUCUCCCACUCUAAUCUCUUUUUUUUUUUUUUCCCUUCCCCUCCCCCAUGGGUUUCUGUAAAGUUUCUCAGGAUCCACAUAAGAGUGAAACCAUAUGGUAUCUGUCUUUCUCUGUAUGGCUUAUUUCACUUAGCAUUACACUCUCCAGUUCCAUCCACGUUGCUACAAAGGGCCAUAUUUCAUUCUUUCUCAUUGCCACAUAGUACUCCAUUGUGUAUAUAAACCACAAUUUCUUUAUCCAUUCAUCAGUUGAUGGACAUUUAGGCUCUUUCCAUAAUUUGGCUAUUGUUGAGAGUGCUGCUAUAAACAUUGGGGUACAAGUGCCCCUAUGCAUCAGUACUCCUGUAUCCCUUGGGUAAAUUCCUAGCAGUGCUAUUGCUGGGUCAUAGGGUAGGUCUAUUUUUAAUUUUCUGAGGAACCUCCACACUGCUUUCCAGAGCGGCUGCACCAAUUUGCAUUCCCACCAACAGUGCAAGAGGGUUCCCGUUUCUCCACAUCCUCUCCAGCAUCUAUAGUCUCCUGAUUUGUUCAUUUUGGCCACUCUGACUGGCGUGAGGUGAUAUCUGAGUGUGGUUUUGAUUUGUAUUUCCCUGAUGAGGAGCGACGUUGAGCAUCUUUUCAUGUGCCUGUUGGCCAUCCGGAUGUCUUCUUUAGAGAAGUGUCUAUUCAUGUUUUCUGCCCAUUUCUUCACUGGGUUAUUUGUUUUUCGGGUGUGGAGUUUGGUGACCUCUUUAUAGAUUUUGGAUACUAGCCCUUUGUCCAAUAUGUCAUUUGCAAAUAUCUUUUCCCAUUCCGUUGGUCGCCUUUUAGUUUUGUUGGUUGUUUCCUUUGCUGUGCAGAAGCUUUUUAUCUUCAUAAGGUCCCAGUAAUUCAUUUUUGCUUUUAAUUCCCUUGCCUUUGGGGAUGUGUCGCGUAAUAGAUUGCUACGGCUGAGGUCAGAGAGGUCUUUUCCUGCUUUCUCCUCUAGGGUUUUGAUGGUUUCCUGUCUCACAUUCAGGUCCUUUAUCCAUUUUGAGUCUAUUUUUGUGAAUGGUGUGAGAAAGUGGUCUAGUUUCAACCUUCUGCAUGUUGCUGUCCAGUUCUCCCAGCAUCAUUUGUUAAAGAGACUGUCUUUUUUCCAUUAGAUGUUCUUUCCUGCUUUGUCAAAGAUUGGUUGGCCAUACGUUUGUGGGUCUAGUUCUGGGGUUUCUAUUCUAUUCCAUUGGUCUAUGUGUCUGUUUUUGUGCCAACAGUCUUUAGUUUAAAAUAUAGUUUGUCUGAUAUAAGUAUGGCUACUCCAGUUUUCUUUUGACUUCCAGUAGCAUGAUAGAUGGUUCUGCAUCCCCUCACUUUCGAUCUGUAAGUGUCGUCAGGUCUAAAAUGAGACUCUUGUAGACAGCAUAUGGAUGGAUCUUGUUUUUUUAUCCAUCCUAAUGCCCUGUGUGUUUUGAUUGGGGCAUUUAGUCCAUUACAGUCAGAGUGAUUUUUGAAAGGUAUGGAUUUAGUGUCGUUGUGUUAUCUGUAGAUUUUGUGCUUAUGGUGAUGUCUCUGGUCCUUUGCAGUCUUUGCUGCUUUCCGCUCACGGAUUCCCCUUAGGAUAUCUGGCAGGACUGGUUUAGUGGUCAUGGACUCCUUCAGUUUUUGUUUGUCUGUGAAAGCCUUUAUCUCUCCUAUUAUAAAGGAUUCUUGGCUGCAUAUUUUUCCUAUUCAGCACAGUGAAUAUUUCUUGUCACUCUCUUCUGUCCUCCCAAGUUUCAGUGGACAGUUCUGCUAUUACCCUUAUGUGUCUACCCCUGUAGGUUAAGGACUGUUUGUCUCUAGUGCUUUCAGAAUUCUCUCUUCAUCUUUGUAUCUUGCCAGUUUCACUAUGAUAUGUUGUGGUGAAGACCUAUUCUUUUUGAAUCUAAGGGGAGUUCUCUGUGCCUCCUGGACUUGAAUGUGUGCUUCCUUCCCAGAUUAGGGAAGUUCUCAGAUAUAAUUUGUUCAAAUAAACCUUCUGCCCCCCGCCUCUUCUUCUUCUGGAACUCCUGUGAUAUGGAUAUUAUUAUGUUUCAUUAAAUCAGUUAGGUCUCUAAUUCUCCUCUUGUGGUCUAGUAUUUUCCUAUCUCUCUUUUUCUCAGCUUCAUCAUUUUCCAUAAUUUUAUCUUCUCUUUCACUUAUUUUCCCCUCUGCUUCCUCCGUCCUUGCUGUUGUUACUUGUAGUUUACUUUGCACCUCUUUUACAACAUUUCUUAAUUCAUCGUGAUUAUUUCGUAGGUCCUUGAUCUCUGUAGCAAUAGAUUCUCUGCUGUCUUCUAUGCUUUUUUCAAGCCCAGCUAUUAGUCUUGUGUCCAUUAUUCUAAAUUCUUGUUCAGAUAUGCUGUUUAUAUCUGUUUUGAGCAAUUCUGUGGCUGCCAUUUCGUCCUGGAAUUUCUUUUGCAGAAAAUUCUUUUGUUUUGCCAUUUUAGCUAGUUUCCUGUCUUUUACAUGUUUUAAUAGCGUGUUAUGUGUCCUGCACCUGUGAGUAGUACUAUAUUAAAAAGUACUACUUUUUAAUACUGGCCCUUCAGAAGGUGUUUUUAGAGUGUGUUACAUGCUCACUGUUGUUGUAUCUCUGGUUGCUUUAUCUCCCUAGUGGUGGUUUGGACCUUCCACCAAGUGCGCUUUGAUUUGUUCAUUGAAGUAACUCUCUGUUCCUCCAAGUUGUCUCCGUGGGCCCCUGGAUAUGUUUAUGUCACUCUGUAGUCCAAAUUCCUGGAAUUUCAAGUGUUCUGGCCUCAAUACUGCUGUGUUUGAGGAGCGAGGGAACUUUGCCUCCCCCCCACCAUCAUGUUGACUUCUCCUACUAGGAUUUUCAUUAGGGAAUUGUAUCAAAUCUAUAGAUUAGUUUGGGGGAAAUUGGAUCUUCUCCAUGAAUAUGGUAUAUCUCUUAAUGUAUGUAGAUUUUUAAUUUUUAUCAGCAGUUGUUUUGUAGUUUUCAGUGUACAGAUCUUUCACACAUUUUGUUAAAUUUUUUCCCAAUUAUUUCCAAUUUUUGUUGCUAUUAAACAGUAUUGCUUUGUGAAUUUCAGUUUCCAAUUGUUUGUGGUAUGUAGAAAUACAGUAGAUUUUUGCAUGUUGACUUUUAAUUCCAUGACCUUAUUAAAUUCAUUUAUUAGCUCUAGUAGUUUUUGCUGUUAUUAUUUGUUUUUUGUAGGUCCCUUACAUAGGAAUAAUAAUACACAUGCCAUUUAUCACAUGCCAUUUAUCACAAAGGCAGUAUUACUUUUACUUUCUAAUUUAUCUGCCUCCUAUUAUUAUUUUUCCCUGGGAACUCUAGCACAAUGUUGACUAGAAGUGGUUAAAACAUGCAUUCUUGCUUUGUUCCCAAUCUUGGGAAUAAAAAAUUCAGUCUUUUUCUCAUUUGUAUGACUUUUUCCCCUAGAUUUCCAUUAUCAGUUUGAGGAAACUCUUUUAUUUCUAGUUUGCUGAGAAUUUAUUAUAAAUGGGUGUUGUAUUUUGCCAAAUGUUUUUUCUUUAUCUUUUGAGAUGAUCAUAUGUAUAUUGUCAACAUGGUGAAUUACACAGCUUUUUCAAAAGUUGAAUAUUACAUUUCUGAAAUAAAUGCUUUUGUCUGUAUCUUUUAAGAUUAUUUGUUUUUUCAUGUAUGCGUUUUUUUGGUUAAUAUUAUUGAUGAAUUACAUUGACUGAUUUUGAAUGUUAAACCAACCUUGCUUUUGUGUGGGAUAAAUUCCACUUGAUCAUUAUUAUCCUUUUUAUAUAUUGUGGCAAUCACUUUGCUAAAAUUGUGUUAAGGAGUUUUGCAUUUCUUAUUCACGAUGGAUAAUGGUUUGUGGUUUUCAUGCAAUAUCAUUGGUUGGCUUUUUAGAAUGAGUUGGGAAGUGUUUACUUUGCUGCACUUUUCUGGAAGAGUUUGUAGAGAAUUGAUAAUACUUCUGCCUUAAAUGUUUGAUAGAACUCAUCAUUGAAGUCACAUGGAUGCAGGAUAUUCUUUGUAGUAAGGUUUUAAAAGAUAUGGGACUACUAAGCUUUGNNNUAAUUUGUAUCUUUCAGGAAAUCUGUCCAUCUCAUCUAAGAUGUCAAACUUACUGGCAUAAAUAUUUCAUGAAUUUGUUUUACUAUUGUUUUAAUGUCUAUAAUAUCUAUGGUGCUUCACCUUUUUCUAUUUCUGUUAUUGGUAAUGUGUAUUUUCCCUUUUUUCUUGACUAGUCUAGACCCAGCUUUUUAUUUUGUGUUUUCUUUAUUGUUAGCUCUUCUUUUAUUUUACUGCUUUCUGCUCUUUAUUAUUUUCUUCCUUCUGCUAAUUUUGGAUUUAAUUUGCUCUUUUUUAUCCUUUUUCUUAAAGGGGAGGAUGUUUCAAACAUUUUAUUGUUAUUGAUUUGUAUUUUAAAAAAAAAUUUUUUUUUUCAACGUUUUUAUUUAUUUUUGGGACAGAGAGAGACAGAGCAUGAACGGGGGAGGGGCAGAGAGAGAGAGGGAGACACAGAAUCGGAAACAGGCUCCAGGCUCUGAGCCACCAGCCCAGAGCCUGACGCGGGGCUUGAACUCCCGGACCGCGAGAUCGUGACCUGGCUGAAGUCGGACGCUUAACCGACUGCGCCACCCAGGCGCCCCUAUUGAUUUGUAUUUUUAAUUCUGUUGAGGGCAGAGAACUUACUUUGCAUAAUAAUUCUUCUAAAUUUAUUGAAACCUUUUUUUUAUGGCCCAAUAUAUAAGAUGUUUUGGUAGUUCAUAUUUACUUCAAAAGAAUGUAUAUUUUGCUGUUGUUAGUUGUAGUGUUGUUGGUUCUAUACAUUGUCAUUUAAGUCAAGUUGGUUGAUAGUAUUGAUAUACUUAGUGAUUUUGUGUAUUCUAUCCGGUUACUGUGAGAGGAGCAUUGAAAUCUCUUGCUAAAAUUUCAAAGUUGUCUAAUUUUUUUCAAAUGUGUUGAUUUUGUUUUAUGUAUUUAAAUGGUCAGUUAUUAGGUACAAACACAUUUAAUGUUGUUUUGUGUUCUUGAUGUAGUAAUCCUUUAUCAUUAUGAAGUGUUUGUUUUUAUCCCUGGUCAUACUUUUAAUCUGAAGUCUCCCAUCUCUGAUAUCAAUACAGAUUCUCCAGUUUUCUUUUGAUUAGUGAUUAUAUAUCUAUUGCACCUUUUACUUAAGAACUAUGUGUGUCUUUAUAUUUAAAGUAGAUUUUCUUUUUUUCCUUUCCUUUAAACCCAUGCUAUCAAACUGUAAUUUAAUUAUUGAUGUGGUUAGUGUAAACAGAUCAUCUUUCUAUUAUUUUUCCUGUUUGUAUCAUCCUCUCUUAUGUUGAUUUAUUAGCUAUAUACCUCUUUGGUUUUAAUUACAGUGAUUACUGUGGGUUUAAAUUAUAUGUCUUUAACUCAUCACAGCCUAUCUUUAAAUAAUAUUAUACCACCUCACAUAUAGGGUAAGAACCUCACAAAUGUCAUAUUUUCAUAUAUUUUACUUCUUGGUAUUUUAUAAAUCCUAUAAUACAUUGUAAUUGUUUUGACUUAAAUGAUCAGUUAUCUUUGAAGGGGAUUAAAAUACAUGAAAAAACGUCUAUUAAUUUUACUUAAAUAUUUACAUUUGUGAUAUUUUCCAUCCCUUUGUGUAAAAUUACAUUCCCUCUGGUAUCAUUUCUUCAGGAUGAAGAGCUUCCUUUAGCAUUUCUUAUAGAGCCAGUUUGCUAGCAUUGAUUACAAGCAGUAUUUACCUGUCUAGAAAGGGUGUUUAUUUUGCCCUCAUUUUUUAGAAGAUAUUUUUUCUGGGUAUAGAACAUUUUUGGGUUUGUUAUAUUUUCAGUACUUUAAAGUUGUCACUCCAUUGUCUUGUGGCUUGACUAGUUUUUGAUGAGAAGUUUUCUGUCAUUCUUUAUCCUCUUGCACAAAAUGUCUUUUUUCUCUCUGUCCUUCCUUCUCUCUCUCUCUCUCUCUCUCUCUCUGUCUCUCUCUCUGGCUGCUUUUAAGACUUUCUCUUUAUUUCUUGUUUCUGACAGCUUGAUUAUGUUGUGGUUUGUGAUGAUCACUUGUGGUUUUCUUUACGUUUAUUUUGUUCAGGAUUUCUUGAGCUCUCUGUAUCUGUGGAUCGAUAUUUUUCACUAAAUUUAGAAAAUUUAUGGUGAUUAUUUAAAAAAAUAUUUUUCUCUUCUCUCAUUUUCUUCUGAGACUCCAAUUACAUGUGUAUUAGUCAGCAUGAUGUUUUCCUACAGGUAUCUGAAGCUGCAUUCAUGUUUUAGGGUCUUUUUCUAUUUGUGCUUCAUUUGGGAUAGUUUUGCUGUCGUCAAGUUCACUGGGGUGUUUUUGUUUUGUUUUGUUUGUUUUUUGUUUUUUGGUGAUCUCUGUUUUGUGAUUUAUCCCACCUAGUGCCAUUUUCAUUUCAGAUUUUAUAACUAUCAGUUCUAGACUUUUAACUUUUUAAAAAGUAUGUUAUAUCUCUUUUCUUCAACAUGUUCAUGUUUUCCACUACAUUCUUUAACAUACGGAGCAUAUGAUAGUUGUUUUAAUCUCCUCUGCUAAUUCUCCCAUCUCUGUCACUCUGUUGAUUUUUUUCUCUAGGUUUCGAUAGAUUGCUUUAUAUCUGGUUAUGGGCCGUAUUUUCCUACUUCUUUACUAUCUGAUUGAUCAGAUGCCAGACAUAAUGCAUUUUAUAUUUCUGGGUGCUGGGUUUUGUUAUAUUCCUUUAAAGAAUAUUGGACUUUGUUCUGGCUGUAAUUGAAUUACUUAGGAUCAGUUUUACACUUUUGUGGUUUGGUUUUGAGUUUUGUUAGGGCUUCCAGAGAAGCCUUAUUCUAGCUGUUAGUCUCUCUAACUUAGACUCACUAAGUUAGUCUCAUUGCAGACUCUACUGAUACUUUAUGUUUUAAAUUAUCUCUCUACUCUGACCUGUAUGAACUAUUCUUAGCUCAGUGAGACUAUGAGAAUUGUUUGAUGUGCUGUUUUUUUUUCCCUUAGCUUUGAGGAGUUUCACUUCAUCCAUAUGUAGAUAAAUAUUCAGCCAAAGAUUUGAGGAGACCCUCUGCAUAUUUUCAGAGCUAUCUUUCUGUUUAGUUACCCCCUGCCCCCAAAAUUCUAGAUGUGUCAGAUUACCCAGAUGCCUCUCUAUCUCUUAAGCUAACUGCUUUAGGUCUUAUUUGGAUUUACUGUCUCUGCUCUUAAGCCUGGAGAAUGCUUCCAGGUAGUAAGGGCAAUUGGAGGGUUCAUCUAGUUUGUUUGCCUUCUUUCAGGGUUUACAGUUCUAUGCUGUUACCCAGAGUCAGAAAGCUUUUGUUUUAUGUAUUUUAUCAAGUUUUCUAAUAUUUACAAUUAUAGGGCAGUUUUCAUAGAAGUUAAUCUUUCAUGGAUGGAAGUUAAAGUCUUGUCAAAUUGUUUUAAGAGUUUUGUUAAUGUUCUUCAAGAGUAACUGUGUUAUUAUCAUCUUUGUACUUUUGACAAAAAUAUAUUUGAAUUUUAGGGGUGCCUAGGUGGCUCAGUUGGUUAAGCGUCCAACUUUGGCUCAGGUCAUGAUCUCAGGGUUCAUGAGUUCGUGCUGACAACUCAGAGCCUGGAACCUGUUUUAGAUUCUGUGUCUCCCUCUCUCUGUGCCCCUCCCCUGCUCACACUCUGUCUCUCUCUCUCUGUCAAAAAUAAAUAAACAUUAAAAAUUUUUUUAAAAAAUCUUUGAAUUUUAGCAGUUAUAAUGCCUUCCAUGCUAUAGUAUAAUUAAUUGCUUUAAACCAGUAUAUUUUAAAAAUAGAAACAGUUUUUGGUUAUCUUUAUAAUUGAAGACAAAUGGUAUGCAUUACAUGAAACACUAGGUAAUUUAAAAUUAAUUUACAGGGAUCUUCGGAAUGCAUUAUGUGAUUUUUGAGGCACAGUAAAAUUACCUUACAAUUGUGUAAAUAAGUGUCAAUAAAGUCUUUCCCUUCAGAAACUUCAGCCAUAAGCAAAGUGAGCUCAUUGCCCUCAAGUGUACUUAAUUAUGUCAAAAUUAUGUGUUGGUUUAGUUAAUAUUUAAAUUACUUUGUAUUGGCUGAGUAUACACCAUGUGCUUGUAGGGAAAAGGAAAGUAUGAUUCUGAAAUGUGUUCAGUGGUAGGGAGAAGCCAAUUUAGAAUUAAAAUUUGUUGUAGUCAUAAUCAAGAAAUGGCUAUAUAUUACACAUUUAAUUCACCAAGAAUUCUAUAGCUGUCAGUUUUCUUCAAAAACCUUCGAGGGGUGCCUGGGUGGCUCAGUCAGUUAAACGUCUGACUCUUGAUCUCAACUCAAGUCUUGAUCUCAGGUUUGUGUGUUCAAGUCCCACGCUGGUCUCCACACUGGGUGUGAAGCCUACUUAAAAACAAAAAACAAAAAAAAACCCUUCUUAAAACCUUUUGUAAAUUAAAUUUAGAUAGUUUUUUUAAUAUGGUUGCCAGAUUGUCAUCAUGUUGUUAAUCAAUUCAGAUUUUCAAUUUGUUCCUAUUUUCUAAUGUUUAUUUAUUUUUGAGAGAGAGAAGGGGUAGAGAGAGAAGGAGACAGAGAAUCUCAAGCAGACUCCACACUGUCAUCACAGAGCCUGAUGCAGGGAUUGAACUCACAAAUUGUGAGAUCACAACCUGAGCCAAAACCAAGAGUCAGAUGCUUAACUAACUGAGCCACCCAGACACCCCUGUUUCUAUUUUUUAAAAAAGGAGUUAUUGGUGAUUCUGCCUUAACUAGGAAUAUUAUUUUUCUUAUUUGUACUUGUAUCUUUUUAAAAAAUAUUUUAAGGUUUUAUUUUAAGUCCAGUUAGUUAACAAAGUGUUAUGUUAGCUUCAGGAGUACAAUAUAGUGAUUCAUUACUUCCAUACAUCUCCCUGUGCUCAUCUUGACAAGUGCAUCACCUAUUUAACCCAUUCUCCCACCCACUUUUCCUCUGGUAACAUCAGUGCUCCAUAAUUAAGUCUUUUUCUUGAUCUCUCCCUCCCUCCUUCCCUCUCUCUCUCUCUCUCUCCCUCCCUGCUCCCCCUCCCUCUCCCCCUUCCUUACUCCCUCUCUCCCUUUCCUCUCCUCUCUAUUUUUUCUCUGUGCUUGUUUUGUUUCUUAAAGUCCACACAUGAGUGAAAUCAUAUGGUAUUUGCUUUUCUCUGACUUACCUAUUUCACUUAGCGUUAUACUCUCUAGCUCCAUCCAUGUCAUUGCAAAUGUCAAGAUUACAUUCUUUUUUAUGGUUGAAUAAUAUUCCACUGUGUGUGUGUGUGUGUGUGUGUGUGUCUGUGUGCAUACACAUAUAUAUACCACAUCUUCUUUAUCUAUUCAUCUAUCAUUGGAAGCUUGGGCUGCUUCCCUAAUUUUGCUGUUGUGUAUAAUGCUGCAAUAAACAUAGGGAUGCAUAUAUACCCCUUUAAAUUAGUGUUCUUGUACUGUUUGGGUAAAUACACAGUAAAGCAAUUGCUGGAUCAUAAGGUAGUUCUAUUUUUAUUUUUUUGAGGAACUUCCAUACUGUUUUCCACAGUGGCUGCCCCAGUUUUCAGGCUUACCAACAGUGCACAGUUGUUCCUUUUUCUCCACAGCCUCGCCCAACACGUGUUGUUUCUUGUGUUGAUGAGUUUAGCCAUUCUGACAGUUGGGAGGUGAUAACUUACUGUGUUUUUGACUUACAUUUUCCUAGUGGUGAUGAGCAUCUUUUCAUAUGUCUUUCGGACAUCUAGGAAUAUUUUUUAAACUACUUGACUAUCCUCUUACUUAAAAUAUUUGCUAGGUUAUUGCAUUGACUAGUGACUGAUACAGGUAGAAAAUAAAAAAUGCAGUCACUUCAUUAGUAUUGGAGAACACAAAGAUCAGAUUUACAAAUUGUUUUACAAAACACUAAUAUCCUAAAACAUGUAAAGAAGUUUGUUAAAAAAGAGUUCCAUUGUUAAAUAAGUUUGGAAAACAUUGCUUCCUGAAUUUAUCUCUUAAAUAUUCAUUAUAUACAUAAAUGUUUUGGAAAAUGUUGUAGUAAAGAAACCUUUUUGAUUUUGUUUAAGUAACCUUUUCCACAGUUACUUGACUGCCUUUCUAUCCAUGAACUCCUCUUUAUAUCUCUUGAGACAUUAGUGUUCCAGAGAGCACAGUUUUGGAAAUGCUGCCUACAUGAUGAUGAUACAUCUCAUUUAGUUAUGUUGUAUUUGUAUCUGGACCUGUAGCGUUAUAAAAAAAUGUUUAAAAAAAGUUGGUUGAGAGUUUAGAACUAUUUUGCCAACUAUGGACUUUGUUUAUUUUGAUUAGUAAUUAGUAAUCAGUAAUUUUGAAUAUAAGUUUUCAAAUUAGUAAUUAGUAAUUUUCAAAUACAAGUUUUCCGAGCAACUUUCUCCCUUCAAAAUAAGAAUGUUUCAAAGUGUUAUAAAACCAAACCUCAUAAAGCAUUGUAGAGAAGAACUCUUAUAAAAAAUAAACUUUGGAUGAGCAAAGGGUACAUAAGUUAGAAACACAUGAAAUAAAUUGAUUUUGAAGUAUACCUAGAGCAUACAUAUUUUGAGAAAUGGCUUUAAAUAAACUUUGACCAAAUGUGUUUUGGGUUUUUCUAAAUUCAUACAUUAAAAACUUUAGGAUAUGCAUGAUCCUCAUGCAGAGUCAUCCAUUCCUAACUUAAAUUCCAAAAAAGAGUUAUAAAAUGAACAUUUGUAUUUAGAAUGUGCUUUGCAGAUCUUUAUAAACUGCAAAGCAAGUUUUUUGAGGUUACUACUCUACUCACAACACUUUUAAUGAUCUAUCAGAACUAUCUGUUGAUAUUUCAGGUUGGACCACUAAUCACCCAGAAAUAUAGACACGAUAUUUUGUCUUUUAUUUAUUUUUGGUGAUGAACAGAGGUAAGGCAAAGGGUCUUUAAAAAGUUGUUUCCUUUAGAUGCCUCCCACUCCAGCAAUUUGAUAUUUGGUUUUAGUACACAGCUCUAAUAGGUAUCUCCUUGUUUAUGCAAAACAAUAAUCAGUGAUGCCAACAGGCCUCUGGAAAUAGCAUUUCUUAGCUUGUGUUUACUCUGCUGUUUUCAAAGCAGUAGAGCAGAAAACACUGUAAUUCUGUAGAAGCACUUACUCUUGAUUUUUAUAAUGUGUAAGAUUUACAAUAAAAUUAUUUUAUAAAGAGGUGAGAUUUACAAUAAAUUGUCUGUAAUUGAUUAGUUUCACUAAUCAUAAUACCUUAUUAUUUCUUAAGGAAAGGUGAAGAAAUUUUAGGUUUAAUAAACACAUUAGGAGGUGAACUUUAGGAAAAUAUGGUUAAUGAAUGGUUUUGUGUGUUAGUAUUUUACAAGGUUAAAACACAUUUUCCUACUGAGUUAUUAUAGCAAAGAAGGAGAAAGCUAAAGUGAUCUGCAUUGUAACUGUAUCUAGGUCUUUACAGCUAUCAAGGUAUUUGGAGUGUUAGUUGAAAGAAAGAAUAUUUUGGUUAAAGAUAGACUCUUUUUGUAUCUGAUGAGAGUGUUUGUUAUGGUCUACUUUGUGAUGCUUACAAGAAAUGAGGGUUGUCUAGCUUUACAAUAACCCAUUAUUUUCAAGAAGUCCUCGAUAAAUUUUACCUUCUGUCAUAAAUAUGCUUAUUUACAUAAUGUAGUUUCAGGAACUAAUUCUCACAUUGAAUCCUAGUUUUCCAGUGUGUAAAAUUGCUCCCUUAGAUAUUUCAUGUAAGUAAUUUUUAAAAUCCUAAUUGUGUAUCCAUGUAUGUAGCAGCAACAAAAAUGUUUUUACAGAAUAUAUUAUGUAUAUGAAAGUUCUAUAUUUUCUACUUGAUAGAAAUAUUAGUUCUCAGCUGCUUGCCUUCUGUAAUGGUUAAUUUUAUGUGUCAAGUUGACUGGUCACGAGAUUCCCAGAUAUUUGGUUGAACAUUCUGGGUGUAUGUGAGGGCUCUUUAUGAUUGAGAUUAACAUUUGAAUUGAUAGACUGGGUAAAAAAGAUAGCUGUCUGGUUUUUCUUAAAAGAUCAACAAAAUUGAUAAACCUUUAGCCAGACUCAUCAAAAAAAGAAGAGAGGACUCAAGUAAAUGAAAUCAGAAAUAAAGGAAGAAACGUAACAACUGACACCACAGAAAAAUACAAAGGAUUAUAAGAGAAUAUUGUGAAAAAUUAUUUGCUGACAAAUUGGACAAUCUAGAAGUGAAUGAAUUCCUAGAAACAUUACCUUCCAAAACUGAAUCAGGAAGAAAUAGAAAAUUUGAACACACGGAUUGCUAGCAGUGAAAUUUUAUCAGUAAUCCAAAAACUGCCAGCAAACAAAAGUCCACUAUCAGAUGGCUACAUGGGUGGAUUCAUUCAAACAUUUAGUAUAUGUGCUGCCGAAGCGAGCACAUCAUUCAAACAUUUAAAGGAGAGUUAAUACCUGUUCUUCUCAAGCUACUGCCAAAAGUAAAAGAAGAAGGAAAGCUUCCAAAUUUCUUCUACAAGGCCAGCAUUACCCUGAUACCAAAACCAGAUAAAGAGACUACAAAAACCAAAACAAAACUACGGGCUAAUAUCUUUGAUGAACAUAGAUGCAAAACUCCUCAGCAAAAUAUUAGCAAACCAAAUGUAACAAUGCAUUAAAACAUCAUUCACUACAAUCAAGGGGAAUUUAUUCCAGAGGUACAGGCAUGAUUCAAUAUUCACAAAUCAAACAAUGUGAUAAAUUACAUUAAUAAGAGAAAGAAUAAAAAUCCUAUGAUCGUAUCAACAGAUGCAGAAAAAGCACCUGACAAAGUACAACAUUAAUUCAUGAUAAUUAUUCUUAAAGUAGGUUUAGAGGGAAAAUACAUCAACAUAACAAAGGCUAUAUAUGUAAAACCCAUAGUUAAUGUCCAACUCAAUGGUGAAAAACCAAGAGCUUUUCCUCUAAGGUCAGGAACAAGAUAAGCAUGUAUACUCUCAUUGCUUUUAUUCAACAAAGUACUGGAAGUCCUAACCACAGCAAUCAGACAAGAAAAAGAAAUCAAAAGCAUAUAGAUUGGUAAGAAGUACCACUAUUUGCAGAUGACAUGAUAUAUAUAAGAAAACCCUAAAGACUCCACCAAAAAACUACUAAAAGAUAAAUGAAUUGAGCCAAGUAGUAGAAUACAAAUUAACAUAUAUAAAUCUUUUGCAUUUCUAUACACUAAUAAUGAAUUAGCAGAAAGAGAAAUUAAGAAAAUAAUCCCACUUGGGACGCCUGGGUGGCUCAAUUGGUUGAGGGUCCAACUUCAGCUCAGGUCAUGACCUUGUGGUUCGUGGGUUUGGGCCCUUUGUUGGGCUCUGUGCUGACAGCUCAGAAGCUGGAACCUGCUUCAAAUUCUGUGUCUUCCUCUCUCUUUGCCCCUCCCCUGCUCAUGCUCUGUCUCUCAAAAAUAAAAUAAAUAUUAAAAAAAUAAAAGAAUCUCAGUUAUAAUUACAUCAAAAAUAAUAAAAUAUCUAGGAAUAAACUUAACCAAGGAAAUGAAAGAUAUGUACUCUGAAAACUAUAAAAUAUUGAUGAAAGGAAUUGAAGUGACACAAACAAAUGGAAAGAUAUUCCAUUCUCAUGGGUUGGAAGAACCAAUAUUUUUUAAAUGUCCAUAUUACCCAAAGCAACCUAUAGAGUUAAUGCAAUCCUUAUAAAAAUGCCAACAGCAUUUUUUCACAGAACUAGAUCAAAUAAUCCUAAAAUUUGUGUAGAACUACAAAAGACCCCAAAUAGCUAAAGCAGUCUUGAGAAAGAAGAACAAAGCUGGAGGGACCACAAUUCCAGAUUUCAAGAUAUAUUACAAAGUUUUAGUAAUUGAAACAGUAUGGUACUGACACAAAAAUAGACUUGUGGAUCAGUGGAACAGAAUUGAGUCCAGAAACAAACUCAUGAUUGUAUGAUCAAUUAAUUUAUGAUAAAGGAGGCAAGAAUAUGCAGUGGAAAAAAGAUAGUCUCUUCAACAAAUGAUGUUGAGAAAACUAGACAGCUACAUGCAAAAGAAACUGGGCCACUUUCUUACACCAUACACAAAAAUAAACUCUAAAGAGAUUAAAAACCUAAAUAUAAGCCCUGAAACCAUAAAAUCUUAGAAGAGAGCACAGGCAGUAAUUUCUCUGACAUUGGUCUUAACAACAUUUUUCUAGAUAUGUUUCCUGAGGUAAGAGAAACAUAAGUAAAAAUAAACUAUUGAGACUAUGUCAAAAGCUUCUGCACAGCAGAGGAAACAAUCAACAAAACUAAAAGACAACUACUGAAUGGGAAAAGGUAUUUGUAAAUGACAUAUCUAGUAAAAGAUUAGUAUCCAAAAUAUUUAAAGAGCUUAUACAACUCAGAAACCCAAAAAACCCCAAAUAAUCCAAUUAAAAAUAGGCAGAAAAUAUGAACAUUUCUCCAAAGAAGACAUGUAGGUGGCCAACAGAUGUGUGAAAAGAUGCUCAACAUCACUAAUCAUCAGGGAAAUUUAAGUCACACCAGAAUGAGAAAUCUUACACGUGUCGGAAAGGCUAAAAUCAGAAACACAAAAGACAACAAGUGUUGAUGAGGAUGCAGAGAAAAAGGAAUCCUUGUGCACUGUUGGUAGGAAUGUAAACUGGUAUAGCUACUGUGGAAAACAGUAUAGAGAUUCCUCCAAAAAAUGAAAAAUAGAAUCACCAUAUGAUCCAGUAAUUCCACUACUGAUAUUUACCCAAGGAAUAUAAAAACACUAACUUGAAAAGACAUAUACACCUGUAUUUUUAUUUCAGCAUUGUUCACAAUAACUGAUAUGGAGAAGCAACCAAAGUAUUCAUUGAUAGAUGAAUGUAUAAAGAAGGUGAUAUGUGUAUAUAAAAUGGAAUUUUAGCCAUAAAAAAGUGAAAUCUUGUCAUUUGCGGCAACAUGGAUGGAUCUAGAUAAUGCUAAGUAAAGUAAUUCAGAGAAAGACAAAUACCAUAUGACUUCACUCAUGUGGAACUUAAGAAACAAAACAAAGGAAUAAACAAGCAAAAAGAGACACAAAAGAAAACAAAGAAAAAAAAACACAGCAAAAACACCCCAGACUCCUAAAUAUAGAGGACAAACAUGGUUGUCAGAGGGGAAAUGGGUGGGAAUAUGGAUGAAAUGGAGGAAGGGGAUUAAGAAUACACUUAUCUUGAUGAGCACUGAGAAAUGUAUAGAAUUGUUGAAUCGCUAUAAUAUACACCUGAACCUAGUAUAAUACUGUAUGUUAUUUAUACUUGGAUAAGAAAGACUGUGCUCCCUAGUUUGGGUGGUCCUCACCUAAUCAGUUGAAGAUAUGAAUGGAACGAAAAAGAUGAGUAAGAAGGGGCUCAUUCUGCCUGACUGCUUAAGCUGGCACAUAGAUCUUUUCCUUUUGAGACUGAAUAUGAGAAAUUGGCUCUCUCUUCUUGGGUCUCAAACCUGCUGGCUUUCAGACUAGAACUUAUACCAUUGGCUCUCCUGGUUCUUAGGCCUUUGGACUUGGACUGGAACACUGUUGGCUCUCCUGAGUCAAUGCUUUCUGACUACAGAUCUUGGGACCUUUCAGGUCAAUUCAUUAUAUUAAAUCUUUUCUCUUUCAUUUAUUUGUUCUGUUUUUUUUUUUUUAAACGUAGACUAAUGCAUCUGCCUUCCUGUCUUGGUUAAGCCUAAAAUAGAGCUAUACAAGUAGCACACUUAAGCUCUCAGGUUGUUAUGAAGAGUUGAAUUUUGCAUAUUAUUUUGCUUAGCCAUCCCUAUCAUUAUUUUUAGCUAUGUCUAGUCACUAUGGAGGAUAGAUGAAGAGAAAGGGCCAUGAGAUUAGCCAUUUUGUUUAUGAAACUUAAUAUACUGCAUUUAGUAACAGUUUUAAGUAUAUUGAAAAUCAUCCAAAUGAUAUUAACUUUUUAUCACCCUAUGAAAACAAUUUUGGUCUAUCUUGUUGGCUGAUUUUGGACCCCAUGAACAGAAAGCCAAGGAAGCUUAUCUGGUUUAUUCAUGUUCUAAAAAGAGAUAAUGUUUUACUUUAGAAGUUGUAGUGAAAUCUGUGUUAUAGGUUUUCUGUAAAGGCCCAGAUAGUAAAUAUUUUAGGUUUUGUGCAAUAUAUGGUCUCUGUUGUAACUUUGUCAUUUUUCUGUCUGGUACUUAACUCUGUUGUUAUAGCACAGAAGUAGUCAUAGACAAUAUGUAAACAGGACUGUGGCUGCGUUCCAGUAAAGCUUUAUUUAUAAAAAUAGGUGGUGAGCACAUUUGGCCUGCAGGCUCUAGCUUGCUAACCCCUGUUGUAAAGAACCUUAAAAAAAUUAUCACUACUGGAAUGCCUGGGUACCUCAGUCGUUUGAGUGUCCAACUCUUGGUUUCAGCUCAGGUCAUGAUCCCAGGGUCAUGGGAUCAAGCCCAGCUUUGGGCUGUGUACUUAGUGUGGAACCUGCUUGGGAUUCUCUUUCUCCCUCUGCCCCUUUCCCCCACUUGUGUGUGUGCGCGCGCUCUUUCUCUCUCUCUCUCUCAAAAUUAAAAAAAAUAAAUAUUAUCACUGCUAUUUAUUGAGCACUAACAGCAUAGUGGGUAAUAUUAAAGGCACAUUGUGUUGUUAUUUAUUUAAUCCUCACAACAAAGGGUAAGCUGAGGCUCAGACGGUUUUAAAUUAUUACUCCAGAUUCAUGUAGCAAGUUGCAUAGUCAUUACUUGAGCCCAGAUUUAUCUCUAUAUGUGAUGCUUUUCUUAAUACAAAGGAAAAUAUUCUCUGGUUUAAGAAUUUUGUUUUCUAUACUCUAAAAGAACCAGGUUGUAAAUUAUGAAGCUCAGUGACAGUGAUCUUAUUGGAAAUCAUUUUAUAUGAUGGUUCAGAUAUUGGCCAAGGAAACUCUGAAAAUUUAAAUUGGGAUGACCAAUUUCCAGGUCACCAGUUUCUCCCUUAGCUAUUCAUACUGCUGGGAUCAGAGGUAUUCUUGAAAUCUGCAGUGGUGUGCCAGUUGCCUUAAAGGCCUCUUCUUUUUACUUUGUUGGAAGGCUACACUGGCUGUUCUGGGUUAGGUCUUGGAAGAAAUUUUAGCAGCAUUAUGAGUUUCUCUUCUUAGAAUUCAGAACCAGAGGCAAGAAAUACUUCAACUCUUUGGAGAGGAUAGUGGGCAAAGAUGAUGCUAUUUGAUCCUAAAAAGUUGGUGAAGAAAUUGUCCAGGUCAGAGACUCGUAAUGAUAGGGAACAAACUGAGGGUUGAUGGACGGAGGUGUGUGGAAGAUGGGUUAGAUGGGUGAUAAGUAUUAAGGUGGACACUUGUGAUGAGCACUGGGUGCUGUAUGUAAGUGAUGAAUCACUAAAUUAUACCUGAAGCCAGUAUUGCACAUUAUGUUAACUAACUAGAAUGUAAAUAACAAUUUGAGGGGUGCCUGGGUGGCUGUCGGUUAAGCAUCUGACUUUGGCUCAGGUCACGAUCUCACAGUUGGUGAGUUCAAGCCGUGUGUCGGGUUCUGUGCUGACAGCUCAGAACCUGGAGCCUGCUUCUGAUUCUGUGUCUCCCUCUCUCUCUCUGCCUCUCCCACUCACACUGUCUCUCUCUCUGUCUCAAAAAUAAAUAAACGUUAAAAAAAUAAAAAGCACAAAAACAAAACUUCUGAUCACCCUUAAAAUGAAAACCUAGGAGUAGGAGGACUGUUGAAAUUAUAGAAAACAUCAGUGACAUGGCAUGUCAGUGUGUAUGAGUAUGUGAUAGGAGAUAAGAAAAGCUCUACAAUCUAAAUUACUCUCCUUUUUUAAAAAAAGACUAUAGUUCUCUUUCUGAUUUUUGAAAGCCUGAUCUGAUUAUUCACGUAUGCCAAACAAAUUAUGUGGUACUUACUAUGUUCCAGCCAUGAUGCCACCAUUGAGGGUACAAUGAUGAGUUUGACACACCAUCUUCAAGGAGAUUGCCAUCUAGUUGAGAGAUAAAUAUACAGAUGAUUUUAAUACUGUGUAUUAAAUGCGGAAACAUGAGUAAGCACACAGGAAAAACAUCUAACCCUACUUUGGGGGUAGAGAAGGCUUCCUGGAAGAGAGAAUAAUCUAAGUCAUGAAGAAGAGGAGUUUUAAACCAGACAAAAAGCCAGGAUGAAGCUCAUCUGAAUUUUCAGCGCAAUCAGCAUAAUUUACCUGAACUAAGUGUGUUUAAUAUCCGGCAUUUAAAAAGAAAAGAGACCUGUUUAUUGAGUGCCAUGAAUCAAAAAGAAAAGAUAGAUGUGAGACCAAUCACCCAUCCCAAGCCUAGUCACAAGAAGGCAAUGUUUGCUUGCAGCCUGAACAUCGUCUUCAUCAGAAUAAAUGUGGCUGGCAACCAAUAAUAAUGAGAAAUAACACAAGUGGGGAAGUUUGUAUACAAGACAUGAAAGAACAUUGUUUCAAAACUUCCACAGUCCAUUAGAAAUUAUAAGGGGUAGUUAUAGCAUAGAGAGCAGAUAAAGAAUGAAAAUGAACUUCAUUAAAAGUUUAAUAAUGGGUAUAUCAAAAUGAAUAAGAACAACAGUAAUGCUUACAAUGUACAGAUGUUUGUAUGUACAGGAGCUGUGGCUUUUGGGCAAUUUGGAAAAUAAUGAAAUGAAAAAUGACUUCUUAUGAACAAAGGUGAUACAGGGGUAAAAAACACAAUCGUUAUAAAAAUGGCCCUUUUUUAGAAAUUAGGAAAAACGUAAGUAAAAAAAAAAAGAUGUUGAAUGGAAAACAAUCUAUAAUUUUAAUCUCUGUGGACCUGGUAUGAGAAUAGGUGCAGCUAACUUGAGGAGGAAAGCUUGUUGACAAAAGGAACAAUUUAGGCGGCAUAUAAACAGGCUCUGUCCCAGAGAAAGAGUGAAACGUCAGUGGUGGUGGGAAUAAAGCAAGAGAAGAAUAUAAUUGAAUGACCACUUAUAAUAGUCGUUACUCUCUGAGAUGGGAUGAGAAGAGCAGCCAGAUCUAGUGCUCCACAACACGAGGUGGUUGGCUGAGUCAGGAAGAAGUGUUAAUGUAGUUGGUGUAGCCUUGCUUAGCUGUGCAGGGACCCUCUCUGUUCCAGGUAUUAUCUAUUGCUGUCUGCAGAAUUCAGACAUGGCAGGGCCAGUGGUGUGCUGGCCUUUAGAACAUUCUGUAUUUUACUUACCAUUGUAAAUGCUUAGAAAAUAUGCAGGAAAUACAGACAUGUUGGUAUUUCAGUAGAGUAAUGAUCACGUCUGUCUUUUGGUUGGUGUUUUCAUUUAAAUCCUGAGGGCUAGUGAUGAUUUCCCAGUCACAUAUUUUAUUAAAAGGAUUGACUGUAUCUGACAUUUUUGAUUCUCUUAAUGGACUGGAUUUUAAACACUGGAACCACAAUUCUGCCCAGUGAAAAGCACAGGUGUUCUGACAAGUAAUAACAAAUAAGGUAUAGUAUUUUUAUUUUGUAAAGUAGUGUGCAUACAUAUAGUACCUGCAAGGAUCUGGAAUAUAAGGCUGAUUUAACAGCAAUCAAAUUUUAGUAGAAUUUACUUGAUUGUUAUAUCUUCCUUUUCAGCUGGAAUAUGGUAUGUUAAAGAUCAGACAGAUUACUCAUUCUGAGAACAAAGACUUUUGAAAGCUGUCAGCUAACUGACAGUUAUGAUGAGCAUUUAUUUCAAGCUUAUAAAACAUAUUAAUCAAACUUGUUCACAGCAUGGUGGUCUAAAGAGGGUUAUUUUCUUUUUGAGAGAUACUUUGAAUAGCUGGAGAGCACUGGUAACAUGAAUACAAAGCUACAGUGUUGUUGUUGUUGUUUUUUCUUCAAAGUGAGUUAAUACUUUUCUCAGGCUUAAAGAAGGAAACAUACUGCAGGAAUGUGUUUAUUACAAGACUAUUUGCAAAAGACCUAUGCACCAUUCAUUGAACCUUGAAAAAACACUUGAAAAUAUGGGUUGCAUUUGCAAACUUCAGUGUAUGACAUGGAAAGCUGGCAAGCUGCCUGGCUUCUACUUAAAGGAUUGUCAUUCUGGGAAAAAUAAAUUUCUCUAACUAGACAAAAGUCAAUGUUUUCAUGUUUUACUGCAAUCAAACUGAUAGAGCUGACAAUUUAAUGUCUCAACACUUAAAAUAUCUGUGGAUAAUCAGUUACCUCAAUCAAUCAUAAACACAAAUCCUUCUAUUUUCGAAGCUUGUGUCUGUGACUGAGAUGUAAAACAGUUUGGUGAGCCCCUUCCCCCACAACACCUCAUCAUCUAUCCCCCCCCCCCCCCCCCCCCCCCCCCCCCCCGACCUUCCCAAUAUUCCUGAUUUGUCUUUAGCUAUGCAGAUAUUUAUACAUGUUAUGCAUCUGGAAAUAACUUUUAACAACUCAAGUGUGAUCAAAUUUAGAAACUUUUCUUUCACUGUCCUGUUUUAUUUAAUUUUUAUGGGUAGUUUAUAGACUGUAUGCCUGUCAGAAAAAUGUGGAAGUGUGCUGGCAUUCCAGUUGAAGACAUCAUUACGAGUGAAAAAAGUGCUCAAGGCUUUUUCAAAGUGGGUGCUGAAACAUACAUUUCCUUUUUCUGACUCCAGGGGAUGCUGGUAGCUGCCCCAAACAGACAGGUAUCUUGGGGUCAAAUGGUGGUGUGCUGGCCCCGUAGGAUUUCCUGGCAAGCACACUGAAUGGCUCACUUCUGGGAAACUAAUCAUAAUGAUGAUGAUGAUAAAGCAAGGGAGGCACUGACAACAACAUAAAAAGCUGCCUGAGGAAUUGGAUUCCAGGUUGCUCUACACUUGGCAGAGCUGACAGGUUCAGUUCACUAAGCUUUGGUAUUGAUAAUGACGGGAAACUUCAGACAGUUUUAGAAAUCUGUUUCUAUUAAGACAUGUCAUGGUGUUUCUGCAACUCAAGAACAAGUUUACUGGGGCACACUAUUCUUUCAACAUUGGUGUGAGUGGUUUUACAUCCCUACCAGAUAAUUACUCGGAGCACUCAAUAAGCCAAAUUCCUUGCUUCAAGUAUUCUUCUAUAAAUUUUUUUGUAUAUGGUGUAUAUGUGGCUAUAUGUAUAUAUAGACAUAUACAUUCACUACCACUGCCUCCUUUUUGUUUCUUUGAUUAUCUGGGGCUUUGCAAUCAAACUGAGUAGAAUUUUAGGACCCUUGGGGCAGCAUCCUUUGGUUCUGUGUCAGGCUACGUUGGAAAACAAUCAAUCUUGCUCUUACACUCACUUGGCGGAAGUGCCACGACACGGAUUGUGCAGUGCUUUGCUCUUGCCAUGAAGCCUGGGUGACAAAAGUUUUUACAAGAAGCUGACUGUAUUUGGGGUUAUGAAUAUGCAAUGACUCUCAUUAGUAUUGAAGCGCCAGAGCAGGGGCUGACAUCCCCCGCCACUUUGAGCUGCUGCAGAAUCGGCUAAUGAAUUGUCUUGCUCCUUCACGCACACAGUCUGCUGUUGUGGCUCCUAAGUUCCAAGGGGAGUUGCCCAGUUUGUGAAGACCAUUGACUGUAGAAAUCACUUGUCAAGAACUACUCUUGAUUUUGUGAAAUCAUGUUUAGACAGCGCUUAGACUGUCAAAACAGGAAAGUGCUGAACUUUGCAUAAGGUGAUACCAUGAGUAGGAAAAUUUAGAAAGGGACAUGACAAGGUAUAUAUGUUCUCAUAUACACCACUGUGUACAGAUAUGCUUCCAUUCUGGAUCAUUGUACAGGAAGUGUAUCUAUAUAUAGGUGAAAUCAAAUCCAUAGAAAUCUGACAUUCUUUUGGUUUGUCUAUUACCCUUCCAAAUAGAACAAACAGAUGAUAGAAAAUUUCCAAAAUGAAUAGGGUUGAAAUACAAAGCUAUUCCAUCAACUCUUUACCAUAUUCUUUCUUUCUUUUUUAUUCCUGGGCCUCUGCCAAACAUUUUGCAGCUCAUACACAUACCAUCUUUCAUGAAUAAGUUACUGAUAAGGAUAUGUUUCUAGCCACUGAUUAAGAUAUCUGAGCUGAUUUGUAGUGUGUAAGAAGAUGCAAAAGUGCGCAGAAACCAUUUAGAACAGGCCCUUUUCAAUAGCAUAAAUUAAAUGUGUUUUUCCACACCCCUCCUCCCUUGAAAUUUCCUUUCAACUAACUGGGGAACUUCUGUGGCUUGCUGCAGAUUGUAAAGAAUGGAUUGAAUUGAAACGGAUAAUAUAUGCUAAAAGGUAAGGGAUAUGUUGUAAGCUGUGCAAAUAAGGCAACAAAGAGUAAGUCCUUACAUUAGGUGCUUGCCCUACAGUCAUUUAUUUUAUCUGCAAUGUAAAGGCAUCCUUUUCAAGAAAGCAGGUACGUUACUUUUGUAGAGUUUUUAGGAGGUAGUGUUAUUAUAAUAUUUGUUUGAUGCAUUGCUGGAAACAAGAAAAAACUAAAGCCCAAGAACAUACACGUAGAAGAGUACCAAGUAUGAGUAUAGCUUAAAAUAAAUGCAGUCUGACAAAAGUGGCUCAAGUAUCAUACAUCAAACACUUGUUACCUCUGCUGGCCUUAGUGACUGCACAUGACUAAGAACAAAUCAGUGAUAAAAUCUCAAGAAAGAUGAAACCAGUCUGGACCUUUGUAAAGACCAUCAGUCAUUCUACAAAGCUGUAAUAUUAUUUCUUCAAGUAAUCUUUGGCUUCCUAUUUACUGGACGUAAUAUACCCUUUACUUCUAAAUCAAAGCCACCAAGGGACAUUUUUUUCUUUUUCUGGUUUUAAUUGGAUACAUCUUAGAACCAAUGAGAUCUGAUCAGAUGACAAUGAACUGAAUUAUUCAGUUGCAUUCGUAAAUGUGCAUUCUUGUACUUCACUAUCAGCAAAGGUCUUAAAAACUUCAUGUUUAAAAUUUUUUUUAAUGUUUAUUUAUUUUUGAGAGAGCGUGCGCGCGUGUGCGCGUGCACGAGGUGGGGAGGGGCAGAGAGAGCAUAGAGCUGUCUCUGUCAGUACAGAGCUUGAUGCGGGGCUCGAACUCAGGAACCAUAAGAUCAUGACCUGAGCCAAAGUUGGGUGCUUAACUCACUGAGCCACCCAGGCACCCCAAAAACUGUGUUUUAAAGUGCCUGUAUAAUCAGAAGUAAAAGACCUUUAUAAUUACAAGCACUUUCUUAUUUAGGCCUUUUUCCUAGGUAUCCAAGCAUUUUUCAUCACAAGGCAAGGUUUACCUGGGUACCUCAAAAUAAGCAAAUUCCACGUUCAACUCAUACAGAAUACACUAAGAUUUUAAAAUAUAAAAGUGGAAACAGAUCAGCUGAAAUAAUUAUAUCUAAGCAUAAAGUAUUCAAAUUUAUUGGAAAUAUUAACCAAUAUCUGUUCCUAUGAAUAUGAGAAUCAUAAGUGAAAUAUUUUAGUUUUAAUUGCAACUACGGUGGUUUUGAUUUGACUCUGUAAUUAACAUCUGCAUUCUAGACUUUGUGAUACUUUGAAAACAUUAUUUAUGGAAGGUUUGUCCAAAUAUAAUUUGGUGCUUAUUGCUUUUAUCAAAUGUUGAAUGAAAUAAAAUGCAAAAACUUGUGCUUCUGAGAGUUGUGUUGAUAAUCAUUUAUUGUAUCUCCUUUUCUAAACACAACCACAAUACAGUUGUAACAGCAGGCAAGGCAAUGUUAGGUUGUUUCUAUUCAUACCUGCAAUAGAAUUUGAGCCAUCAAAAAGAAUGAAAUUAUGCCAUUUGCAUUGACAUGAAUGGAGCUAGAGUGUAUUACGCUAAUUGAAAUAAGUCAGAGAAAGACAAAUACCAUAUGAUUUCACUUAUACAUGGAAUUUAAGAAACAAAAAAGAACAUAGGGGAAGGGGAAAAAAGAGGGAAGCAAACCAUAAGACACUCAACUAUAGAGAACAAACAGGGUUGAUGGAGGUGGGUGUGGGAUGGGCUAAAUGGGUGAUGGUGGGCAUUAAGGAGGGCACUUGUGGUGAACACUGGGUGUUACAUAUGUAAGUGAUGAAUUGAAAUAUGUAAGUGAUGAAUCACUAAAUUCUACUUCUAAAACCAAUUAUUACCCUAUGUGUUAACUAGAAUUUAAAUGAAAACUUGAAACAAACCCAUAAGGGAACAGCAAAUAUACAUAAGAAUUUAGGCAAUCAUUUGAUUCAUAGUUUUGUGAAUUGGACCAAGAAUUGGAGUAUUUUAUAGCAGACCAAGCCCAGGAAAUUAGAGACACAUGCUUCCUCCAGCUUAUCUCUACCCCCCCCCCCCCCCCCCCCCCCCCAUAUCUUCUUCCCUCCCAUACAUAUACUCACCUCACAGUGGGGAGGGAGGAGAAUGAGAGAGGUGUUCAGCUUUUGAUGAGUUUACCUAAAAUUUUGCCUGAAGAAGCUAUUUUAAUUUGAACAUUUAUGUAACUUUGAACAUAUAUGUAAGUUUUGUGCUUUGUGGCUUGAUACUAUUUUCAUUUUGAUUUACAUGUGGAUGAAGGCACCAUAUUUUUUCAGUCUUGAAGGUCUCUAGAGGUCUUAAUCUGAACUUGAACGUACCAGUGAAUUUACCCUAAGCAAACGCUUAUACAUUUUCUUGCCAGGUAUAAAUGAACAUUUGUUGAGUACAGUCAGGGUGCUGGGAGUGGGGAGAAGUGGAUUAGGAAAAUACAGAAAGUACAAUCCUGGGUACCAGGAAGUUUAUGGUAUAGCUGAUAUGAAAGAUUGCAGGGGAAAGAUGGAGAUUCUUUUUUUUUUUUUUUUCAACGUUUAUUUAUUUUUGGGACAGAGAGAGACAGAGCAUGAACGGGGGAGGGGCAGAGAGAGAGGGAGACACAGAAUCGGAAACAGGCUCCAGGCUCUGAGCCAUCAGCCCAGAGCCCGAUGCGGGGCUCGAACUCACGGACCUGAGAUCGUGACCUGGCUGAAGUCGGACGCUUAACCGACUGCGCCACCCAGGCGCCCCGAAAGAUGGAGAUUCUUUUACAGGGCUAGGUAUCAACAAAUAUAGAUUGAUUUAGUGAACAAUAAGUAUAUAAGUGUUUCAGAGCUGCCAUUGAGAUGUGAGAACAUCCUCAGGAGGGCUAACUGUAGAGACAUCUUACAAGAGUCAAGUUUCUACUUGGAUUUUGGAAGUUUAAAGAUUUUAUUAAAAUGUAUUAAAUUUGCCUUUACUUUGAAACAGGACUUCAGUGUUUGUAAAACUCACUUUAUAUUGGUUUCACUGGUACCAUUUCCUUUAGAAGUGAUAUAAUUUGAAGUUUAGAAUCAUGUGUUUGUAAUUUGCUUUUCAUUUUUCUCUCUUAAAAAAUUGUAUCCAUAGGGAGAAAAAAACUUGUUUACCGCAACUACUCCUUUUAAGUGUAAAAACUAAAAGAGUGAGGGAAUAUGCAUUAAAAGAUUAGGAUAACAUCAUCUUGAACAACCUCUUUUCUUCCUUAGCUUUUCACUCAGUAAUAUUACCUAAGUAAAUGUAUAAAUGUUGAUUCCAUAUUGAUGCCCAGCAAAAUAGAGAUUCCUAAGUCCAGUAUCAUCAGAGAUAGCUUCGCAUUCCUUGGGGAGGGGGAUCUUUUAUUCCCUGAUUGGGUACCCUGCAACGUGACGUAACUAAUUACUAGCUGCAGUUCUGACUGUCAGUAACAUUGUGAAAUUGUUUACUUACUUACCCUUUACUUACUUUCACACUCUUCUUACCCCUCUCCCACUCUACUCAGAUGUCCAUGAAGUCUGGAGGUUACCCCCUCCCAGGUGACCUGCUUUUCUUACAGGAGCCCCUGGGGUUUGAUGAGUGUUAGGUGUAUGACAGGCACUGUGCUAGUUGCUUCACAUAAUUUAUUGCAAUACAGAUAACUAUGGAUGUAAAAAACGUACUGCAGAGAAAUGCAAGAAAUGAAUAGCAUCACACAAGUAGCCAGGUUUUCAAUCCGUUUCAGACUCCAAAGCCUGUGUUGUUUGUACUAUAGCAAAACAUUUUAAAACCUAGAAUAAUCUGUGCUGCAAGUUCAGGUUUUGUGCUGGUCACAAAGGAAAAUUGCUUCUGGCUGGGAACAUUGCCCUGGUGCCCUUCAAAUUAGAUGAGGUGGAUCUAAUUAGUCCUACUAACUUAUAAGGCCAGUUUUAUAUAGUUGCACCUUAAGUUGUUUAAAUGUAGGCUUAUUUGAGGGAGAUCUUAAUCUUUGUUUUGAAUUUAUUCAGUUCAAUUCAAUUUAGUGAACACUUACGAAUGCCUGUUCUUUGCUAGUCACUGUGCUAGAUGCUGGUGGUACAAAGACCGUCUAUUUAGGGAGACAUUAUAACAUUAUAAUACAAUUUAUUGAAUGCUAUAAUAGAGGCGUAUGCAAGGGAUCAUGGGAGCAUAGGAGGGAAUAAUUAAUUUGAGGAAAGAUGUCAUUAAAUGCUGUAUUUGAUCAGAGCCUUGAAGGUCAAGAAAUAAAAAUUUGCCAAAAGGACAGAAAGAGGUUGAUAAUUUAUUUCAGGUGAUGGGACCAGCCUGUGCACAUGUGUGAAUAUGCCUGGUGUGUUUAGGAUACGACAAGAGUGGUAGAUUGAACGAUGGUCAAAAAUUCUUCCUUUUCCUGCAUCUGACUCCUGGCAAAAUGAUAUUGAAGAUUCUGCCAUUAAGAAGUGGAAUCUGUUUCCUCAUCACUGAAUUUGGUUGACCAUGUGACUUGCCUUGGCCAAUGGAUGUUAGCAAACGUGAAACCAGCAGAGACUUAAAAAGUGCUUGUGCACUAGGGAUUCUGUGCUUGGAAUUCCAAAGACUAUACUGUGACUGAGCCCAGGUUAUCUUGCUGGAGGAUAAAGUAGCCACCUGCAGGAAACAGAGUCUCUGGCUGACAGUCCGCUAACCACUGGAGAUGUGAGUGAGAUCAUCUUGGACUAUCUCGCUGAUCCACCAUUUGCCCAUAGCCACAUGGGAGAGUCCAGGAAAAAUCUGUUGUCAGCCCAGACGGAAUGACCCAGCUUAUUUGCACAGUUAAGAACUAAAUAAAAUGUUGUGUUAGCCACUAGGUUUGGAGUGUUUUGCUGUGCAGCAAAGCUGAUACACAGAGGGUCUGAAUAGAGUGCAGAGAAUGUGGGAAGAGGCAGUGACUGAUGAUGAAGAGGAAUGUAACAUCUGCAACAUCAUGUUGAGAAGUUUAGAUCUAUUUUACAGGACCAAACUUCCCAAACUUCACGGAUUAAUGUACCACUUUGAUGUCUUUAAAAAAUGUCUACCUACUACAUGAACUAGAAUUUUAUUUAAGUUUUCUGAUUUUUUUUUAAGUUUAUUUAUUUUGAGAGAGAGAGAACACUCUUGCAGGUGGGGAGGGGCAGAGAGCAAGGGAGACAGAGAAUCCCAAGCAGUCUCCACUGCUGUCCCCGUAGCCCUGUAGUCCCUCCUUCACAUACGGUAAGAUCAUGACCCGAGCCAAAAUCAAGAGUCAGAUGCUUAACCAACUGAGCCACCAAGGUGCACCAAAUUGUCUGAUUUGUAUAUCAAAAUUUAUUUUAAAAACAAACUUAAUAUUAAAACCCCAGUUUGAUGUGUUAUUUCUGAAACUUAAAAUAUAAAUAUUUAAAAUGUCUGUGUGCUAUCAAAAAUCAUCUUGUAUAUUGUGAGGGCUGCAUUCUAGUAUUUCCUGCUUUAAUCAGUAUGAACCAGCAGCAUGUGGAGAAAAAAUGGAAGUAGGGAGGGGCUGCAGUUGGGAGGAGUGAGGAGGCUAUUGCAGAGGUCCAGGUAGGAUAUGGCAUAUGGUAGACAGACUUAAGAUGUGUUCUGGAAGUGACAGGACCUGGUGACAGAUUUGAUGUAUGUGGGAUGAGAAUGGGGACUGUAAACUAUCCACUGAAUGGAUACUAUUAAGAAAGGGAAGAGGAAAAAAAAAAAAAGAAAUAGAUAUGAUGUUGCACCAAGUUUGAGUUAGUAAAUCAUUUGAAAACAGAGGUCCCUGAGGCAUUUAUAUAUGUGAGUCUAAACUUAAAAUGUUAUUUUUGAAGUCAUCAGCAUGUAGGUGAUAGGUAGUUGAAGUCACAGAAGUAAAUGAGAUAAAGAGGAAGAGUUUAGUAUAGAAAUCUUUGGCUUUUUUUUUUAUCCCCAAAUUCUUAAGGCAUAUGAUUUAUCCCAGAAAUAGUUCACUAGAAACCAUUCACUAGAAGUAGUGAGUGGUUCAUAUAGGUAAAGAUUCUCAGAUAGGGGUAGAAGGUAUCGUGUAGUUUGAAAAAAAUGAAGAACAACCCUUAGGUAAUUUUGAUACAUUACCCUUCACCCCUUGUUGAUUUAGAGUGAAAUGAGGACACUGCUGAGGAAGAGGACAGAAUGGUCUGAGAGGUAUACCUCUUCAAGAGGGACAGGACUUUUAUAGAGGCGAAGAAACUUUAAGAUGAAGGGCUAAGCCAUGACACUAAAUUCAGCAGAGAAAUCCAGUAGUUUGCGGAUCAUUUUUUAAUCAGAUCUGGCUCAUCAAAGUAUAGUACUUGGGAUAUAAUAGGAGCAUAGUAAAUGUUUAGGUGGACGAUUCAUGUAGAACCGCUCUAUGUUUGAAACAUUCCAUGAGCCUUAAAUAAUCAAGUCAGACGGGAUUUGUAAUUAUACUGUUUUGGGCUCUAAAAUCAAUGUGGAUUUAAAUUUUGUUUCUCUGUCCAUGGUCGUCGUCUUCGAAGAGUUCUCACUUGGGCACCAUUGUCCUGAUCUUAGUGCAAAGGAAUAUCUGAGCUUGUUUUCAGGAGAUGAUGAGAGUCAACAUUUUUGUUAUGGUCACUUCACACAUGGGCCUCCUAACCUUUGCCACCCAUGGUUCCCAGAAGUAAGUUAUUUGCCUUAUGAUGGUUUGGGUUGACAGGGUGAAGAUCUGUGACGGGCAGAAUUGGAAUGUCAUCUGCCUGUGUGGUUCUCAGGUAGUGCUCAGAGUCAUAUCAGGUUUUAAAAUGAUCGUUAUUAUUUUUUGAAUGACAUAAAUUUCUGCCAGGCUUUCCCUGAAUCUCAGGAAAGGCCCCAGAUCAGGGCAGUUUCCUCAGACCAUGAUUUGGUGCCUGUGCAUCUUGCUUAGAGCUUGCUCAGCAGCACACACUGGUUUGACAUCUGGCAGUCACGACUCCUGUGAGAUUGGCUUCCCCACAAAUGUGCCCUGAAAGCAUCCCUGCUGUGCCCCUUCUGUCCAAGUGUAAACACAUCACAGGAAAUGAACAAAUAAAGGCCCAACUUUUCUGGAAGGAAUCAGGAUCCCCUUACCCAGCUGGAACCCUGGGGUUUGGUGUCCAGCUUCAGGAAAUCUGACCAGCCAUUUGGGUAGAGGCUGUUGUCUUGUGGCACCUUUGUCCCUUUCUCCUUCUGAUUUCCCAUGUGCUAUCCAUACCCUCUGUUCUAAGUCAUUCAGCUGAGGAAGAUUGCUUCAGGACCUUUAAAAUGUGAAAUAAGGGUUGUCUUUCAUUGUAGAUUCAUUAGUGCAGCUGGAUUUAGUUAUUUACAGUUGUAGAUUUGGCAUUGCAUUUGGUGGGGUAGGGGACUCUUAAAAACAAUUGAAGCAGUCUAAAGCUAAAUCUGCAAAUAAGUGAAUGUUCACUUCCACUUAUUUUCAUAUGAAGAUAAAAAUAUGAAAAUGAUUAAAAUAGGUACAUGACAAGGAAGUUAAGAUAUCUGUGUAAAGGAAGAAGGCCUUUUCACUUUUCCCUUGCUGUCUUCCCGGUUUCGUUUUUUUUUUUUUGCUCCAGCCUAAUGAAUGCGUCUUAAGUAAAAAUACACACACUCUCUGUGCUUUCUAUCUGCCUCCUACCACAAAUAUCAGCUCAGCUCCUCUUUCAGAUCCACUUCAAGGAAACACAGACUUGAAAACUCUCCUGCAUGGUUUUGUCUGAACUGGCUGCCAUUCUGCAGCACACGCUGGAUCCAGUUGCUGAAGUGGGGGAACCUGAGAGGUGCGUGGGCUGGCAAGAGUGACCAUUUAGGCGCGUGAGUCAAGUGGGCCUGCGUGAAAGGAUGUAGGUAAGCCCGAAGCUAAUGGGAAAAAUAGGGGGUCGUCACUAAUUUUGAUGUGGGGAAAUCUUCUGCGUGCCAGGGUAUUUGAAUAUUUGGCAAACAGCUGGCUGGGCUCUGGGAGAGUGCCUCUUGAUUCGCCUCGUCAGAUGUUCAAAGAUAAAAUGAGGCAGCCGGCACGCCAGCACAUAGCUCAUAGCCCUGCAGUCAGUUUUGAAUUUAGAUUUGAAUUGUGAUAUCAAUGUCAUGGUGGCACAUGCUUUGAGAAAGUACUUAUAUAGAAUAAUUGAAAGAUUCAGUGUGAAGCUUCUGAAAGCCAUAAUUUAAAGUCCCAGAAGCCUCCAUAUUACUUUCACCAUUAAAAUUUAAAGUGACAGAAGCCCAAUUAUGUAUGGUUAUUUUCUUAAAUAAAAUCAUAUUUCUAACCCGACUGAAAGAUUCAUUGCUGCCCACUAAUCUCUGUCAGGAGAACCAAUCUCAGUUGCAUUCAGUGUCGGCAGCAAAGAUGGUUCCCUUUAUCUUAGGGACCGUGAAGUGACACUGAGGAAGCAGAAGUGGAAGCCCUCUGUGGAGGAGCUGGACUUGAGACGGCUGAUUUGCACUAUGAUCACCUUUAUGGAUCCUUUCUGGUGCCAGCUUCCACACUUAAUGCAGUAUAACUUUAAUAGCAGUCGACAAACCCAAGUAAGGGCUGUAGCACACAGUUUGCAAAACCUGAAUGACGUCAAAAACUGUUAAGAGGGGGCAGCUGGUUGUAAAGCUGAAUCUCACAGCAGAAUGGAGACUGGAAUAUAACUUUAAAACCUGGUAAAGAGUAUAACUUUGGGGACUAUUGAAAGAUAUGAAGCUUUUCCCUCUUUUAUGAAUUCAUGGAAAUCGAUCUACCAGAAGCCUCUUUACCUGAAGACUCAGUUUGCCAGAAAGGCAUAUAUGGCCACUGACAACGUGGCAUAAAAAUAGAUCCGUGGGAAUAUAGCACCAUGUCCCGUGCAGAAAUUUUAGUUUCUAUCAGUCAAAAGUUUGGAGCCAGACUUUUAGACUAUGCAUCUUUCCACCAAUUUCUUUGGUCUGUUUGAUUUUACUUUAUAGUGUGUUGUGAUUUGGAAACAAGGUUGUGAUGGUAGCCAGAAUUGUGAUGAAAAAUUGCACAAGGCUAAUCAAGCUUAAACCAUUGUUAUUUAUGAGAAACUUUAUUCCUCAGGGUUCCCAGGGACAAAGGAGCAUGUGAAUCAACUAAUAUUAUGUUGCACAAUGUUGAAUGAUAUCAAGAGUAUAUGUACAUCAAUACUAAUCUAAGCAAUGUCUUAUAAAUUAUACAUCACAAUUUCUCAAAAGUUUCACAGUGUGAUAAAACAUUUACAAGUACAUCUUGGUUCUGCUAAGUGUUGUUAUGACUUUAGCACAACCAGCCCUGUGGCAGUUUGCAAGUUCAAUUUUUGUUGCCUGGCAUUGGCCAUAGAUUCUUUCUACCCUUGUACAGAACUGGUAUCAUGCUGUGAAUUCAACUUCCCUUCCUUCAUCUCUGCCUCAAAAUCACUGUGGCUUUUCCUGUUCUUUCCCUUUUAUUCAUGUCUCAGUAAGAGGCAUUCACCUUCACUUGUGUCCAUGAUUCUGUCACUGUGCUUAGACUCUUCCGCUUUCCACAUUUGACAUUUUGUUGGCCUCUUCCUUAAAAAUAAAAAAAUUCCUUCCCUAUAUUCCCUACUCUGUUUUCUGUCUUUAUUCUUGACUUCUUUCUUGCCUUUGCUUUCGCACCAUUUGCUCUUUCACCUGUUGUAGUCUACGUUUGGCCACUAUAGGCGCUACUCUCUCAAGGACUACUGUCUCUGUAGGGCACAAUGACUUACCUAAUUGGUAAAUUUGGGGUGGAUAAGUAGUCCAGCUUAGCCUCCUGCCACUCUCCUUCUACUUGAGAAGGGCCUGCCUACCAGGAACCUACAUUCUCCCAGAGGAAGGAAGCCCACCCCAGACCAGCACUGUGGAGAUGGACUAAUUCUGUAGUUAAGAAAACUAGGCUUGUCUGGCUUUUAUCUCCUCUAUGCUGGUUGCAGUCUGUAACAAUGGUUAUAUUCUCAUCUGUUUUAUUUUUGUAUUUUUUCUUGUUCACAACCCACGAGAAGAAGGAAGUCUCAGUUUGGGAGAAUUGCUUAGAAACCUAAAUAAAUGAAAUAGUCUGUACAAGUAGAAAGUUAGUUUUCCUUCCCAAUCUCAUUUUCCAGAGGCUUGGCUUCUCUCUCUUUCUCUCUCUGCACUUUUGAAGAUAGCAAAAAAGUUGCCGUCUGUAAGCCAAGAAGCUGGCCCUUACCAAGAGCUAAAUCUGUUGGCACCUUGAUCUUGGACUUCCCAGCUUCCACAGCUGUGGAAAUGUAUGUCUGUUGUUUCAGUCACCCAGUCUGUGGUAGUUUGUUAUCGCAGCCCAAGCUGAGUAAUUCUUCCUGAUUUUUCUAUGCAUAUGCAAAUGUAUGUAUAAGUUUAUAAUAGAAAAAUUUUACCUGAAUGUCACAUAACAGAAAUAUACAUAGCUAUAUAUUUAUCUCUAUAUAUUGUAUCUCUCUAAAAUGGGUAUUUCUAUUUCAUAUAAUCUCUUUACACAUACAUUUAUUUGUAUACAUACACACUUGUAUUUUUUCCAAAAAUAGUAGCACACUAUCUAUACAUUUUGUUCUGCACCUUCCUCUUUUCACUAACACAUUUUUACAUCAGUAAAUAGAGACCUGUAUUAUUAUUUUUAGUGGCUGCACAGUAUUCUCCAGUUUAAAUGGUCUUUAGUAAACCAUUCUUCAACUGCUGGCCAUUUAGAUCCUUUUACACUUUUGAGGUUAUAAACAAUGCUUCAGUGAACAUGGUACUGUUUUUAUUUUUGUGAAUUCAUGCUAGUAUUUCUGUAGGAAAGAUUUCUAGAGCUGGUAUUGCUGGGUAUCUCAUAAGAUUUAAUUGAUUAGUAAUGAUCAGACACUCAGGUUGGGAAGAAUUCUGAGAGAGCUCAGAGUUUAUCCCACACUUCCAGGAAGGUUGUUUUUUCUCGCCCUGACUUUGAAAAGUACAGAGAAUGAGACUCCAUAUUCUUUCCAGUAAUGCCUUCCAGUGACUUGAAAUUGAAAUAGACUGUCAAAGAAAUAAUGGUCUGGACAAGAGAGUUGAAAGUGGAAGACUAAAUCCUAAGGCCCUUUGGUGGGCCUGUUUUGCAAAGCAACCAAGCAAUGCCAGAUAGAGGAUUGUAAGAGCUACGGCAGUCUGAUAUUUGGAUACGUGGACCUCUUGAGUCCAGCCAGACUACAAGUGAUCUUAAAAAUCUGGUUCCACUACCUACCUCGCAGUGCAUCAGGCCUGAAAGAAUAGUUGGGCUGUCUUUCACCCGGAUUGUUUUGCUUCUGUCCCAAGGCUAUUUCUAUUGCACAGAGGCAUUUGAUAGCUCAUUUACAAGCUGACCUAAAGAAAACAAAACAAACAAAACAAACAAAACAAAACCGGAUGCAACUGGAGAGAGCUGUGGCAUCCUUCCUGCUUCAGGUAGCUCCCUGCAAAGCAGGUAGAUUUGUUUGGAAUCUUUGCAAUGCUGUGAUGACUCUAAGUGGGAAAAUACUGUGUAUUAGGAUUUGGCUGUCAGAGCAGACAUAUGCUUGACUGUCACAACUUGUACAUUUUUCCCAUUCAGGGUGUACAUGGUUGCAUGUCUUUGUUAGAAACACAUGCAGUGUGGGUAGCAAAGAUGACCAUGUUAAACAUCCAGGAAUUUUCAUUUAAUGUGCAUAUUUAUACAACACUACAGAAAGGACUAGGGCGGCUUGGCUAUGUUACAUCAUUUCCCUGCUAACCAAAGAGAUUUGAAAUGGACUUUUAAUUAUUAUUACCGAUUUGCUAUGGCUGUAUUCCUUAAUAUGAACAUCUGAUUAGGAUUAAUUUUCUUUAAUUGAUGAAUAGAGCACUUAAAAUUGUAGAGUUGAAUGUGUUGUUACAUGUUGGCAUAUGUGUGUACUGUAUGUUGGCAUAUGAGGUAUGACUUUUUGCUGAAAUACAAAUUACAGACACUUAACUGUUUUAGUUUUAAGGUCACUGUUCUUUCUCCGCCUUUGUGUGGCCUUUUACAUUUGUUAAUGGAGAUAGAGCGGGGCUAAGUGACUAUUAAACUCUUUUCUAUAUACAGUAAAACCCAUUAACAUGGACCUUACUAAAUUUGGAAUUUAUGAUAAUUAGAGAGGGCUGGGUUAAAGUUUACUUUUGCAUUGUCUCUGAACCAAAUCUUUGCUGAGCUAAUAAAUAGCAUAAUACAAUUAAAGGGGAAUGGCAUUAUCGUUUUAUAAAGCAAGCUUUUCAGGCAGUCUAGAGAAGUAACGCGGGAUGGAAUGAGGUAGUGUGGCAAAAAGGCAUAGUGCAGAAGGAGCCACUUUCUAUCUGCGUGACCUUGGGCAAAUUACUUAGGUUCUCUGAGUAUCUUUUCCCUCACCUGUAAGUGGAGAUAGUUUACCUAAUUUAUGGAGCUGUUAUGAGGGUUAGAUUGAAUGUAUAUAGAAAGCGUCUGGUGUGAGUACAUACUUCAUGAGUUGCAGGUAAUUACCACCUACCUAAAAUAAUUGGUGAGCUAAUUUUAAACACUUCUCAUUUUUUCACUGAAGCGGUGUUCCACAUGUUAGGGUUUUGGAACACUAAUCUGAAAUACUGCUUUACUUUUAUUAUUGAUUGAAGGAACCCCCCAGCAGUUUGAUGUGGCGGUAAAGAACAUGAGCUUUGGAGUCAGACAAACUCAGGUUUGAAAGUAUUUCUGUAAUGCAUUAGCUACGUGGCUUUAGGCAAGUUACUUAAUAUCUCUCAGGUUUUAUUUUCUAAUUUGUAAAAAUGGGAUGAGAAUACCUGCUCCAGGACUUUUAUGAGGACUCAAUGAGAUAGUGCAUGUAAAGCGUUCAGCCUACUGAUUUUCAUGUGGUAACCUCUCAAAAUAUCACCUGUUGCUAUUAUCGUGAUCUUUUUGACAAUCAUCCAUUCUUUAGACUUUUUAAUUAAUUCAGACUCGUUUUCUUCAAUUAACCUAAUUAACUCAUUUCACUUUUGAUAUAAUCUCCAUUUUAAAUGUGGAUUUUAAGUACAUAAGUAAAAAAUUAUAGAGGCAAAAUGGCUAUAAAUAGGUAGGGUGAAAGAGGAAAGAAUAAUAUUUUAAAAGUGGGAGCGCAAGGCCUUAAGUUAGACUUAAGUUACUGAAUAGUCAAUUUUGUGCAUAAUAUUUGUGUCCUUUAUGAGAGGUCUUUAUAUUAGAAGGAAAUCAAAUUUUGUGUGUGUGUGUGUGUGUGUGUGGGUGUGGGUGUGUGUGUGUGUGUGGUAGACAGUGUGGACUGGUCACCAGCUCCUGCCAUUCACUGGAGAGAGAAGCAUUGAAAUCCAUGUUCAGUUUUAUUUUCAUCUUGCUUUCCCUGUAUGUUUCAUAGGCUGUAUGGAUGAGAAAUGUAAGCACUAUAAUGUCCUGCAUGGAGACAGUAAUCUAUCCUCCCCUUAAUGACAGGCUUACACAGUUUGUCGGAAUCCAUCACCUCAACAGAUCAGACUGAAUUACUUCAAUGACUGGCAAAUGGGUGGCACUCAUGGUGAAGUGAAAGCAGCCAGGUGUGUGUGUUUAUUAAGUGCUCUUCAAUAGAAAAAAGUGGGUUUUACUGAAAUCUCUCUCAUCCAUGCUAUUUUUGCAGAGGCAAGAAGCGCCCAUCUUCCUUUGGGAAAACAGAAGAAUGAUUUUUCUUAAGAUUCUGAAAUACUGAAAUACAAAUUCACAACCAUAAACGUGUUAUAAAAAUCAGGUUUUUGGGGCACCCUGGGUGGCUCAGUCGGUUAAGCGUCUGACUUCAGCUCAGGUCAUGAUCUGACCGUCCGUCACUCAGUCCAACCGGACUCAGUCCGUGAGUUCGAGCCCCACAUUGGGCUCUGUGCUGACAGCUCAGACCCUGGAUCCUGCUUCGGAUUCUGUGUCUCCCUCUCUCUGCCUGUCCCCUGCUCAUGCUCUGUCUCUCUCUGUCUCAAAAAAAAAAAUCAGUUUUUUUUCCCCCACAUCGUAUACAUGCACAGUGGAACCUUGUAAUAAAAACUAGAACCAAUAAUGUUGGGGCUAUGUGCCUUUGAAUUUCCAGGGAUGCCCAAUUUAGGCAGAUGAUUUUUGAAAGUGAAGUCAGUUCAUUAAGUUGGCAACCAGUGGUUUAACAUAUAUGAACUUUCAUAAAACUAAGUUCACAAGUCAGAAAAAACCUUCUGUAAGACCAGGUUUAUUAAGAUUUGGGUCAGAAAAAGCGAUCACUCUAAUGUACACCAUGUUGAUUAGUUGCAUUAUUCAUAUCUUUAUUGGAAGUACCUAAUGGUUUGUUGUUAAGGUGUGGCAUUAUGUGUCUAGAUUUGGCAUAUCAAUAGGAACAGCAAUAAUAAUUAAUUUUUAUUGGAUUCUUACUGUGUGCCGACACUGUGAUAGAAGCUGGGGCUAUAAUGGGAAGCAAAAAAAAAAAAAAGAUACAAUCUCAUGUUGGUAACAACCUGUGAAAUAGGUAUAGACACAAACAAGGCCAUAGAAUUUAAAUAAUUUGUCCCUGGUUUGAUAGGUCAUAAGUGGCAGGGCUAGAAAUACCGUGCUGUAUUUGCUAUAGCAAACUAACUUUUGCUUUGGUUAAGAGACUCCAAACAAGCUAGAAAGAGCUCCCUGACAUGGCGGAGGUGCCAUACCAGCUUUGGACUGCUUAUGCUUAUACUGUCAAGGAGGGGAGAAAUAAACUUCUGUCUUACUACUCAGCUAUCCCUGGGUGUUGGCUUCAUUCAUAUGUCUGAAGAUGUAUAAUCAUUCUUUAAAAUUUUUUAGGUUUAUUUAUUUAUUUUGAGAGAGACACAGAGAGUGAGUGGGGAGAGGCAGAGAGAGUGGGGGUGUGAGAGGACCCUAAGCAGGCUCUGCACUAUCACCACAGAGCCCCAACUGGGGCUCAGACUCAUGAACCAUGAGAUCAUGACCUGAGCUGAAACCAACGGAUGCUUAACCAGCUGAGCCACCCAGGCACCCCAUAAUCAUUCUUUUUAAAGGCAUUUCCUAGAUGUUGCACUUCUAACUCAUACUCACAUCCUACUAGCUAUACCUAUCUGCCAGGAAAAUAUAUUUUUGUAGCCAUGUACCUCUCAAAAUUUAGGGGUUCUAGUAAUGAAGGAAAAAGGAAAGAAUGGGUAUUAGAGGAUAGUUGGCAGUCUCCGUGUCAUAUGCCAAUUACGAACAUUGUUUCGAAAUAAAAUUUUCACCACGGGCUUAGACAAUGACAGAUGAGCUCAAGGCUUUGGGAUAUGCCUACGUCCAUUAUCCAUUUCUUUCCAAGUAGUAUAUCAAAGUUAUGUAUGUAUGUGUGUGUAUGUAUGUAUGUAUGUAUAUAUAUGAAUGUAUACAGUGCAUGUAUAAUAUAUUUAAAUAUAAUAUGUGAGAUAUCAUAAAUAUUACAUGAUUCUACAGUGGACUCUGGUCAUCUGCAAUUGCUAAUUCAAAAUUUCACAAGAGAAGAGCCCCCCUGCCCAGCUCUCAAACCUAAUGCAGUCUCUGAUGAACUCAGUUGCCCAUAUGGAGCUGCUUGGAAAUAUUGUGUCUUGCUCACAGAUAGACCUCCAUGGUCCUUUUUCCUGGGUCCAGCUCUUUAGGUCCUACUUUACUAGUGACUAAGAGAAAAACAAAAAAAGAAAAAUAGAAGUUAAGUUAGAGCUGGUCUUAUUAGUCUGCCGUAGGCCUUAUCUAGAGGAAGUGUUAUUGAGGAGCAUCUCCCAAGUGAAAGGCAGUUCUAUACCUGUUUUGCCUCACUGGCCAUGUGGAAGUGGAGAGAAGCAAUCUAAAGAGAGUGAGAAUCACAAGAGAUGAACUCCAAAGAUGCCACGGCCUACAGAAGUCAGAACUUUUAACCUUUUUUCCGCAUAGACCAAUAGCUUCGCUGCCUACUAAGAGGCUUGUUUGAAUCCAGUGACUUGAUUCAGUCUCUUGCCUCUUUUCCUCCAUGGGAAUGAGGCUGGGGAGUGGAGUAAGGGUAGAGAGCAUGUGGAAGUGGAACUUUGCUGUCCUUCUAGAGAUCAACAUCAAGUACUUUGAAGGCACCAUAACAAAUACAGGACAUGGCCUUUAUCCCACUUUUCUUUUUUUUUUUUUAAUUAAAAUUUUUUUUAAUGUUUAUUUAUUUUUGAGAGAGACAGAGACAGAGACAGAAUGCGAGUGGGUUAGGGCAGAGAGAGAGGGAGACGCAGAAUCCAAAGCAGGCUCCAGGUUCCGAGCUGUCAGCACAGAGCCCGACGCGGGGCUCGAACUCACAAGCUGUGAGAUCAUGACCUGAGCCGAAGUCGGUUGCUCAACUGAUUGAGCCACCCAGGAACCCCUGUAUCCCACUUUUCAAAGAAUUAAUUGUCUGGGAGCUAAUAGAUAUGAAACAUUUGGUGAAGAUUAAGUAGUUGAACUGUGUGUUAUUGAUUAUUCCAGAAGAACCCAGGUAAGAGAUAAGUCAAUGUGGAUUUGUUUCUUGGGGAAAGCUUUUUAGAUCAUGUCACAAGUGAGGUGCCAAAGGAUGAAAGGAACUAAUUAAGAAGGCAGAAAAGAGGGGGUGAUGCAUAAUGAGCUUAGAGGUCAGUGCAUCUGUGUGCCUGAAGCAGAGACUUCAUUUUGGAGACCAGAGAGUGAAGUAGAAUAGGAAAGUAGGGUACUUCAGAAUUCAGGCAGGGGUUAACCUGUAGGUAGUCAUGUAAGUUGUUUUUUUUUUUUUUUUUUAAUUAAGUUAAUGUUAACCUCUUUUAAGUUUUUAUGGAAUGAAGGGAGGAUAAAUUAGGAAAUUGAAUGAAUGAAUAAAUAUAAAGACAUUGUAGAUAUUAUAAAAACUAGCCUCUUAAGUAGAAUUUGUGUAGGCUGAGAAGACAGGGUUUCUAUGCAGUAUCUCAGUGACAUAGAUUGCCAGGGAAUAAGAGAAGUCAAGGCUAGGUGUAUCAGGGACUGGAGUCUGCCUGCACUAGGGUUAGCCCGCAGUCUAGUCCACAGUGAACAAGAGGAAGUGAUGAUCUUAGGGUUGGGUCAUGAAAGAAACUGAGGAGAUCCAAUUCAGCAGGAGACUUGGUUAACUAGAAUGUAGACAGCAGGUGAGAUUGAGUCAGGAAUGGUGGUGUCAUGGCAGGGAGCAAUCUAAUCGUAGCUGGAUCCCAGCCAGCAGCUGGAGUUCUGGAAUAGAAUCUGGGGAAGUGUAGUGUCAUGGCCCUAGUCAAGUAGGUUUAAGUUCAGGGCAAGGCACAUGGUAUUGAAGGAAAGAGGGAAACUAGUCAAGGUAAAAGCCAGCUCCAAAGAUUGGGCCAACAUGUCUAGAAGAAGCAGGGAAAUGGAGAAAUGAUGAAGCCGUGUAAACUCAGUGCAAUUCAUUGCACUUGUGGCCAAGGAAGGAAUACGGUUCCUGCUAUCUGGUGGGCUGAGGUUGCUUCUCUUUUGCUUGCCUGAUGAAGAUGGGUUGAAGGUCACAGCUGGGCUGAGCCUCUUUAGUAGAGACUUCAGGGGACCGAGCUCAGACAGAUCUUGGAGCAAAUGGCUGCAGUGGAGGCCCAGUGGAGGUAGCAUCACCUGGAAGGAAUUGAGACUAGAGCAGAGGAGAUGUAGGCAUAGCUAGGAGCCUGUCAUAUGCCAGGCAGAGGAGAUCAGGUCUUGACAAAGGGGUAGGGAGGAUUUAGUAGAAAUUCAGAAGUAAAGGGCACUGCAAAAGACAUUUCAAAUUAAGAAGAUGUUUCAGUGACAAGUUUGAUAUAAUGGGUAGAGAAGGAAAAACCUAAAAUGAUUCCAGGCUGAUAUUAAAUGCUCAUAUAGUAUGACAUUUUUGUUCAUGAGCUGGAGGGUGCUUUAAGCACAUUACUUUGCGCCUGCUUUUUUAAAAACCCAAAUAAAUAAAGUAAAUUAGUGAAUAAAUGUGUUAAGGCUAAGCUUACUUGUGUGUUUGUUGGCUUUACAUCUCAACUGCAGUGGGUCUGCAGUGGGACAUUUUAGAGAGAAAUAGCCCUUGAGCAUGUGAAUGUUUCUUGCAAAGAUGGUUUUCUUUCCUGUUCUAAGAUAGCGUUAGUAAGGUGCAUGUGCCUGAGUAUGACUGAAAAGCCUAAGGUGGGGCCUACCUGUAUCUGUCUGCUGCUAUCAAGGGGCCUUGUCUGCCGGAGGUGACCUUUGAAGUGUUUACGCUUCUUUUACUUACCUGGUUAGUUCAGAGCCUUUGCUGAAUAAAGAGUGCUCCUCCCCAGCCUGAUUGCUUCACAGCAGGAGGCUGUCUGCAGCUGUGAUUUCCUGGCCAUCCACUUUGGUGCCACCUGAUGGGACACAGGCAUGGACAAAAAUUUACUAUUCAUUAAGGGAUAGGGCUCGGCACCUCAGGAGGGGUUUAUUCCUGUUUAUGGAGGCAAGGGAAGAAAAUGCAGAUUCCUUACCUGGAUAGGGACAUUUUGUUUUCAAAAUGUAUAGAUAUGUGGUGUUUCUGAUUUUAUUAGGGCUCGGAUCUGCACCUGGGUGGCAUGGGUUUCAAAGUCAUUAUUUAAGGUAAGGAAAGAUAACUUCAAACAGCAUUAUCACCAAAGAUCUUGGUUGUAUUUUUGAAAGUUUGAGCUAAAUAAUUGUAGUGAUCACCAAAAGACCAACUGCUGUACUUCUGAAAAGUUGCUCUUAGAAAGGCUUGGAUUAAUCAUUUGUUUCCAUUUUGUUCACAGAUGUACUGUCUGUAGGACAGGGGUAGACUGAAUACCUGCUUCACUGAAUACCUGCUUCACAUCACCUUUCACAUUUUCUUAUUGGAAAGACAGCCGUUGGAGAAUCAUCUUGUUACCAUCAGCAAAAAUGCAAACAAAUCAAGACAUUAAGAAUGCCACAGUGGCCAGCAGUUAAUGAUGCCAGUGUUACACAAGCUUCGGCAAAGUUUUCAAGACAGUGUGCCUCACUAGCCAUAAAUCAGGAAAGAUUGAACUUAUCCUUUUUUGUCUCAGCUGUUCCUUAAAUCAAUGCAACCCCUCCAAAUUAAUGUGAAUUGAAACAUGCAUUGUCUUUUCAGCUUAAUUGAGUACUUACUAUGUGUGAAUCACUGCACAAAACAGGGGAGGGAAAAUGAGGGAGACAAUUAGGAUGUGUUUCCUGCCUUCAAUGGAUUUACAAUUAGUUUCAGGGCACUUUUUUUCUUCUGCUCUUAAUUAAGUGUGUCCCUAAGAUAGAAAACAAAUGAAUGGAAAAGUGUAUUCUGCAAGUAUUUUAAAUCCCUUUAAUAAAACACAAAACAAAACAAAACAAAACAAAACAAAACAAAACAAAACAAAAUAAUCUAAUGUGGGCAACUCAGGACAUCUUCCAUUUUUUUGGAGUUUCAAUAGGUAGGAUUUAUUUCAUUGAUUUUAUAAAUAUUCAGUAGAUGUUAGAGAUAUUAACACAUUAUAGUUGGAGUUAAUUGAAUUAAAUUCUUUUUUUUCCCCUUUAGGUGUAGAUUGUCUGUUGGAAAAGUAUAUUGUGUUUGUACAUUUCUUGCAGAGUAGGUAGAUGAAUUACAUCUGUUGUCUCUGUAGGCCUCUACCUUCUGUGCCCUAGGGGCCUGACAUUCUGAGUAAGUUAUUAGCGUGGGGAAGGGAAGAUUUGGAUCAAACUUGGGAAAGCUCAUGGACCCAAGAUAGGGCAGGGAAGGAGCAAAACAGACCUAGGCAGUGACUCUGUAGGAAAACUUGGCUGUUUUAGUAUUCAUUGUGUUGUCUUCUAUGUUCCAAAAUUACUGUACAGUUUUUUCAAAAAUUUAUUUCUGAUCUGGGAAUAAGUCAUGAUUUUUCCAAUGUUAAGGCACUAAUAUGACUGCAGACACCAGACAUUUUAUGUAGUGUAUGUAACACAUUUUAGUAUGUACGAACCAACAAUAGACAUGUCUUUGUCUUCAGUAGUGUCCAUCUGAAUUGAAAAUGUGCCAGCUUUUUUUUUCUUAAAAUCAUUAUCAACAGACUUCUUAAUUAAGCUGCCAAUACAUACUGCCAAUAGCACUAUGUGCCCUUUGAGAAAUGAAUCGUGUAAGUGCCGUUUCCCUCUUACUGAAUAAACAAUGUUGCUCCAUAGAAAGUGGAUUUAAAAUGUUCUUUGAAUAGGAAAUUAUAUUGCUUCUGAAAGAAUUUGAUAAGAAUUCUCAUACCUUCCUUUCUUUACUUAAUUUCCAAAAACUUUUAUUUGCUCCUCAAUAAGGAAUAGUUCUAAUUUGACUGAUAACUUUAGUUGUAUGAGUCAUCCUUAAUAGGAUGCCUGCCCCCAAACUCCUGAUGGUGAUAUUGGAUAUUUGUUAAUCUGAGUUACAAAACUAUAUUGUAUGAAACUGUAGCAUUUGUUUCCUAUUCUGGGAAAAAUUUGUGGAGGGACCAUCUCUGUGUUCCCAGAACCUAGCACAGUACCUGGUGCAU
rnacentral:lncRNA from 1 species